rnacentral:lncRNA from 1 species
UAAUCUCAAAAUAAACUUCAUAUAGAAAUCCAAAGUCUAAGGACAAACACAUUAAAGCCAAUACUAUUGUAGACAUUGCAGCAAGCCGCCGCCGCCGCCAACAACACAACCAUUUGCUUCUGCGAAGCUAUUUUUUUUCAGUCGAUUUGGGAAGAUUUUGAACAGCAAAAUAGGCUAGCAAAUUCUUCUUCAACAGAUUAUCAGCAAAUCUCACUUGAAAACCAAAUUUCUCAGUGUAAUUAAGUGUGGCGCCCCUUUUUUUCAAGGUAUCCCAAUCCAAAUCGCCAACCGAGAAAUCUUUCAUCUCUUUGAUUGCAGCGUUGAAUGGCGAUAUGAAAAACAUCAGUAGUUUUUCCACGAUCUUUUUCGAUUUGGAUUGCAAUAGAUUCGAGGUACUCUGGAAUUUCCCCUCAAGCAGUGUUUUUCAAUGCCUGUUCCAAGCCUGGGAAAUCUUUGCAUUCCACUUUGUCGUUGCCUUUGUCAUAAAGUUGGUUCUCCAAAUCACGGAAUUUAGAUUGUACUCCUUCACGAGUUAGAUCAUCGGUUGCAGGUUGCAGUAACUUUUACCUUCCAUUGGAGGUGGAAAAAAAAAAGUAAUACUCGAUUAGGUUAGUAAUACUUAACUCAAACGGCUCGUGAGCCAUAUCGAGUUUUUUUUUUAUAUUUUCAUAUAAUUAAAUUACAUUAUUUCUUUUAAUAUAUUAUUAACUUUAAGCUUAAUUAUUAAACUGAUCUCGGACUCGAGUAUCAAGUUCCAAAUUUAGAAAUCGAGCUUGAACCUGAUAGUAUUUGAAUUUAACUUGGCUAGAUUACACUACAUAAAACUCAAUUGAGAUUUGAUGUCUGGUUAUGUAUCGGAAAGACAUAAAAGAAGCAUGAAAUCUCAAAUUCAUUACUCAACAAAGAGAAGGGGAGGCUAUUAGUGAUGAUAGUGGUGUGUUUCAUUAAGUCUUAUCACCUUUGCAAAACAAAGUUGCCUUGCUUUUUCUAAGAGAUAUUACCACUAGACAGGGACCAUUUUGGAAAUAAAAACCAGAUUUUGAGGCUCAGACAAACAAAUUUUCCAAAUAAAUAAAUGAAUAUUAAUAGAAGUCGGUUCCUUCAAACUUGCAGAUUUAUUAAAAAUAAAUUGAAUAUGAAUUAGUAAGUUCGAUUAAGAGACUUACAUUAUUUAUCCUCUUUUGGUUGGAUCAAUGUAAAUUUCCACUAUUUCUGGCACGGAUGACUUGAUAAACUCUUCUUCAUUUUUUGUUAAUGAUUCUAGUCGGUACCGGAGCUCCCUCGGUUUCCUUAUUCCUUUUCUUUCUUGUCUCAAUAGGUCAUCGGAAAAAAAGUUCAGAUUUCUUGUCUGGCUUCCAUUCGACAUAGACUGAUGCUCGAAUUCUGCCACGCCAUAACCCAUCUUCUUGUUCGGAUCUGAGAAAUUUAACUCAGAUUUCCCAAUCAGAACAACAGAAAAAUUAUGAAGGAUAUGAUAGCGAAUUAGUAGAUUUAGGAGUACUUACAGGUUUCAUGUAUCUAUAUCGGUAAAGAGAAGACAGAGAAACGGCCGGCGUCGACGAUGAGUAAAGCAGGAAAAACAAAGGAAUUCGUUGGUUAGAGAAAGCUUGCAAGUCGGGUCUAUGUGAUUAACAAAAAGAAGAAAAAAAAGUUCAUCUACGUGAUUCAUUGCUUCCACUCUUCAUUUCAUGCAUGGUUUAAAACAAAUCAAUAUUUUUUUCAUAUCAACUUUAUCUUUAUUUCGAGAUUUUGAAUAGAAUUUAGUGAUCUUAAUUUGCCAAAGACUUAACUUUUCCGUCGUCUUCAUCCUAGUUGGACAACCUGCUUCCAAAGUUGUGAUCUUUGCAGCCAUUAAAGGGAAUUUAACGAGGAGGUGAUUGAAAAAGUUUAACAUGUCGAGCACCCUUUCAGAGGAAGUUAACCUGUUCUUAGUGACCUGAAUUUGAGAGCUCAUUGUGGGAAGGUAAACAUAAUUGUUUGCCCUUGACCAGGGAAAGAGAAGCCUUCUAAAAACAUCGAAAGAUAACUCAUGGAGCAAGUCAUCGGCAUCGUAAGGUGCAUCUUUCAGCUUUCCAAGCCAAGCUGUGAAAUUGCUGGUCGCAGAUCGCUCUUCGGCGUCAGGCAGAGACGAUGAUUCUGAGGUCGUCGGGGUCAUCUUUGACAAGGCGCAGCCUUUCAGAGAGAAUAAGGGAGCUCAAUUUGUCGCCCAAGGUGAACCCAGCUUCUUUCUCGCGCGCGCAUUCGACAUAACUUUCUCGCGAUGGGCGCAAGCAUAUUCAACUUCAACAUAACUUUCUCGCGAUGAGCGCGAGCGAGCAUACUCUAACAAUAUUAAUUUUUUUAUCCAUUACUGUCGAAAUGAACUAAAAAAACUCGUCCUAACAGAAUUGUAAUGACUUACUUAUCUUUUAGCUUUACCAAAAACAAAAAACAAAUCAUUUUAAAAAAUGAAGUACUCCAACAACUUCUCCUUUCUGUCUACUUCAAAAGCUAAACAAACCAUUAUGAUCUCCACUAAAUACCGACGUUGAGAUUUUUUUCAAAAUACAAUCAAAACUCUAUUACCUAGGCAGACUUGCGCACGGCUUUCGUUGAAGAAUAGAGUCAAGUUUGACAGCAAACUUUCCGGUAGUCUUAUCGCGUCAAUUUUACAUAGAGAAAGUUAAAAUCUCGAGCUUUUGGUGAUGGAAGUUGGACUUAUUUAUAAUCCCAUCUUAUUGAAAAAUUGCUUUGUUUCUUCAGUUUUUCUCUUGCACACCCCACCCUGCUCUUUCUUUUUUUCACUGCGGUUUUACUCGUGCCAAAAUGAGCAUAGCUAACAUUUCAUCCCCUCAAGAUAGCUAUGGAAGAUCUGGAAACUUGUUACCACCUGAGAGACCGACACCAGCAAUCAAUCAAAACUUUCAAGAGUGAGAUAUUUCAUUUGGCGACUACACGAACCAGAAUGGAGACAUGAACUUUCAACAGAGAGAGAUCGAGAACUACUUGAUGCCAAGUGCAGGCAUAGGUGAGAACUCCUUGAUGCGGAUGCCCUGCACAUCCCAUGCCUGCACUCGGCAUCAAGGAGUUCUUAGCUAUGCCUGCACUUGGCAUCAAGUAGUUCUCGAUCUCUCUCUGUUGAAAGUUCAUGUCUCCAUUCUGGCUCAUGUCGAGAUCCUUGAUGCCGAGUGCAGGCAUAGGUGAGAACUCCUUGAUGCCGAUGCCAAGUGCAGGCAUAGGUGAAAACUCCUUGAUGCUGAGUGCAUGUAUGAACUCUCAAGAGAAAGAGUUCUCAGGUGAUUUGGUUUUUCAGCCCUCAACAAGCUUUUGGAACCCUGAUCCUCAUAUGGUAUGUUAUGCAUAAUUUUUUUAUUUAAUUUAAUGAUAAUGUAUCCUGUUAUUAUUUACUGAUGAUACAUAAAAUUUAUAUAUCAACAGUACAUCAAAAAUUAUUGCUUCUAAAAAUUACUUGCUUAUCGUGCAUCUUUCCGGUUAAAUUUUUUUCUUGCUGCUAUUAUAUUGUUGUUUUGUUAUGCAAAAUUUGUCCUCCAAUCUAAAAAAAAUUGUUGAAGAAGUGCCAAAUUAAUUGAAUUCUCCACCUACAAUUGAGACCUUGUUACAACAUAUAUUUUUCUUGUAUGUCUUCAAACUCACAAGCAACAUUUGCAACAACAAAUUCUCAGGAAAUGACUCAUGAUUUCACUAUGUUGAGGGUUCAAGCUUUUCGUUUGAAUGAUUUGUUUUAAUCUAAAUUUCUUAUAUCCGUGUCAAGAUGGGAUGUCAUACCUUGAAAAUCUCUAUAAAGAUAUUGGAGACUGUUAUGAGAGUGUGACACCAGCAACCAAUCAGAACUGUCAUAUCUCAUGCUAAGACCUGUUUUUGGACUUAAGAAAGGAGUUGUUAAGCCAUUUUCAGCUAUAGUACUUUUAUUUGGUUGUUAGUUUUGAAUACAAGUUCAUGCCCUAUGCAUGAAUGUUUUUUUUUUUUUGUAGUUUUCUUAAAGUAUUUAGUUUUGAAUACAAAAUUUUAGUCCCAUAUUUUGGGUCAAUCAAGCAUAAAGUAGGCCCAUAUUUUGGGUCAAGCUUAGUCAACCAUAAAAUGUGUUAACCUUUAAAUAUACCUAUAUAUAUUGCAUUGAACAUCAACUCCCUUAAGUAGCUUUUGGGGACUUGGAUUUCAAAACAUGGAUUUGGGUUGUCAAGCUUUAUGACAAAACACGUAAAUGUAACAUCUAUGAUUGUUUCACUAAUAAUAAUCAGAUUAAAUCUCGACUAAUUUAUAUACCUAACCCUACACACAUCAUUUGCAUAGUUUAUUAUUCUAAAUGAAAUACAAAUCCGAAUCUUCAAAAUUCAUGUUUUCAUAAGUAACUUUACUUUGAAAUCGUGACUUGUCUAUAUUUGUUGUUGUAGCUUUUUUCAGCAUGUUCAUGGAUUGAUAUGAAAGAAAUUACUGCAACUAAUGAUCUUGUGACUGUUAAUCAAGAUCAUGUAAGUUUGCCAACUCGUGAAGUGUUAAUGGCUAAUUUUAUUAGUUUGAGAAACCAACUUUAUGAUACAACAAAGUGGAUUAAUAUACAGAUUUCAAAGGCUUAAACCAGGCCUUGAAGAACACUACAUGGGGGUGGGGGGACCAGCUUACUUGAAACAAAUACAGUAUUAGAAUCCAAAAGGCUAUCGGUAAAGCUAUUGAGGAUCCGCAGAUUCUGAGUUCUGGCCCGUAAUGCAAUCAAAUAGAUGGAAGAUUUGUUGAUCUGCGUUGGAAAAAUGGGAGCUUGGUUUUCAAUUGGAAUUUGCUGAUAAACUGUUGCUGAAGAAUUUGCUUGCCUAUUUUGCUUACUCAACAACGGUUGUAAGAUACUUGAAAAUGUUCAGUUUGGAAUUUGUUCAAUUUGAUAAUCCGUUAAUGGUUUUUACAAGCUACGCUACAAGAAAGGUAUGAAAUCUAUGCCCUUCGAAUCACCCAAAAAAAAAUCUAAAGCUCCUAUAUUGUACCUACAUUUAUGGUUGCUCAAAGGGUCUUGUUGUAUUUAUAGCGGAGGUCUUGCGUCCGGUAGUGUCACGCCACUAAUAGUAUGGGUGGUGGAUUGGUUGUGUGGUCAAUUAGGUGGCAAAUUGGUUGUUGUCGAUCGCAAUAAUGUUUUAACAUUUUCUUUGCGAAUUUAGUAUGAGGUUGUUAUGUUUCAAUGAUUCUCUCUUGGAGAUUAGUGUGUUCCUGCUAAAGGCGAGUGUUUCAUUGGAAGAUAAAGCGUAUUAGCUAUACGAUGUGAGGCAGAGGGAAAUCCACUAAAACCUCUCAGAUACCUUCACAUCGUGUCAUGUGUCCAAGCUAGAUAAGAGUAUAACAAUUAUUUAUUAAAUGUUUAUUAAAAUUUUAAUAUAUAUAUUUAUUAAAAUAAUUAUAAUGACUUUAUUGAUUAAAAAUAUAAUUAAAACAUUGUUUUAUUAAAGUAAAUGAUAAAUGAUAUAGAUUGUUUGAUAUUAAAUUAUGAUUAUGAUCUUUCUACUAUGUUUAAAUAUAAGAUUUAAUAUUUAUAUUUAAUUUCACAUAAUUUGGUUUAUUUACUUUUAUAAUAUUAUUAAUUAGUCUAAAUAUUGCGGUCCUUUACUUGCUCUUGUUAAAAUACUAAGACGAAUUUUAUCCUAAAAAACACUCAUUCAAAUUUAUCACCUAAAUAGAUUUUGUGUGUGUGUGUGUGUUUUAGAAAUUAAUUGACAUCAAUAUUUUAACAAGAAUAGUAAAUAUAAUAUUUGGGCUAAUUAAUGUCAUUGUAAAAAUAGAAAAUCAUGUUAUAUGAAAUUAAAAUAUAAGGACUAAAUCUCAAAUUUAACUUAAAAUAUGUGCAAUAAAUUUAUCUAAACUCUUCUGUAUCGAACUAGUUUAUAUUGAACUAUGGUAGUUACUUAUUUUCUAAUUGGGUUAAUAUACCAUUUGAUAGUUGUAUUUAGUUUCAAUAUUUAAUUCGAUAUUUAAUUUCGGUUUCAAUAUUUUAUUUGGUAUCCCGAUCAAACAACGUUAUGUGCUCUCAAUGAAUGUUUGACAAGUGUGUUCUAAUUAAAAAAAAUAUAGAUAUUCAAUUGGAAAAAAACUCAAAAACCAAAGUAAACCUUGAAGUUAAAUUACGGUCCUUAAUUGGGACAAAAAAAAAACUCAAGUACGAAACCGAGAAACCUCAAGUACUAAAGUGAACAUUGAAGUCAAACUCAGUAAAAAAAAAAAUGGGACAAAACAAAAGGCUUAAGUACCAAAUUGAAUAUUAAAACUAAAAUAGACGCCAUUUAGUAUAUUAUCCCUUUCUAAUUUAACUGGUUUUUACUUGGUUCAAUCGCCCCUUACUCCUUGUAGCUGGUUUUGUUUCUUUACCCGAAUCUGAUCCAAGCUGAUAUUUAACCUUUACGCAGACAUGGAGACCAAUGGAAGGACGGACUUAAUUGAUAUGAUACUAAUACUUCAAAGACAAUUAAAACAUUUUAAAGUUUAGGACUAUUUAGAAUCUGACUAAUAGUUCGGGGACUAACUAAUGAAAUUAACCAUCUUAUUAAAACCCUACCUCCAUAAAUAGCUUCAUUUCAUUAGUUCGCUCUUUGGCAGCUGCACCUUCUCUCCUCUCCUCUACCUGUGAGUACUUUUAAUUGGUUCUAUUUCGUAAUCGUUGAGUUUCCUUAGUUUAUAAUUUUUUAUAUCCCUUAAAAAAAUACAUUUAGGUGGUGUUGAUUUGCUUGCUCGUUAUGAUUUUCAUUUGUUUUUUUUUUCCCGAUUCGUCAUCUGAUCUCAGUUAAAUUUCCCAGAUCUGUUCAAAAUGCUAAACGAUGACAGUUUUUUGAAUAACACGGAUUGGCCUUUUAGCAACAAUUGGGGUUUUGAUGUGGGAACUACACGAUUGGAUCUUCAACAGCUUGAGGGAAACAUCUAAAGUAAACGACGAACGAACUUCCAUUGAUAACCGAUGAACUUAGUGUUUGAAGGAAGCAAGAUCAUUUCCCGGUUUCAUUUUUCUUCCGUCGGUCAGGUAGUUCGCCUGGUUUUUACUUUAGAUGUCUCCUUCAUGCUGUCUGUAGGUCUACUAAUCUCCUAGAACAAGUUCAGUGACUUCAUUUUAGCAGCAGUUGAGUCGAAAUGGAUAUUGUUCGAAAAACACUAGAAGUUUGAACAAUUUUAUCUACAAUUAUCAGAGGUAUUCGAUGUUUAAAUCUAAAGCUUGAUUACUAAGUUUGAUUUCAUUAUUUAAGUCUUCAUUUAACUUUCUAUUUGACGUAAUUAUUCAGGAGCUGAAAGAAAAAAGCAAGAGAGCUAUGCAAUCUUGAAUAAUAGUAUGGUAUGCACAUUAUACUCUAAGCCCUUCUUAUUUAUAAAUCACAUUAGUACUUUGAUUUGGUUGUGGUGAGUUUCAAAUGAGAAUUCAUGCCCAACACAUGCAUGUUCAACUUUUUUAGUUCUUUUAGUUUUCUUAAUGUAUUUAGAAGAAUCUUUGAUGGUCAUAUCCGAUACCUAUAGUCAAAUGUGUUGGUAAAUUACUCAUUUCUAAAUAACUUCAUAAUUAUAAUGUCAAAUACGGGUUUGCAUCUAACAUGUAUUUGAAGGAAUCUUGAUGGGUCAUAUUUGAUAUCCAUAUCACAAUAUGCGUCAAACAGGCACUUCAAGCAAACCUCUACCUGAACAACCUAGAGUUUUAAUAUCAGACCAGAUAACCUAAUGUGUAGGACUCUCCCUGCUUCUCCAAUUCUGCAUUUACUUUUGCAUUGAAAACUCUGUAUUUUUGCGGUCUAUAUCCGGCCUCAAUGCCUCGAGUUGUUCUUAGGACCCUUAAGAAGAGAGGUAUGAUAUAGGUGCAUAUGUACAUAGUUGUAUAUUUAUUGGAUUGGAAAAUCAUGAUCAAAACCAAGUUAAUGAAAACGACAAAACAAAGUGAUUUGGAAAAUCAAUUUACUUGAUCAAUUUUGGGUGCAUAUGUAUCUCUGUUGCAUCUCCAUUUUCUGCUGUAUCAAGGGUUCAUAAUUUCUCAAGUGAUCAGUCUGGGGUUGCCUUACUGGACGGCUUUUCAUUUCAAUCCUUUAUUCAUAUUCUCUUACAUUUCAAGGGUUGGGAACUAGACUUUGAAAAAUUGAGGUAUCGAUAUAAUUUCUUUAUUACAAUAUAUUACACUUCGAACUUACGGCACUUGCCUAUUUUUUGUUGUUUCAGCUGUCUGCAGCCUUUACAUGGUUUGUUCAGAAGAACUUGCUACUAAUGAGCCUAUUACCUCUGAUCAAGAUUGAGAAGAUUUGCCUCUUACAAUGCAAAGUGAAAAGGCUAUUUUUGAUUAUUAACUUUGUGGAAGGGACAAUGAAACUCCGGAGUACAUGCAACUUAUCGCCGUCAGAAUCGAGAAUGUAAUACUCCUGAAUUAUUAUGAAAGUAGUAAAAAAUUGAAAGUGUAUAAUUGAUUUUUCGAUAAUGUGAGAAAAUGAUAUAAACAAGAUAAAAGAAAGGUCAAAAUUUGAGAUACAAGUAUAGUUAUUCAGAAUUUGAAGGGUCAAAAUAUAAAUAUGAAAAAUAUUGGUUUAUGUGUAAAUAUUUAAAAUUUUGAGGGGUUAAAGUAUAAAUAUGGGAAAGUUGAAGGGUUAAUAGUGCAUAUAUCUUUAAGGGUUGAAAAUGGAUGAAUAAGGAUUAAAUUGAAUAAAUGGAGAAUUAUGAGUGAUUAAAUUACAUAUUUAUCAAAACAAGUGAUGGCUCAAGUGUACAUGCAAUAAAGCAAUAGAUAUUGAAGUUGUUUGUCGACUACAUAGUUUCAAAGUCUACAUGGCCUUUAUAUGGUGGGGAAUGUUAGAAAACCGAAAGCGGUUGUAACUGUUGUAUUUGGAAUGCAUUAAUGCAGUGGUGAGGUUUGUGAAAUCUAGAACAAUGUGAUUUUUUUUUAUUAGAGAACACAAUAUGAUUUGCUUUUAACCAGAAUAUAGAGUUGAUAGAAUUUCGUAAAAGAAUUAGGCGAAAUAUUUUAGAUCUAUGACAAUGAAAGUUUCAUCUAUUAAGUAUUGAUUUUGUGUUUUAGUCGAUUCCGUGAGAUAUCAAAGGUGCUUGGGGCUUGAAGGCAAUGGUGUAGACACACCUCGAAAGUGGAUCACCGUUUCUUGAGGUAUAUGUGGAAUUUUCAAGACCAGAUGAAAGACUUGUGACUUUAACAUCUCUUCCUGUUUGAGAGGCAAGAACAGUUGAAAAUGUCGAUAGUAUAACUAUUUUGUUAGAAAAUUUCCAUUAUGAUAUCUCGAAAUCAUCAAUAUGAGGACUUUUAUCCGUCUUAGCCUUAGAUUUCAAUGUAUUCCUUAAGGAUUACUACCCGAAUUUCCCAAUUAUCGUAUGGUGCCUAUUUAAACUAUAUGAAUGUGAUAAAAACAUUAGUUAUAUAUAUACACUACUAAAUACAAAAUAUGAAAUCAACUACGUUAUUUGUAUAUAGUUCAAAAUUAAAUAAAUACAUACAUCUGCUUCCGAUCAUUGGUCUAAUAGAAGUCGUAUAUCUUGAGGCUCGAUAGGUAAUCCCACGCAACUCAGGGUAUGGUUCCACCUAUUUAAAUAACUUAUUAGCAUAAUAAUUUGAUUUUAAAUCAAUUUAAUAAUGGUAAUAUAUACUAAAUUUUACCUUAUUACGAGUGAGAAUGUAUAUAGGUAGUUCACUUAAGGACGUAAAAAUGGAAAGUGGUACUGAUGCCAUGAUUGCAGUAAUAAAAGGCAACCAUCAAUUUUGAUUUUUUCUGGUUGUGUCGCCUGACACAUAUCUCGAUACAAAGUCGCCAACACGAUGGACCACCAACUAAGUUCAUCUGCUACUCUAAAAUCGAAGAGUUUCAGUAGCCACCUUAGAUGGAGGAGAUUUCAUAACUUAUUCAGCAUUAGGAUACCCCCGAUGAUUUGAAGGAUGUAUGCCCGAACGUAUUGUUCUCUGUGGACUUCAGUCGAAUCCUCAAACAGCUCCGCGAAAUUAUUUCUUAACUAGGCCAUUUCGAUCCGACCUCCGUAAAUUGUUUACGGAACCACACCCAAAAGAUCAUAAUAUGGGGUUCCCCAGUCAACAGGCCGAACAGACCCAAUGACUACCAACCUUACACAGGUAAUACCAAUUGUAACUAUACGCCUUCUAAAGUGAUAGUACACUCACCGCAUGGAAAAUGAAAUGUGUGUGUCUUGAGUUUCCACCUUUUUACCAAUGCACUUAUGAGUUUUGACUUCAACUUACACCCCCGGCCUACAAGAGCCAUGUGCAAAAAACCAACUUCCCCCAGAUAUGUUUCGAUUAACGGUGAUGGAGGAUUGGGUAAAUUAUGAAUGUGGUAUUACAAAAUUCGAUCAUCCACUUAUUUAUAUAAAAGUUAUAAAAAAAAUUAAGUUCAAUUAUAACUAUGAAAUAAAAAAAUUUUAAAAAUUUAAAAAUUUAUUCUUACCAUUUGCAAUUGGUUACGGAGAUGUGCUUGUUAUCAAGACGGAUUAGAGACCCGACCAUUGCUAAAUAUAUAAUUGAACACAAAUUUUUUUAAAAAAAAAUACUAUUUCUUAAAAUUACUAAUAAAAAAUAAUAAAAAGAAUAAUUUGGAUAAAAAUAUAGAAUUGAGAAAAAUAAUUUAAGAGACUAUUUGAAAGAUUUUUGAGAGAUUUAGGAGAGAAUUGUGUGUGAAAAAUGCGUCUGUAGGGAGAUUUAUAUAUAUAUAUAUAUUUACCGUUGGGGUCCAACGCCUAGUUCAAAUAGUCGUUGGAGUUGACCGUUAGAGCACGGGCAAAAAUACUUCUACGUUGAAGUGCUUUACUAAAUCGUGCUGACGUAGACGCGUUUUACAUAUUAUUAGGGAAAAAAGAGUUGGGCUAAACACAUUUUCUCACGUUUCCCUUAAAAACGACAUCAACUUAACCCAUUUCAGGGGAGCCGACCCCUUCUAGAAAAUUUUAUACAAAACAAUCCAUUUCCAUAAUUUUUUUUUUGUAAAUGGGCCUUUUGUCGUUAUUUUGGGUCGGUAAAAUAGCCUAGUAACUUAAAUCAAGGAAAAAAAGAUAUGGAGGGUACGCGUGGAAAGGCUGGUCAGUGGACCUACCAAUAUACAAAUUUACAUACUCCGUCUCGAGUUCCUUCAAAUUUCUCGAGCUGUCUUCAAUACCACUUGACUUAAUUCCCUAUAAAUCAUUUCAUUUCAUAAAUGAUUUGAUUUCAUUCAUUUCUUUGCGCAGCCAGCUUUUUCCUUCUCUAUCUCUGACUUUGAUUUUGCUGUGAGUGUCCUUUUAAUGGUAGAGUUUUAGGAAAUCUGGUUUCAUAUCCUUUGGUUUUGUUACUUUAUAUCUGUUGUUUGAGUGGAGUUCGUUUGUUUCUUUCUAUCUGAAUCCAGCAAAAUCGUUAGUGUUUUCUGUUCAAUGAUUUCCGCUGAUCUGAUUUUAAUUUCCCCAGAUCUGUGAAAGAUGACCAACCAUGACAGUGAUUUCAACUAUGGCGAACUUUUUGCUGAUUACUCUCCGAGCAACACCAACCUGGGAUCUACGGUAGACCCUCAGACGGAGACAUCUAAAGUAGAAACUAGCGCGGACGGACUGCUGUUGUCCAGCCUGGAACCUACAGGAAACCUUCGACAGCCUGGGAGGGCGACGCCUGUAGUACCGUAUGGCGUGGACGGACUGCCGUUGUCCAGCCUCGAAUCUACAGGAAACCUUCUACAGUUUGGUAGGGCGACACCUCAAGUACAAGAUGGCGGCAGCGGACUGUUGUUUUCGGUCGAUUGUAAUCAGGCUAACUUGGGCAUGAAAAGAGAACAUGAAUUAGUCUCUUGUAACUUUUCAGCAGCUAAAGGACGAGUCACAAAGAAGCAGCGCCGGGGAACCCUUUCUAUCGGUGAAUCACCAACUCUUCAAGAACAACCAGAGCCGAAACCGAGAAGGAAAGAACUUAUUGAGGAAAAACCUAUACAGGGAGGUGCGAAAAUUUUAGUGGAUCGACUUGACAGAAAAAUAAGUAAAGUAAGUCUCAUAUUCAACUCAAAUUAUUGUUGUGCAUUAUACAUUUAUGAUGAAGAUAAUAAAUCCCACACCGCCUGGAUUGGUCGCCCAUCAACUAGUCAAUGAUUCAGGCUAUUAGUCCGAAAAUCCUUGCAUUGUCAAUGUCUAUAUGUUUCUAACACUUGUUUUGUGCGUAUAUUUGGUGGCAUGAAGACUUCUUUGAAUAUGUAUAAGAUGAUUGCGGAGAGAGCCUGUGAUCUCUUACCAAAAAUUUUCGGCUCCCUUGAGCAAAUCGAAGCAAAAUGGCCACUGCUAUCUGAUCUCAAGAAAGUUAAGCAAAAUAUCAAGGAAAUCCAGCGGAAUCACAAGGGACAGCGUUUACCAGAAGCUGAGGCAAAGCAGAAAUUGCUCCAAGUAGGAAAUGAGCUCCUACAAUCUAAUCAACAACUAAAGGUACACCAAUGUUUACAAAUAUAAUUACCGAGUUCAAUAUCCUCUUGAUCUAACGAUUUAACUUGGCUUUUCAGGAGUUGAACAAAGGAAAGAACCCUGUGGCAAUGUUCCUUAAUAACGAGGUCUGCACAUUUCUUAUCAUUGAUAUUAACUAAUAUAGUAUUAUAAUUAUAAUUAUAAUUAUAAUUAUAAUUAUAAUGCAUGUCCUUAUGCACUACACUUGUUUUUAGACGUAGCAAGAAGUCUCUUUUUCAGCUAUUUGUUUGGAUUCAGGUUUACGCAUUGGAUACGUAUUUGUGUAUUUGAAGAUAUACCUAUAUUCAAAUAUGUGUCGGUACAUUCCUCAUUUAUAAAUCUCAUCACAAUGUAAAGUGUUUCCUCAUCCAUUACACUUCUUUUCUAGAUCUAGUAAGAAGUCAUUUUCAAUUAUGAGUGUUUUUGUAUGGAUUCACGUCUAACCUUGACAUAUUUAAAUUUUUUUUAAAUUCAUAUAUUUAGAAAAACCUCAAAAGUUAUAUUCUAAACCAAUGUUCAUUCAUGUGUCAAACGAGUAUAAAGUGACACAGCUUUGAAAAUACUAUAUAUGUUAAACCUAUAAACUUGGAAAGAAAAAGAAAUGCAUAUCUUUCUUGAUUAAUUUGUUGUCUACCCAUAGCUUCUUUUUUCAGGUCUCAAUAUCUGAAGUUAUUUUUAGACUUGCCCUUAUUAGCAUCUUUAAUCAUUUGUUUAUAUUUCUCCUAAAUUUCAGGACUUCGACCUGGAGACUCUUCAAAAAGAGGUAUGGUGUAUAUAUAUAUAUAUAUAUAUAUAUAUAUAAAUUUGGUAGAUGAUGAGUGGUAGAUUUGAAAACUUGAAUUACGAAAGUAGCAUUAGAUAUAAAUGUUCUUUCUCGAAUGUUUUAAUAGUACUUGAAUUUAGUGUAUGCAUCUAAUAUCAUGUUUUAUAACAGAAAUGACUAUUUUGCUUUUUAAUCGAAUAUAUAGGGAUUAAUUUGAUUUUUUUUUAGUAAAGAGAGGCAAAAUACAAUCUCACUCCUAGCAUAGGGGUUUCCGUGGUCCUUUUACCAAAUUAUGACAUGUUUUUGGUGUUUGUUAUUUCAGUUUUAUUCUGAAUAUCCAUGGAUGGAAGAAGUUGCUGAUGAUCAUGGAAGUUUGCCAACUCAUGAAGAAUUACAGUCUAAAUAUAAUGAGUUGGCAAACGAAAUUUAUGCCAAAGACAAUAGCAAAGGGGAUGUUCAAGACGAAUUAAAGUCUAAAAUUAAUGAGUUGGAAAAGGAAAUUUAUGCCGAAGACAACAACAAAGUGGAUUUUCAAGACUUCCCUGCCUUACGACACGUUACUGGUCUGGCACCUCCAGAUUACCUUAAAUCUAUUGCAAUUCGAAUCGAACAGGCUCGUGGAAAAGCCACUGAAUGUAUCAAAAUUGGUAGUCAACUUCUGGUCUGCGCUGCAAUUAAAGAGAUGGAAGAUUUGCUAGUCAAGGAUUUGGACAAGUAUAGUUUGAAAAAAUGGGGAGCCGCACUCAAGAGCGCUAAGGAACAAGAUUUUCAAGUGGAGUUUGCUGAUGAGCUGUUGCAUGAUCGGCUUGUUUUAUUUGCUGUUCAACAAUGGUUGGGUGCAACUAAAAAAAGGGGUUCCAAAAUCAUUAGUGGCUGAGCUCUCAUAGUUGUGAAUCAAAGGGUGUUUUUGCAGUUGCAGCAAAAUAUUUGGAAAAUCACCCUGCUUCAAUUUGUUUUUCAUGGACUUUAGGUUUCUAUAUUUACUUACCUUGUUUGUCUGGACCUUAUUCAUGUGGUGUUGUGUUAUAAUCAUAUUUGAGAUGAGCUUUGAAAGAUUAAUAUUUUAUAUUAUAUGGAUGGAUUUUGAGAUAUUGAUAUAUUUUAUGUUGAUGUUGUAACAUAUGGUAUCUAAUAUUGUUAUGUUUGAAUUUUAUCUAGAUUGUUCUUGAAUUUAUAUUAUGUUGGUCUAUUUUGUUCAGUUAUAAUUGCAUUUAAAAUAUUUUAUUUUUAUAUAAAUUUUGAUACCUUUAAUAAUUUAUAUUACAUUGUGAUAUUCUAUCUUAAAACAAUGAUAUAUUUCAUGUUGGUGUAUUAUCUUUCUAUUAUAUCGUUUGGUAUCAUGUGAUAUCUAAUAUUGCCAUGUUUGAUUUUUUUUUUAUUGUGUUUGUAUUUUUUUGUCAUAUUGAUAGGUUUGAUAGUAUAAUUUUUUGUCUUUGAAACUUGUCAAUUAGGUCCAUUUUUGUUAUUUUAUUUAGUAAUUAAAUUCAUUUUGGUCCCUAAAUUUGGAUAAUGUCAAGAUUUGAUGAUGUGAUUAGUAUUACUAGAUUAAGACCAAAUCGAAUAGAUUGAGAACUGAUUAAUAUAACGAUCCGAACAAAGUGGUUGAAUCGAUUGACUAUGAAACUUUUAUAUCUUUUCAAAUUUAGGGAUCAAAAUGGACCUAGUCAUUAAGUUCAAGUCACAAAAAUAAUUACAGAUACCAAAAUAAAUUUAAUUACCAAGUUUAUAAAUAAAAAAUAUAUCUUAUUCAUGUUGUAGAGAUAUGAAACCAUUGAUAUAUCUCCUAUUUUAUCUUGUUUUGCAUCAUGUGGUAUUUAAACCUUUUCAGUAUUUAAAACCCUAAAUUUUUAACUAGGAGAAGAUGCCAAAUUUGGGGCCAAAUGCGUAUUUAAACCUAUUUCCUUUUUAUUUAUUAUUUGGAUUGUUAAAUCACAUUUUGGAGCCUCAAUUUUUUUUUAUUCAAUUUAGGUCCUAAAUUUUUUUAUGUCAAAGUUAUGCACUUAGCUAAGCAAUUGUUCGCGCAUUAGAGUAGGAAUUUUUUGAAAACAAAAGCACCAUUGUAAGAAUAUGAAUUAUUUAAAAAUUACUUGAAUUUAAUAAUAAUAUUAUCAAAAUGUAAAAAAACAUAAAGUUUGUAAAAAAAAACUAUUUAAAUAUUAUAAAUUUUAUAAAAAUAAUUAAUUAUGAAAGUGAUAUUGGGUCUAGAUUAUUUACGAAAAUAGGGUGAUUUUUACAGUAGCUUGAGUGUCGUCUAACAGAUUAGUGGAACCAUUCGAAAUUUUUUAAAAAUAAUAAUUUUUUAAAUGAUGUUGCCUGACAUAUUAGUGAUACUGAUAUAAAUUUUUUUAAAAAUAUUUGUAUUUCCUCUUAAAUGCAGUACAAAAAAUACAUGGUAGAUUUUUUUAUGUGUGGUGCCGCCUAACAUAUUAACUAUAUUAGUGUAAUUUAAAAAAAUGGCAAAAAAGGAAAAAAGAAAACUAAAAAAGUGAAAAAAAAAAUGUUGACCUAAAGAUUUAUCUUUUUCUCUUCUAUGUCUAAUUUUUUUUUCUUGGCCUCAUGUUUAUUAAAUUUUCUUUUUUCAAAGCAGUUUGGAAAUAACAUAUCAAAUUUUCUCGGAAAAGAAAUUGUAUUCAUGAUUACUAUGAAAUAAUAAACGGUUGGAUAUUUUGAUUUGAUUUGAUUUUUACGAAAUCGAUGAAUUCAAUUUUAUACAUUAUUUAUAAGUAUUUAAUUUUAAUUAAUAUAUCAAACAAAUUUAUAACUUAAAUUCAAUCUUUGGUGCAAAAUAAACUUCAUAUAGAAAUCCAAAGUCUGAGGACAAACACAUUAAAGCCGAUACCAUUGUAGACAUAGCAGCAAGCCAACAACACAACCAAUUGCCUUUGCAUAGCUAUUUUUUUGCAGUCGAUUUGGGAAGAUUUUGAGCAGCAAAAUAGGCUAGCAAAUUCUUCUUCAACAGAUUAUCAGCAAAUCUCACUUGAAAACCAAAUUUCUCAGCGUAAUUAAGUGUGGCGCCCCACUUUUUCAAGGUAUCCCAAUCCAAAUCCCCAACCGAGAAAUCUUUCAUCUCUUUGAUCGCAGCGCAGACCAGAAUUUGAAUGGCGACAUGAAAAACAUCAGUAGUCUUUCCACGAUCUUUUUCGAUUUGGAUUGCAAUAGAUUCGAGGUACUCUGGAAUUUCCCCCCAAGCAGUGUUCUUCAAUGCCUGUUCCAAGCCUGGGAAAUCUUUGCAUUCCACUUUGUCGUUGCCUUUGUCAUAAAGUUGGUUCUCCAAAUCACGGAAUUCAGAUUGUACUCCUUCACGUGUUGGAUCAUUGGCUGCAGUAACUUUUACCUUCCAUUGGAGGUGGGAAAAAAAAAGUAAUACUCGAUUAGGUUAGUAAUACUUAACUCAAACAGCUCAUGAGCCAUAUCGAGUCUUUUUAUAUUUUCAUAUAAUUAAAUUACACUAUUUCCCUUAAUAUAUUAUUAACUUUAAGCUUCAUUAUUAAACCGAUCUCAGACUCGAGUAUCAAGUUCUAAAUUCAGAAAUCGAGCUUGAACCUGAUAGUAUUUGAAUUCAGCUUGGCUCGGUUACACUACAUAAAACUCAAUUGAGAUUUAAUGUGUGGUUAUGUAUCGGAAAGAUAUAAAAGAAGCAUCGAAUCUCAAAUUCAUUACUCAACAAAGAGAAGGGGAGGCUAUUAGUGAUGAUAGUGGUGUGUUUCAUUAAGUCUUAUCACCUUUGCAUGACUAAGUUGCCUUGCUUUUUCUAGGAGAUAAUACCACUAGACAGGGACCAUUUUGGAAAUAAAAACCAGAUUUUGAGGCUCAGACAAACAAAUUUUCCAAAUAAACAAAUGAAUAUUAAUAGAUGUCGGUUCCUUCAAACUUGCAGAUUUAUUAAAAUAAAGUGAAUAUGAAUUAGUAAGUUCGAUUAAGAGACCUACAUUAUCUAUCCCUCUUUUGGUUGGAUCAUCGUAAGUUUCCGCUAUUUCUGGCACGGAUGACUUGAUAAACUCUUCUGCAUUUUUUGUUAAUGAUUCUAGUCGGUACCGGAGCUCCCUGCUCGGUUUCCUUAUUCCUUUUCUUUCUUGUCUCAAUAAGUCAUCGGAAACAAAGUUCAGAUUUCUUUUCUUGCUUCCAUUCGACAUAGACUGAUGCUCGAGUUCUGCCACGCCAUAACCCAUCUUCUUGUUCGGAUCUGAGAAAUUUAACUCAGAUUUCCCAAUUAGAACAACAGAAAAAUUAUAAAGGAUAUGAUAGCGAAUUAGUAGAUUUAGGAGUACUUACAGGUUUCAUGUAUCUAUAUCGGUGAAGAGAAGACAGAGAAAAGGCCGCCGUCGACGAAGAGUAAAGCAGGAAAAACAAAGGAAUUCGUUGGUUAGAGAAAACUUGCAAGUUGGGUCUAUGUGAUUAACAAAAAGAAGGAAAAAAAGUGGUUCAUUGCUUCCACUCUUCAUUUCAUGCAUGGUUUAAAACAAAUCAAUUUUAUUUCGAGACUUUGAAUAGAAUUUAAUGAUCUUAAUUUGCCAAAGACUUACCUUUUCCGUCGUCUUCAUUCUAGUCGGACAACCUGCUACCAAAGUUGUGCUCUUUGCAGCCAUUAAAUGGAUUUUAACUAGGAAGUGAUCGAAAAAGUUUAACAUGUCAAACAUCCGUUCAGGGGAAGUUGACCUGUUCUUAAUGACCUGAAUUUGAGAGCUCAUUUUGGGAAGAUAAACAUAAUUGUUUGCCCUUGACCAUGGAAAGAGAAGCCUUCUCAAAACAUCGAAAGAUAACUCAUCGAGCAAGUCAUCGGCAUCGUAAAGUGCAUCUUUCAGCUUUUCAAGCCAAGCUGUGAAAUUGCUGGUCGCAGAUCGCUCUUCGGCGUCAGGAAGCAUAACUAUGAUUGCAGAGACGGUGAUUCUGAGGUCGUCGAGGUCAUCUUUGACAAGCUGCAACAUUUCAGAGAGAAUAAGGGAGCUCCAUUUGUCGCCCAAGGUAAGCCCAGCUUUUUCCGCCAUCGAUGGUUCAAACUAAAAUCUGGGCAAAAAUUGCUUGAUUAUUGCAAGAGAAAGAGAAUGCAGUAGUGAGUCGAAGGAGAUGAAAAUCGAGGUUUAUAGAGACUGCCAAACAAUACAAUAUGAAAAAAACAAUGUUGAUGGACGAGAAAUGUUGCUACUCAUAUUUUCAGGCGCGCGCAUUCGACAUAACUUUCUCGCGACGGGCGCGAGCAUAUUCAACUUCAACAUAACUUUCUCGCAACGAGCGCGAGCGAGCACACCCUAACAAUAUUAAUUUUUUUAUCCAAUACUGUCGAAAUGAACUAAAAAACUCGUCCUAACAGAAUUGUAAUGACUUAUUUAUCUUUUAGCUUUACCAAAAACAAAAAACAAAACAUUUUAAAAAAUAAAGUGGUCCAACAACUUCUCCUUUUUGUCUACUUCAAAAGCUAAAUAAACCAUUAUCUCCACUAAAUACCGACAUUGAGAUUUUUUCAAAAUACAGUCAAAACUCUAUUACCUAAACAGACUUGCGCACGGGCUUUCGUUGAAGCAUAUAGUGCCAAGUUUGACAGCUAACUUUCCGGUAGUCUUAUCGCGUCAAUUUUACAUAGAGAAAGUUAAAAUCUCGAGCUUUUGGUGAUAGAAGUUGGACUUAUUUACAAUCCCAUCUUAUUGAAAAAUUGCUUUGUUUCUUCAGUUUUUCUCUUGCACACCCGACCCUGCUCUCUCCUUUUUUCACUGCGGUUUUACUCUUGCCAACAUGAGCAUAGCUAACGUUUCAUCCCCUGAAGAUAACUAUGGAAGAUCUGGAAACUUGUUACCACCUGAGAGACCGUCACCAGCAAUCUAUCAAAACUUUGAAGAGGGAGGUAUUUCAUUUGGGAACUACAUGAACCAGAAUGGAGACAUGACCUUUGAACAGAGAGUGAUCGAGAACUACUUGAUGCCGAGUGCAGGCAUAGGUGAGAACUCCUUGAUGCCGUGUGUAGGUAUAGGUGUGAACUCCUUGAUGCCGAUGCCGAGUGCAGGCAUAGGUGAGAACUCCUUGAUGCCGAUACCGAGUGCAGGCAUAGGUGAUUUGGUUUUUCAGCCCUCAGCAACCUUUGAGAACCCUGAUCCUCGUAUGGUAUGUUAUUAUUUACUGAUAAUACAUGAAAUUUAUAUAUCAACGGUACAUAAAAAAUUACUGCUUAUAAAAAUUACUUGCUCUUCGUGCAUCUUUCCAGUUAAAUUUUUUCUUGCUGCUGUUUAUUGCUAUCGUAUUGCUGUUUUGUUAUACGAAAUUUGUCCUUCAAUCUAAAAAAAUUGCUGAAGAAGUGCCAAAUCCUACAAUUGACACGUUGUUACAACAUAUACUUUUCUUGUAUGUCCCCAAAACUCACAAGCAACAUUUGCAGCAACAAAUUCUCGGGAAAUGGCUCAUGAUUUCACUAUGUUGAGGGUUUAAGCUUUUCGUUUCAAUGAUUUGUUUUAAUCUAAAUUUCUCAUAUCCAUGUCAAGAUGGGGAUGUCAUACCUUGAAAAUCCCUUUAAAGAGAUUGGAGCCUCGUCACAGUAUGAGAGAGUGACACCAGCAACCAAUCGGGACUUUCAAAAUGGAGAGAACGAAGAACUGGAUCAUAAUCAGAUAAACAAGUCGAUAUCGCGUAUAGGCAUGAAAAGACGCUUUGAUAAGCUUGACAAAUCGAAAGCUAAAAAAAAAGGCAUAGAGUACCAGUGCAACUCCCAACAAUCACCAAUGCGGAAAAAUAAAAAAUAUACAAAGGAAGAGCUUGCCGAAAAGAAAACUGGGCAGGAAAUAAGGACGGUAUACAGACAUCGGAUUGACAGACAGAUAGCACAAGUAAAUUCUCCUAAUUGAAUUUAAUAAUUAUUGUUCUUUUUUAUAUGUAUAUAUAUUGAAGGUAAAAAUGCCACUACCAACGACUAGCACGGAUUCGACUCUGUAUUAUUGGUUAAACUUACUUUAAGUUAGUUUAUUAUUGAAAAGUGUCUAUGAAAGAUUUUUUUUUAAGAAUUUUGAUAGUGUUUAUUACUCGUGUUAAAAAUUAUUUUUAAACAUAUGUUGUAAAGUAGAAGAUUUAAUGAGAGAAUAAAAAAAUAAUUUAAUUUAAAGAACUUUUUUAAAGGUCAAAAGUUACAAAUUUUAACUUUUUGGCUUAGGUUAAAAUCCCACUUUAAAANNNNNNNNNNNNNNNNNNNNNNNNNNNNNNNNNNNNNNNNNNNNNNNNNNNNNNNNNNNNNNNNNNNNNNNNNNNNNNNNNNNNNNNNNNNNNNNNNNNNUUCACGAGUUUUAUCAUCAGUUGCAGUAACUUUUACCUUGCAUGGAGGUGGGAAAAAAAUCUAGAACAAACAAACAUGAAAAACAAGUAAUAAAUUCAGAGCAAUGAAAUAAAUUCUGUGCUUAACUCUGGAAAAAUGGAUUUUGAAUACCGUGUGAAUUGUGAGAAUGUUGUGUAAAUGAGAUAUUGUUGCUCACUCGAAUUUAACUUGAAAAGAAUUCGAAUUCGAUUUAAUAGUUGUUGAGCUGAGUUUAAAUUACAUUAUUUCCCUUAAUAUGUUAUUAAUUUUAAACUUAAUUAUUGAGCCAAUUUCGAACUCGAGUAGCUCAAUUAUAUCUCGAGUCAAGUAUCAAGUUCCGAAUUUUAAAUCGAGCUCAGCUCGGCUCGAUUACACCUCUAUACAUGACUACAUAAAACUCAAUUGAGAUUUGAUGUGUGGUUAUGCAUUUGAAAGACAUAAAAGAAACAUGAGAAGGAGAAGUUAGGAUUAGUUUAACAUUACUUUUAAAAAGUGCUUUUAAAAAGUGUUAUGGAAAAGUUAACUUUGACAAGUACUUUUAAAAAAUUUAGUUUAAGAUUUAAAUGUUUAGUAUUACUGUCAAAAAGUACUUUUGAUAACUAAAAAGAAAUUGCUUUUACUUUUGGGUUGAAAAGCAUUUCUGACUCCAAAAGUCCGUUUAACAUUGCUUCCGGCUUCAAAAGUGUUUUUUUUCUUUCAAGUCCUGGAAAAUAAAGUUAAAAAAAAUUUAAAUUAAAGAUUUAGAUCAUGAAAUUAAACCUGCUUUUUCAUACAAGUCCUGAAAAAUCAAGUUAAAAAAAAAUUAAAUUAGAGAUUUAGAUCAUGAAAUUAAAGUUAGUGAAAAAAUUCCUAAUAAUUUAGGUACCUCUAAUAGUUGUGGAUCAAGUUCUAAAAAAAUUAAAUUAGAGAUUUAGAUCAUGAAAUUAAAUUUAGUAAAUAAAUUCUAAUAAUUUACGUACCUCUGAUCGUUGUCGAUCAAGUUUUUCAAUCGUCUCUCCUAUUAGAAGCAGUCGCCACUUCGCCUUGGCUUCUGCUAAUACAGCAUCCUUGCACUUGCGGUCAGUUUCUUGGAUCACAUGGAUAAUCACUAGGGGAUCAGAUUGUAUUGGCCAUUGCAUUUUGAUUUGGUUGCGAUGGCAGAGAACUUGUUGAGAAGCUUUCGUUUUCCCGAUGUUAGUGGCUUUCAGCACAUAUUUCGUUUUCAUGCUCAUCAGCAGCAUCUCCACCACGCGUUGCCACUUGCAUCUCCAAUUUGUUAUCUUACCAUUCUUUUCACACAAAGCAGGUAUUAAGAGACAAUCUACAGCAUUGUCAAUGCAAGGAUUUUUGGACCAACUGUUAAAAGAUAUUACCAUUUCCAAGGAUUUUUGGACUAGACACUAGACAGGGACCAUUUUGGGAAAAAAAAUCUAGAUUUUGAGGCUCAGUUUAUGAAAUGAGCUCAACACAAACAAAUGAAUAUUAAUCAUUUACAGCCCUACUUGCAGAUUUAUAAAAAUAAAUUGAAUAUGAAUUAGUAGUUUGAUUAAGAGACUUACGUUAUUUAUCCCUCUUUCUGUUGGAUCAUCGUAAAUUUUCGCUCUUUUUUGUCUCCAGUACCGGAUAUCCCUCUGUUUCUUUUUUAGUUCUGCUUCUUGUCUCAAGAAGUCAUCGGCAACAAAUUUCAGAAUUCUUUUCUUGCUUCCAUUCGACAUAGACUGAUGCUCGAGUUCUGCCACGCCAUAACCCAUCUUCUUGUUCGGAUCUGAGAAAUUUAACUCAGAUUUCCCAAUUAGAACAACAGAAAAAUUAUAAAGGAUAUGAUAGCGAAUUAGUAGAUUUAGGAGUACUUACAGGUUUCAUGUAUCUAUAUCGGUGAAGAGAAGACAGAGAAAAGGCCGCCGUCGACGAAGAGUAAAGCAGGAAAAACAAAGGAAUUCGUUGGUUAGAGAAAACUUGCAAGUUGGGUCUAUGUGAAUAGAAUUUAAUGAUCUUAAUUUGACAACCGAUUUUGAGAUUGAAAGCAAACUGAUUUGAGUCGUACCUUUUCCAUCAUCUUCAUCCUACUCCGACGAACUUCUGGAAAAGCUGUUCUAGACGAAUCAAUGGGCAUGAUUUCUAAUUUUUUUUUCACUUUAAGCCGUCGUUGGCAAGAAUAGUCGGCCACGGAUUGCUCUUCAGCCUCCGGCUUUUUAAGCCGAGCUGUGAAAUUGCUGGUCGCAGAUAGCUCUCCGGCACCAAGAAGCAUAGCUUCCCUUGCAGACCAUGUGUUUCNNNNNNNNNNNNNNNNNNNNNNNNNNNNNNNNNNNNNNNNNNNNNNNNNNNNNNNNNNNNNNNNNNNNNNNNNNNNNNNNNNNNNNNNNNNNNNNNNNNNCUCCAACAACAGUUCUAUAAAAUCUCUGUCCAUGUUGGAUUUGGUCGUGUCUUCCGCCAUUGAUGGUUCAAACUGAAAUCAAGGCCAAAAUUGCUUGAUUAUUGCAAGAGGAAGAAAGUGAAAUAGUGAACCGAAGGAGUAUGAAACUUCAGGGUUGUAGAGACCACCAAACAAUACAAUUAAUAAAAAUAACGUCGGUAGAUGAGAAACGGUCCCACCAUGGACUUUUAUAUUUUCACGCGCGCGCAUAUUACAAUGGCUUCUCGCGAUGGGCGCGAGCAUAUUCAACUUCAACAUAACUUUCUCGCAACGAGCGCGAGCGAGCACACCCUAACAAUAUUAAUUUUUUUAUCCAAUACUGUCGAAAUGAACUAAAAAACUCGUCCUAAGAAAAUUGAAAUGACUUUACAAAAAGAAAAAAAAUUAAAAAAAUAAAGUGGUAAAAAAAACUUCUUUUCUAAUUCAAACCACUAAAUACCGACCAUUUUAAAAAUACAGUCAAACCUUAUUACCUAACCGCACUGCGCACGCGUUUUCGUUGAAGCAUAUGGCUCCAAAUUUCCUGCUAAUUUUCCAGUAAUCUUCUCGCGACAAUUUUACAAAGAGGAAGUUAAAAUCUCGAGCUUUUGGUGAUGGAAAUUAGGCUUAUUUUUCAUCCCACCUCAUUGAAAACUUUCUUAGUUUCUUCGGUGUACUCUCUCACACCUGACCUCCUCUCUCUUCUCUUCACUGGUAGAAGUACUUACUGUUGAAUUUUCUUAUCCAAUAUCAUGUCUUGCUUUCAUUUUGCAUCAUUUCUUUACUUUGAGUUCAUAUCAUUCCAUAUAGCUUUAUUUUGCUGAUUUGUAAGAAGAUUUUGAUGCCUUUCACCUGCAAAUCGUUUGUGUUUUUCUGUUUUUUUGGUUUCAAUGAUUUGAUCUAAUCUAAAUUUCUUAGAUCCGUGCCAAGAUGAGCUUAGUUAACUCGCCAUCCUCCGAUGCUUUUCAUGUCCCUGGCAACAUCGUGAAUGAUAGUAUGCCACCAGCAACCAAUCCCAUCUAUCAAGUGGAAGAGAUCCCAAGUGAGAACUACUUGACACCGAGUGCAAGCAACUUUGAUCCUAAUAUGGUAAGUAUAAAUUUUUUAUUUAAUUUAAUGAUGAUGAAUUUAUUUUUUAUUAGUAGUGCAUAAAAUUUAUAUAUUGACCGUACAUAAAAAAAUUAUUACUUGUAAUAAUUCUCUUUUCUUUUCUGAUGCACUAAAUUUAUUUUUAGAGGUUUAACUAUUUUACUUGAAUAUCAAAUAUAAAAAUUUAUGCCUAACAUAUACAUGUUCAAUUUUUCUGAAUUUUUUAAUGCAUUUAGAAGAAUUUGGAUGGCCAUAUUUGAUAUUCCUACAUUAUUUUAAGUCACAUUAUAAUCAUAAUUUCUUUUUCACUAUAGUUGUGUUUUUAGACUUAGCAAUAUGGGUUCAAAGUUUUCCUUUCUUUUUCUUAAACUUAAAUGUCGCAUGUCAUUCUUUAAAACUUAAUAUCAUAUCUUGCUUAAUACAUUGUUGCAUUACAUGCUCUCUCUUUUCUUCACUGCAAUGGAAGAAUGUACAGUUGACUUUACUAAUUCAAUAUCAUAAAUUGCUUUAAUUUUGCAUAAUUUCUUUACUCGAGCCAAUAUGGUUUUGUUUUGCUGAUUUUUCGUUGAUCUGUAAAUCGUUUGUGUUUUUUUGUGAUCUAAUCUAAAUUUCACAGACACAUGCCUCGAUAAUGAACACUCCUAGCAUGCUAACACCACAUGGAGUGACACCAGCAACCAAUUCGAUGAAUUUUCAAGAGAGAGAGUUCUCAGUUGGAAACCUUCAGUCUCCUAUGAUGGUAUGUAUACUUUUUUGUUUAAUUUAAUGAUAUGUGUCAUGUUAUUAUUUACUGAUAAUGCUUGAAAUUUAUAUAUCGAUGAUUUAUAAAAGAAUAUUACUUAUAAUAAUUCUCUUUUCUAAUGCACUAGAAUUUUUUUGUUUUGCUGAUUGGAAAAAAGAUUUUGAUGCAGUUGUGUUUUUCUAUUCUUUUCCAUUCAAUGAUUUGAUUUGAUCUAAAUUUCACAUAUCUGUGCCAAAAAGAGCAUCGAUAACAACAGAUCAAUCCUAAAAGAUUCCAAUGAAGAGAUUGGAGACUUGAGUUGAGUCUCCAAUUUUUAACUUUCCACAAGUUCAUUUUCAAACCUCAACAAGAGCUGUGAACCACGAUACUUUGGUAUGCAUUAUUUUUUAUUUAAUUUAAUGACGAUGUGUCAUAUUAUUAUUUACUGAUGCUUUAUGAUAAUCAUAUAAAUACCGUUCUCAUCAUUUAUGGUUUUUCAUCAGCAUAUCCGGGGCUUAAUAUUGUUGAUCAAAAUCUUGCAGUUACUAAUUCAAUAUUAUAUCUUGCUUAAUACAUUGCAUUACAUGCUCUCUCUUUUCUUCACUGCAAUGGAAGAAUGUACAGUUGACUUUACUAAUUCAAUACCAUAAAUUGCUUUAAUUUUGCAUAAUUUCUUUACUUGAGCCAAUAUGGUUUUGUUUUGCUGAUUUCCCGUUGAUCUGCAAACCGUUUGUGUUUUUUUGUGAUCUAAUCUAAAUUUCACAGACCCAUGCCUCAAUAAUGAACACUCCUAGCAUGCUAACACCACAUGGAGUGACACCAGCAACCAAUUCAAUGAAUUUUCAAGAGAGAGAGUUCUCAGUUGGAAACCUUCAGUCUCGUAUGAUGGUAUGCAUACUUUUUUGUUUAAUUUAAUGAUAUGUGUCAUGUUAUUAUUUACUGAUAAUGCUUGAAAUUUAUAUAUCGAUGAUUUAUAAAAGAAUAUUACUUAUAAUAAUUCUCUUUUCUAAUGCACUAGAAUUUUUUUGUUUUGCUGAUUGGAAAAAAGAUUUUGAUGCAGUGUGUUUUUCUAUUCUUUUCCUUUUAAUGAAUUUGAUUUGAUCUAAAUUUCACAUAUCUGUGCCAAAAAAGAGCAUCGAUNNNNNNNNNNNNNNNNNNNNNNNNNNNNNNNNNNNNNNNNNNNNNNNNNNNNNNNNNNNNNNNNNNNNNNNNNNNNNNNNNNNNNNNNNNNNNNNNNNNNNNNNNNNNNNNNNNNNNNNNNNNNNNNNNNNNNNNNNNNNNNNNNNNNNNNNNNNNNNNNNNNNNNNNNNNNNNNNNNNNNNNNNNNNNNNNNNNNNNNNNNNNNNNNNNNNNNNNNNNNNNNNNNNNNNNNNNNNNNNNNNNNNNNNNNNNNNNNNNNNNNNNNNNNNNNNNNNNNNNNNNNNNNNNNNNNNNNNNNNNNNNNNNNNNNNNNNNNNNNNNNNNNNNNNNNNNNNNNNNNGCAAUGGUAGUGCGGAUACCUGUUGACUUUACUAAUUCAAUACCAUAAAUUGCUUUAAUUUUGCAUAAUUUCUUUACUUGAGCCAAUAUGGUUUUGUUUUGCUGAUUUCCCGUUGAUCUGCAAACCGUUUGUGUUUUUUUGUGAUCUAAUCUAAAUUUCACAGACCCAUGCCUCAAUAAUGAACACUCCUAGCAUGCUAACACCACAUGGAGUGACACCAGCAACCAAUUCAAUGAAUUUUCAAGAGAGAGAGUUCUCAGUUGGAAACCUUCAGUCUCCUAUGAUGGUAUGUAUACUUUUUUGUUUAAUUUAAUUAUAUGUGUCAUGUUAUUAUUUACUGAUAAUGCUUGAAAUUUAUAUAUCGAUGAUUUAUAAAAGAAUAUUACUUAUAAUAAUUCUCUUUUCUAAUGCACUAGAAUUUUUUUGUUUUGCUGAUUGGAAAAAAGAUUUUGAUGCAGUUGUGUUUUUCUAUUCUUUUCCUUUUAAUGAUUUGAUUUGAUCUAAAUUUCACAUAUCUGUGCCAAAAAGAGCAUCGAUAACAGAUCAAUCCUUAAAGAUUCCAAUGAAGAGAUUGGAGACUUGAGUUGAGUCUCCAAUCUUACUUUUAACUUUUUAAUUUGGAUUUUCAAACCUCAACCAGAGCUGUGAACCACGAUACUUUGGUAUGCAUUAUUUUUUAUUUAAUUUAAUGACGAUGUGUCAUAUUAUUAUUUACUGAUGCUUUAUGAUAAUCAUAUAAAUACCAUUCUCAUAAUUUAUGGUUUUUCAUCAGCAUAUCCGGGGCUUAAUAUUGUUGAUCAAAAUCUUGCAUUUACUAAUUCAAUAUUAUAUCUUGCUUAAUACAUUGUUGCAUUACAUGCUCUCUCUUUUCUUCACUGCAAUGGAAGAAUGUACAGUUGACUUUACUAAUUCAAUAUCAUAAAUUGCUUUAAUUUUGCAUAAUUUCUUUACUUGAGCCAAUAUGGUUUUGUUUUGCUGAUUACCCAUUGAUCUGCAAACCGUUUGUGUUUUUUUGUGAUCUAAUCUAAAUUUCACAGACACAUGCCUCGAUAAUGAACACUCCUAGCAUGCUAACACCACAUGGAGUGACACCAGCAACCAAUUCGAUGAAUUUUCAAGAGAGAGAGUUCUCAGUUGGAAACCUUCAGUCUCCUAUGAUGGUAUGUAUACUUUUUUGUUUAAUUUAAUGAUAUGUGUCAUGUUAUUAUUUACUGAUAAUGCUUGAAAUUUAUAUAUCGAUGAUUUAUAAAAGAAUAUUACUUAUAAUAAUUCUCUUUUCUAAUGCACUAGAAUUUUUUUGUUUUGCUGAUUGGAAAAAGGAUUUUGAUGGAACUGUGUUUUUCUAUUCUUUUCCAUUCAAUGAUUUGAUUUGAUCUAAAUUUCACAUAUCUGUGCCAAAAAGAGCAUCGAUAACAACAGAUCAAUCCUAAAAGAUUCCAAUGAAGAGAUUGGAGACUUGAGUUAAGUCUCCAAUUUUUAACUUUUUAAUUUGGAUUUUCAAACCUCAACAAGAGCUGUGAACCACGAUACUUUGGUAUGCAUUAUUUUUUAUUUAAUUUAAUGACGAUGUGUCAUAUUAUUAUUUACUGAUGCUUUAUGAUAAUCAUAUAAAUACCGUUCUCAUCAUUUAUGGUUUUUCAUCAGCAUAUCCGGGGCUUAAUAUUGUUGAUCAAAAUCUUGCAGUUACUAAUUCAAUAUUAUAUCUUGCUUAAUACAUUGCAUUACAUGCUCUCUCUUUUCUUCACUGCAAUGGAAGAAUGUACAGUUGACUUUACUAAUUCAAUACCAUAAAUUGCUUUAAUUUUGCAUAAUUUCUUUACUUGAGCCAAUAUGGUUUUGUUUGGCUGAUUUCCCGUUGAUCUGCAAACCGUUUGUGUUUUUUUGUGAUCUAAUCUAAAUUUCACAGACCCAUGCCUCAAUAAUGAACACUCCUAGCAUGCUAACACCACAUGGAGUGGGACCAACAACCAAUUCGAUGAAUUUUCAAGAGAGAGAGUUCUCAGUUGGAAACCUUCAGUCUCGUAUGAUGGUAUGCAUACUUUUUUGUUUAAUUUAAUGAUACGUGUCAUGUUAUUAUUUACUGAUAAUGCAUGAAAUUUAUAUAUCAAUGAUACGUAAAAGAAUAUUACUUACAAUAAUUCUCUUUUCUGAUGCACUAGAAUUUUUUUGUUUUGCUGAUUGGAAAGAAGAUUUUGAUGCAGUUGUGUUUUUCUGUUCUUUCCGUCUCAUGUCAUUCUUGAACUUGCUCUUCGUCCAUCUUUCCGGUUAAAUUUUUUCUUCCUGCUGUUUACUGCUAUUAUACUGUUGUUUUGUUAUGCAAAAUUUUUGUCCUUCAAUCUAAAUAACAUUGUUGAAGAAGUGCCAAAUCAAUUGAAUUGUCCACCUUGUUACAAACAUAUACUUUUCUUGUAUGUCUUCAAACUCACAAUCCAAAUUUGCAAGAACAAAUUCUCACGAAAUGACUCAUGAUUUCACUAUGUUGAGUCUUGAACCAUAGUUUUGAUAUUAGUUGCAGGGAUUAAUGGUUGAAACGUUAUCAACACAAACUAAAAAGAAAAAAAUUAGAUAUACUCAUUAAAGACAUUAUAUAACAUUGUUUGACCUCACUAGCUUAUAUUGCAGGGAUAAAACUACAAACCAUCCUCACAAAAGAUCCCAUAAGAAUGUCAUUUUCCUUCGGCUACUUAAUUUUAUACGCUAAACCCUAUAGUCUAUUUAUAAGACUAUUACUUGUCCACCAAGAAACAUUUUUCAUUAAGAUUUUUACUUAUUAAUAAUACCUAUUUCAUUAACGAACAUAAUCAUCUUGCAAUAUCCAUCAUCUAUGAUUAUUUAUUAAACCCAUGAAUUUGUUGAGUUAGUGUUAGUAAUGACAUCACAUUAAAUCUCGACUAAUACAUAUGUUAAGUUUCUUUGCUAAUUUUCCAUGAAUAUUCUUGUUUCAAAUUUACACAGAGGUAGUUAAAAUCUAAAGUUUUCCGUGAUGGAAGUUGGCCUUAUUUUAAAUUCUAUCUCAAUUCCUUCGUUUCUUCAGUUUUACUCUUCGACACCUGACCCUUCUCUCUCUUUUCUUCACGGCAGUAGAAGUACGUAUGGUUAAAUUUACUGAUUCAGUAUCAUAUCUUGUUUUGAUUUUGCAUAAUUUAUUUACCUUGAAUCAAUAUCCUUCCAUAUGGUUCUGUUUUGCUGAUUUGAAUGAUGAUUUUGAUGCCGCUAACCCGCAAAUCAUUUAUGUUUUUCUGUUCUUUUCGUUUCAAUGAUUUGCUUUAAUCUAAAUUUCUCAGAUUCGUGCCAAUAUGAGCAUCGCUAGCACUUCAUCCCAUGAAGCUAUCUCUGAAGGACAAGUGAACUACUCGAAUCAAGAGAGCGAAGGGUUGCUUAAUCGUAACCAGAUGAAUGACUCGAAGAGGAGUAUAGGCAUUAAAAGAAGCUUGGAUGCUAGAGAAAAGGGCACAGAGGAACAAUGCAACUUCCAUCAAUCACUAGAACCGAAAAAUAAAAAAUUAACCCUCGAACAGCUUGGAGAGAAAGAUGAGAAGCAAAUAAACAAGAUAAUGACAGAUCGGCUUAACAGGCAGCUAGAGCAGGUAAAUUCUCCUCAUUGAAUUUAAUAAUUAUUUUUAUAUAUUGAAGGCAAAAAUGCCACUAGCAACUACUAGCACGGAUUGGACUCUGCAUUAUAAGUUAUGCUUCUUUUAAGCUAGUUUAUUAUUGAAAAGUAUUGUGAUAAAAUGUUUUACAAAAGUGUUUUUAAAAAAAAUUGAAUAGUGUUUAUCAUUUUUGUUAAAAAUUGUUUUUAGAAAUAUAAAACAUUUAUUUUAAAGGUGAUUUUGUAAAAUAUAAGAUUCAAUGAGGAGAUAAAAAAAAUAGUUUCAUUUAAAAGAAAUUUUUCAAAAAUCAAAAGCUAAAAAUUUUCACUUUGUGUUUUUUAGUUUGAAAUCAUGGUUGGGGUUGAGAAGUGUUUUUCUAAAUAAACUAACUAAAAUCUGAGAAUGAUUUUUACUUUUAGAGUCGACAAUAUAUCGUAAUAGAUGAUUCAAAAAAUCAUUGUAUCUACAAUGUAACUAUGCUUGUUUCUUUUAACACCUAUUUUGUUUGUAUAUUUUGGGAAAGGAAGGACAAAAAGUCAGAUAUGGAAUUAGUGCACACCAAGCAAUGGCCAGCACGACAGGAUGUGGAAGAAAUUAGGCAAGACUGCAAAGAAAUAGCUAAAAAAUAUGGUUUAAAAACACCUGGGGCGAAGCAAAGAUUGCUCGAAGUAGCAAGCAAGUUGGAGAUAAAACAAAAAGCACGUGAGGUAUGUUAAAUUUUUACAAAAUUUAAUUACUCAAUCUAAAUCUCCACUAACUUUUUAAUUUGAUUUUUCAGGACUCUGAGAACCCUUUCACUAAUAUGGUAUGUAUAUAUUUUUAUUUAAUUUAAUAUUGACGGUGUCAUGUUAUUAUUUAUUGAUGCUGCAUGAAAUUUAUGUAUUAAAGGGAGAAAUUAUUUUAUGGAUCCUUCUCAUCAUAUCAUCUAUGAUCCUUUUUUCUAAUUAUUUAAUGAUAUUUCAACAAUUUUUUCCAUGUCAUUAACAUAUAUCAAAUAAAAAAAAAAUUGAUGCACUUAGAAGAAUUUGGAUGGCCAUGUUUGCUACCUCUAUAUAUUGCUACAUUAUUUAUAAGUCACAUUAUAAUCAUAAUUUCUUUUUCACUAUAGUUGUAUUUUUAGACUUAGCAAUAAUACAUUGGAUAUGGAUUCAUGUAUUUUUAUCUUUUAUAAGUUUUCUUUUCUUUUUCUUUAUCUUGAUGUCUCAUGUCAUUUUUGAACAUGCUCUUACAUCUUUUUAAUUAAAUUUCAGGAUCACAUCGUGAAUAAUUUAGGUUUAUAUUUCGAUGGUCGAUUCAUUGAGGCAGUAAAAGAAAAGGUAUGAUAUGUACAUUAGCUGACCCAAGUAGUAUUUGAGAACAACCAACCAAAAAAAUUUGGGAACAUUAUUUAGUCUUUAGAAAUUUUUAUUCUAGUUAUAAGGCUAUUACUUGAUCAUCAAGAAACCUUGUUCAUUAAUCAACAUAAUCAUCUUGCAAUAUCCAUCAUCUAUGAUUAUUUAUUAAAUCCAUGAAUUUGUAUUUUUUAAGUACAUCACAUUAAAUCUCAACAAAUACAUAUGUAUAAUCAUAUACAUACCAUUCUCAUAAUUUAUGGUUUUUUAUGUUUAUUGUUUCAGUUUUCUCUAGAUCUUGGUAAUGGUCAUUCUGCAAUGUCUCCACCUCUACCCUCUGCUUUUAAUGAUUUGAAAAACCAAGUUUAUGUCCAAGGCAACAAACAAGUGGAGCCAGAAGAUUUUCAAGGUUUACCAGAAGAGUUGAAGAAACUUCGUUGGGGGGAAAUUCCAAGCUACCUUCAACCUAUUGCGAGCCAAAUCGUAAAGGAUUUUGCAAAAGUUGAGUUUAGCCAUACUACAGCUCUAGUUCUGUUUUGUGCUGCAGUAAAAGAGAUGGAAGAUUUUUCAGCUGAGAAAUUGGACUUGGAUACGUUAAAGAAGUGGGAGGCAACACUUAAAAAGGCUAAGGAAGUUGGUUUUCAAGUGGGAUUUGCUGAUGAUUUGUUAAGGAAGAAUUUGCUUGCCUACUUUGCUCACACACAUAUUCUUGGAGGAGGCUAAAAAAAGGAAGUUGGAGAGAUCAAAGGUGACUCAGCUCUCAUUGCUGAGAAUCAAAAGGGUGUUUUGCAUUCGCAGCAAAAUACACUGAACUUAUUUGAUUUGAUGCACUUUGGGUUUCAAUAUUUACUUUUCUCUAUUUAAACUAUUUGGUUUUGGGUUUAAAAAAAAAAAAAAACUAUAUGGAUACUUGGGUGUUUUGCUUGGACUUGGUGUUUUGCAAUCAUUUAUAUUAUAUGGUUUUUGAGACAUUGAUAUAUUUCAUCACCAUGUGCUUUAUAUAUAUGAAACUGUGUUAGUUAUUUUACCAGUUUAUUAAGUGUCAGAUUUGAGUGUGAGUAUUAAAAAUAAUUAUGUAUCCAAUAUGAUAAACUUAGUUUUUUUAAAAUUUUUCCAUAUUUUUAAAAGAUCCUUAUCUAUGUGACAGACAUGAGUACUUCAUUUAUUACUUAUUUUUCUUAGUUAUUUUUUUAAUACUUAAUUUUCCAAUUUAUUAAAUAUAGUUAAUAGUCUUAUCAGUUUAGAUGAGUUUAGAUAAAUUAAGGCAACCUAUGCAGAGAGAUUGAAUUUAAACGCAGCUGUAGAGGUAUGAAUUAAAAAAUCACUAUUAAAAGCAUUAAGUUAAAAAUUAUAUGAAAUAACUGUUUUAAAUUAUUUCAUAUUUAUGAAGCUAUUAAAAGUAAGGGCAAAUUUUAUUAAUAGUCACCCAAUUAUUAGUAAAUUUAAUUUUGGUUGUUCAAUUAUGAAAAGUUACAAAAUGGUCUUUCAAUUAUUAGUACAUUUAUUUUUUUGGUCACUUAUCUAUGAAAAGUUAUAAAAUAUCACUCAACUAGUCAAUUUCUUCUUUUUUGGUGACAGUUGGCUAAUGCAAAAAUGAAAAUAUCCAAAAAUUCAAUAUAGUUGGGUGACUAAAAAAUGGUCAAAAUAGUCAUUAUACAUUAGAUGAAAGAGUAAAUUGGUUAUUUUAUUAAAAGUUUCAUUCAUUUCUAUUGUUAAAAAUUAGUUCAUGUACGUCAACAUGAGGUACACAUGGAAUGUCACAUGUCACUAUUUAAUUAUUUUGUUAGUUAUGUCCGCUUUUAACAAUAGAAAUGAGUGAAUUUUUUAAUAGAAAAAAACAGUUUACUUUAUGGACUAAUUUACCUAUUUUUUAAGUAAGAGCAAAAUGUAUCUAACAAAUUUUGAUAUAGGCUAUCAAUCCACACACACGAGCAGGAAUAGGAAACUUUUGGUAUACCAUUAACCAAUUAUUUCCACUAGAAAUAUUGGUACCACAUUAGAUAUUUUGGUAUAAUGUUACAAAUUUUGGAUGAAUUAGAAGAGAAAGAUAAAAUUUUAAUAACAACGCGAUUAGUACGAUUUGACCCAAAAUAGUUAGGAGAGUGAACAUCUAACCAUCAAGUAAGGAAACUAAAUCCUCUAUAUCUUGAUUCAACAGUAAUAAGCUUUUGACAUUCUGAAAAAAGCUAAAAGAACAAAUAUAGAAAAUAAUAAAUUGUGAGAAUGACGUCCGUUGACCCGUUUGUGUCCCCCCGGAUCUGCAUGUUUUUGUUGGAAGGUGUAAUAUCCAUUUUGGUCCUCCAUUGUCUGUCAGACGUGUGAUUUGGUCCUUAGUUCAGAUUUAAUUAAUAGAAUUUGAUUCUAAUUUAAUUUUAAUUUAGUCUGUUUCACUUAUUUGGAUAUUUUGUGUGUGUACAUUUGGCAAAAAAAGGAAAGCCUCUAAUUUUGUUCUCAACUGUCUCCACCAAAUCAAAUCGCAUGAAAUGACUCGUGCGAUCUAAUGCUCGAGACAUUAUGAAAAAGUACCAAGAAAUCAAGAGCGAAUAUGAGGACGACAAAUUAACAGAAGAUGAGGUGAAGCGGAGAUUACUCGAAUUAACAGAGAAGCUUAAGAAACUAGAACAACAAUGAUCAAAAGAGGUACAUCAAUGUUUGAAACUCAAAGAAAAUGCUAAGUUUGAUUUCAAGAUCUUAAACUUGUGGUUUUUUGAGGAAUUGGAUAAAGUAAGGGAUUGUCUAAAAUAUGGUAUAUGCACAUGCACACUUCUUAUUGAUAUUAACCUAUAUAACCCCUUUGGCUAGAUGGGAAAAUUUUCUUUUAGGCCCUCAUAAAUUAAAACAUUAAAUCCAAGUCUUUUUACCCUUUUAAUUAAAUGGAAUAAUUGCCUUUUUGGCCCUAUGAAAAGUUAAUAAUUUAAUCUAAGCUUAUUUUGGAUUUGAUUUUUUUUAAUAGUGUUAACAGAUAAAUCUAAAUUUUCAAUGAUUUGAUUUUUUUUUUCACACCUUGUUUGAUAAUCCAAAAUAGAAACAAUCUAAUAGAAUCUUUUAUACAAAAAACAAAAAAAGUGUGAAACAUUAUAAAUAAGUAAGAGCUAUUUAUCCCUUAAUAGAGGAUAUUUCCAAUUAAUUUUAUUUUAUUUUAUUUAUUAUAAUAUUAUAUUAUGCUAUAAAACUUUAGGUUUAAAAUUUGACUUUUCUUUAGAUUAAGGUGAAAUAUUUAAAAAUUGAGGAUAAAAUUUAGAAUAUAAUUUUUUAUAAUUUAAUAUUUAUAUUUAUCAAACAAUCUAAUUAUAUUCUAUAAUUAAUUUUAAGUAGAAUAUAAAAUAGAUUUUACAACUUAAAUUUUCAAUACCUAUUUUUUCAACACUUAUUUUUUUUUAAUACUUAAUUUUUAAGUUUAUCGAAUAAUAUCUAAAUUCCUAAAAUUAGAAGUAGCAUGACUAGAUUUUAAGUUUACAAAAAAUACAUCUACUUAUGAAAAUACUCAAAAAUCUAAGAUAGUUAGGUAACUAAAAAAAAUAGACAAAGUAGUCAUUUUAUGUUAAACCAAAGAAUAAAUCGGUUCUUCUGUUAAAAGUUCCAUUCAUUUCUACUUUUAAAAUUUAAUUCAUGUACAUCAAUAUGAAGUACACAUGACAUAUCAUGUGUCACUAUUUGAUUAUUCUAUCAGCCAUGCCAACUUUUAACAAUAGAAAUGGACGAAAUUUUUAACAGAAUUGAUCAAUUUACUCAUUAAUCUAAUGCACAGAGACUAAUUUACCUAUUUUUUUAGUAGAGUAGGAAAAAUACAAUCUAACACUUAAUAUGAGGACCUCCAUAGUCAUUUGACCAAUAAAAACAAUGUUUAACCUUGUGCACUAGCAAAAGGACAAUUUCUACUAUUUUAUUAUAGAUUACUUGAGCAGGGGUAUGUUCAACUAUUUUUCAAAUUUUCUCUUAUGUUCUGAGGAAGCUGGUCAUAUCAUAAAUGUAUAUCUAAAUAUGUGUCGGCACAUGUGGCCAAAACUUCCUAAAUCAGGUUGAUUAUAAAGUAAAAAUUCGAAGGUUAAAAUAAGUUUUAAGUCGAUACAUAUUUUGCAUAUUUAGAAUUUAGUCUUCUUAAUUUUACUUUCAAAAGUAAAGUUCUCUACUUUUCAAGUUUAAAAAUUUAAUUAUUGUAAUCGUUGAAAUUUUUUGGUAUGAAAUUUUAAAAUAAAAAAAUUACUCAUGGGCGUCGAAACCACCAAAUAUAAAUUUCCACGGCAAAUAUAACAGUAAAUUAAAAUAUAGAGCAGUAGGGUUGAAUCCACAGUGACCUAAUUUUGCCUUUUCUUAUGACCAGAUUCGCUGUUGCGGUCAUAGUCAUGCCCAAAUUUGAUGCGUAGUAGUGCUGAAAAAAAAAUAAGAGGUUUAAAUUGAUUAAGAUAAUAAAAUAAGGAAAUAUGAAGUGUAAUAAAAUAAAACAAAAACAAAUUUGAAAAUGCAAAAAUAAUUUAAGAAAAUAAAAUAAAUUGGUAAAUGAAAUAUUUUUAAGCUUAGCCUUAGCCACGCCAAUUUGUUCGAGGGAUUUUGAAUACAACAACACGGACUCAACUUUCCAACUGUACGCCAAAAGAUUCCAACCCAACGCGAGCGCGCUUUUUGAGUUUAAAUUAAAUCAAUUUUAAGGGACGAAUUUGUACUAUCCCAUAUACUGGAGAGAUAGCGAAUAUCGAAUUGAAAGGUUCUUUUAGUAGGUUUGCAUUUCAUGAUUGUUUUGUUGGAGUAAUUUUAGAGCUAAAGCUAAAAAGGAUUUAAUUAAUAAUGGAAAGAAUAAUGCUUGAAAAUAAAUGGUUUAAAUGGAAUUUUGGAAAGUAUAAAGGCAAUGCCUUAAAAGGCAAUUAAAUCAAAAGGUUGAAAUCAAAAGGGCAAAAAAAAAAAAAAGAAACUGCAAAAUUGAAUGGCAAAGAGGCAGAAGAGGAAAAAAAUAGAGAAUUUAUUAAAUGCUAAAGGUAAAGUGUAUUUGAUUGGUUGUAACUAUUAGGUAUUUAUAUAGAUUUUUAGUGCUAAAAUUUAGCUAGAUUUUUUUUUAAAUAUUAUCACUAGAUAUUAUUACUAAAUAAUUCGAAAUUUAAAAAUCAAAUUUAAACUAGAAUUUAAACUAAUUACAGAGUUGUAACAAUAUAAAAAAUCAUUCAAUCUUUAUCCAGUCACUUUUAAAAACAAAAAUCUUCAACCCUUCAAUAUUUAUUCAAUCAUCUUUGAAUCUUCAAUCUUUCAAUCAAGCCCUCCUCUUUGCUUUUUGUUCCAAUUUAGCCAUUUUUUUGUAAGCGCUUGAAUUCAGCACACUAACUUCAUUCCUGAUAAGAAAAAUCUAAAUUUAAUAGCAUUUUAUUUGAUAAUUAGCCAAAAAUAAAUAUAUUAAAAAUACGAAUUUAUCUUGCUAUCAAUUUUUUUAUCAAGCAUUAAAUAAUUAAUGGAAAAUUAAUGUAAUAACUUUUAAAAUUAAUAUAAUAGUAACUUUAACCUUUUAAUAUUUUUAUAUUAUAUCAAAUUAGUCUUGAUUCUAAAAAAUCUAAUUCUCAAUAUUCAUACAUCAUGUAAUUUGAUCUUUUUUACAUAUUUGUUUUCGUUGUGACACUUUCACCUAAAAAGUUUAAAAAAAAUAAAUUCAUCAACUAAAUUUGAUUGAAAAUAUAUUAAAAAUGAAACCCAAAAAUCAAAUAUAAUAAUUUCCAUAUUUUCUCAUUGUAUUAAAUUUAACCCUCCACGUCACAAAAAAAUGCAAAAGAAAAACUAAAUUACAUAAUGUAUAAAUAUUGAGAGUUAAAGUUUCUAUUAUACCAAUUUUAGAAGCUGUCAAGUUAACCUCCCGUUAGUAGUUUAAAGACCGGUAACUAAACAAGAAAUAAUUGAAUAGUUAAAUAAUUAUUUUGUAUCUUUACAUAAUUAGGUGACUAAGAAAAACUUAUCAAUAAUUAAGUGAAGAGUAGUUAAAUUUGACCUUUAAUAACGAUACCAACCCUAAUAAUACAAUGAAAGUGAUUACACAGAGGGGAGGACUACCGACAUAAAAAUAAUGCAUUGUAUCAAGGAGAGCUGUUUCCAGCUUUUUUGGGUCACUUCAUAGUAUCCAAUGACCCACUUGCAUUCUUCUAUAAUUAGACCCCCUCCAAUGAAUACUGUUCAGCAAGUAGGCGACCUUUUCUCUCCUCUUAAAACGCCUAAGUCAGCCUAACUUGAACCAAAAAGGAUUCAACAGAAUUCCCUUAAGAUUUUUACGAAGAACAACAGAAGAACGAAGUAAGAACGAGCCUUGAAAGAUGAACAAAAGCAAGAACACUUGAGAGAAAAGUUUGAGUGAAUACUUCUCAAAAUUCUUAUUAACAACUCAAUGAAUUACAAUGAGUAAAGAGGUCUCUAUUUAUAGUUGAGCCUCAAAGUGCAUCAAAGGCUACAAUUAAAAGCUGUAUACAAUUAGAACUUUAAGACAUAAUUAGAAGCUAUAUACAAUUAGAACUCUAAGAUUAAAUAAUCAUAUCUUCUUGGGUCCCUUCCCUUAUUUAUCAGGCUCUUGGGAUGGGCUUUUAAUCUCUUCAAGCAACGGGCCAGUUUGGUUGGGCCAAAUGACCUCCUUCAAAUACGAUGGAUCGCACAAGUUCGUCAUGGUUGCGUGUUCCCAUGCGCAACCCAUGACAUUUUCCCCCACUUGUUCUAGCGACGCCCUCGUCGCAUCUUCCUUAUGGAACUGGUCAAUCUUCCCUUGGAACUGCCAUAAUGCCUCAGCAGGUUCCCAACUUGCUUCACUAUCAGGAAGUCCCUUCCUUCGAACUAAGUACUCAUGCCGUGGUCGGUGGUACUUUUGUCUAAUUACCCGAUCUCCUUCAAUGUUUUCAACUUUACGAUCAUACGACACCUUUACCCCCAUCGGUGCUCGUUCGGAGUUGCCUCGAUUUGGAUCCUCUUGAUCCCUAUGAAAGGGCUUAAGCAUGCUUACAUGGAAGACUGGGUGGACUUUAAAUUUUGCUGGCAACUCAAGCUUGUAGGCCACAUUGCCUACUCUCUUCACAACUUUGAAGGGCCCCUCAUACCUUCGCACAAGACCCUUGUGCAAGCCAGUAUAUCGCAGAAUCAAGUGUAGUUUAGCGAGGACUGAGUCACCCACUUGAAACUGCACAUCCCUUCGUUUUUGAUCAGCCCACUUCUUGUUACGCUUACUUGCCUUGUGUAAACAAGCUCUAGCCAAGUCAUUCUUCUCUUGCCAAUCUUUUGCGAAACGAUAGGCUGCCGGAUUUGGUCCUGUAUAAUGGGUCACAACAGCGUUGGGUGUGAGUGGCUGUUGACCCGUCACUAUUUCAAAUGGACUUUGAUUCGUGGCCCCACUUCGCUACAAGUUGUAUGAAAAUUGGGCGACAUCCAACAACUUUGGCCAAUCUCUUUGUGUGGCACUUACGUAGUGUCGAAGAUAUGUCUCCAACAAUGCAUUUACUCUUUCAGUUUGUCCAUCGGUUUGUGGAUGCAUGCUCGUGGAGAAGUUCAAGUCUGAUCCCAUUGACUUGAACAACUCCGUCCAAAACCGGCCUGUAAAUCGUCCAUCUCGAUCACUGAUAAUAGACAGUGGCACUCCCCAAUAUUUCACCACGUGUCUAAGGAACAAUCGAGCUGCUUCCUCAGCGGGGCACUCCUUGGUCGCUGGAAUAAAAGUCGCAUACUUUGAGAACCUGUCCACCACAACAAGAAUACUCCCAAACCCGUCAGACUUAGGCAAACCAAUAAUAAAAUCCAUGGAUAAACUCUCCCAUGGCCUUUCCGGAACUGGCAAGGGUUGAAGCAAACCGGCUGGAGUCUUUAACUUAACCUUAUCUUGUUGGCAUACUAGACAAGUUUUUACAUAGGUUUCCACAUCAGCACUCAUGUUAGGCCAGUAAUAACGUUCCUCCAAAAGGGCCAAAGUGCGAUGCAUCCCUGGGUGGCCUGCCCAUUUCGAGUCAUGACACUCCUUCAUGACUUCCUUACGGAGUUUCCCAUAAUGGGGCACAUAAAGGCGGUGUCCAUGAGUGUAUACUAGCUCCCCAUCAAGCCAAAAUCUUCUUGUUUUUCCCUCCUUGGCAAGCUCAAUCAAAUUUUUGGCCGUGGGAUCAUGGGACAAUCCCUCUCGAAUGCGUUCCAACAAAGAGCCAUCAGGUUGACUGAUUGCUGCGAAUUCCAUCUUUCGACUAAGUGCAUCAGCCACAUUGUUGGCACUUCCUAGUUUGUAUUCCAUUGUGAAAUCAAACUCUGCUAGUAGAACCUGCCAACGAGCCUGCUUGGGAGACAACUUUUUCUGGGUUAGAAAGUAACUAUUGGCAACAUUAUCGGUAAGGACCACGAACCUGGAACCCAAUAAAUAAUGCCUCCAUGUGCGCAAGCAGUGUACUACCGCAGUCAUCUCUUUCUCUUGGACCGUAUAUCUACGUUCCGUCUCAUUAAGCUUUCGACUCUCGAAAGCAAUUGGGUGUCCAUCUUGCAUCAGUACUCCCCCAAUAGCAUAAUCUGAUGCAUCCGUACAUACCUCAUAUGGCUUCGUAAAAUCUGGCAAGGCAAGUACGGGCUCCCUCGUCAUUUCUUGCUUCAAUUGGUUUAAGGCCUUCUCACAUUCUGGAUUCCAAUCCCAUACCUUCCCCUUCUUCAACAUGUCCGUCAAGGGGGUGGUAAUUUUGGAGUAGCCUUCGACAAAGCGACGAUAGUAAUUUGCCAAUCCAAGGAAAGAUCUCAACUCUGUUACCUUGGUUGGAGGCCCCACUCUGAAAUGGCUCGAAUCUUAUUCUUAUCCAUUCGGAUCUUACCUUCUCCCACAAUGUGGCCUAAGAAUGACACCUCUUGUUGGGCAAAUGAGCAUUUCUCCUCCUUGACGAACAACUCAUUUUCCCUCAAAGUCCGGAACACCUCCCUCAAGUGUCUUAUGUGCUCUUCAAGCGACUUGCUAUACACCACAAUAUCGUCAAGGUAAACAACCACGAAACGAUCAAGAAAAGGUUGAAGUACCUUAUUCAUUAGGGUGCAGAAUGUAGCUGGAGCAUUCGUGAGUCCGAAAGGCAUCACAAGGAACUCAUACGAACCGUACCGUGUCACACAAGCUGUCUUUGGUUCGUCCCCCUCGGCUAUCCGAACUUGAUGAUACCCCGAUCUCAAAUCUAACUUGGUAAACCAUCUUGCCCUACCAAGCUGAUCGAACAAAUCUGCAAUAAGAGGAAUAGGGUACCUAUUCUUCACAGUGAUCUUGUUUAGAUCUCGAUAAUCGAUACACAUUCUCAAGGACCCAUCGUGUUUCUUUUGGAACAACACUCGCGCACCAUAUGGGGAUUUAGAUGGUCUAAUGAAUCCCGCAUCCAUAAGUUCCUUCAAUUGCUUCCGCAACUCUUCUAAUUCUGGCGGAGACAUACGAUAGGGGGCCCUUGCUGGCGGCACCACAUUGGACGCUAACUCGAUUUUGUGGUCCACCUCCCUCUUGGGUGGCAAACAUUUAGGCAACUGAGUAGGCAUUACAUCUCGGAAUGAUUGCAACAAUUGUCCCACUUCUUUCGGGGUCUCACUAACAGACUCAGCGGUCUCUUCGAUCCUCAAUGUGGCUAAAUAUGAGACUUCAUUUCGCCGUAUACCUUUAGCAAACUGAAUUGCUGACAGUGUUUUUCCCUCAAAGCUUCUCUUCCUUGUCACUUUCACCAUGCAUUGAUGUUUCGCGUCUGAAAUCACCAUGUAAUUGCUUGAAGGGGCAAUAAGAGCAUUAACCUGAUCAAGGAAGCUUAGUCCAACCACAAAGUCAUAGUCAUCCAGUGGUAUUACCUUAAUGGAUACCUUCCCUGACCAAUUUCCGAGCUGAAGAUCCACUCCCUUUGCAACCCCCUUGAUUGGAACACUUUCUGAGUUAACUGUUUUGAUCCGACCCACUUCAUUAUCUAUCUUGAGGCCUAGUUUACAAGCAGCCUCCUCAGACAUGAAUAAAUCAGAAGCGCCUGUGUCAACGAGCGCAUUCAAUUUUCUGCCGGCCACAAUGAUGUCUACAAACAUCAAACCAUGGCACAUUCUAUCUUCGACACCCCCUAGUAUCGAUCCAAGGUUGUUAUCCUCCACAUCGGACUCCCCCUUUGCUUCCAUAGCCUUGAGAGUGGCCUUCUUUCGACAGUCCUUGAUCAUAUGUGGACCCUCACAGUGGAAACACCUUAUAGGCCCACUCUUUCUCUUGUCCCAAGGCUUCUUACCGUCGCCGUUCCUAGUGGGCCUUUCUUUAUCUUCCCCACUAUUACCCUUUAAUCUGGGUUUAGAAGAAUUGGAAUUGUCUUUCUUCCCACCAAAUUCAGCAAGUGAUUCUGCUACUGACAUAGCCUUGGUGAGUUCUUGAACUCCUCGGCGUUGCAACUCUUGCUUUGCCCACGGUUUUAAUCCGUCCAUAAAGGAAAAGAAUGCCUCUUUCUCCCCCAUAUCUGAGAUUUGGAGCAUAAGUUCGCUAAACUCCUGCACAUACUCCCUCACAGUGCCUUGUUGUGCAAGCCGACGCAACUUUGCCCGAGCCUCAUCCUCGGCAUACUCUGGGUAAAACUGUGCUUUGAACUCACAUNNNNNNNNNNNNNNNNNNNNNNNNNNNNNNNNNNNNNNNNNNNNNNNNNNNNNNNNNNNNNNNNNNNNNNNNNNNNNNNNNNNNNNNNNNNNNNNNNNNNCACAUCAGUGGACCUACGACGCCACCACAACAAAGCAACGUCAGAUAAAUACAUUGCAGCAGUAGUUACCUUAGUGACAUCCUCCGUGAUGCCUUUGGCACAGAAGUAUUGCUCGAUUCCCCACAAAAAGUUUUCCACAUCUCUUGCGGACCUUGUUUCCUUAAACUCCUUGGGCUUGGGAACAUCAAUAUUGGGCUUAGGUGCGGCAGCCGCUAACCCACCAUUGCCCAAGGCAACCUUGUAGAUUGUGAGUUCACCCUUGAGCUCCGCAAUCUCUCCCUUCAAGGCCACCACCAUAGCCUCAAUGGCAUCAUCUCUGCCAGUCAACUGUUUCAUAUUAUCCGUCACAUACUCUUUGAGCUGCUCCUGUAUGGACUGCAAUCCAUCAUGGAGCCUAUCAUCGACAUCUUCAACUCUCUCCUUGAUAUCCCCCAUGGAACUCUCGAGAAUGAGGACGCGAUCCUCUAAAGCUGACAAUAUGUCCCUUGAGCGACUAGCUUUCCUAGCCCUCCCACGGGUCUCCAUUCCCUCAACUUCUUUUGACAUCUUUCAACGGUGGCUUCGAACCUUAGCUCGGAUACCAACUGUCACGGACUUAGAGUUUUCCCACGCGAUCCGUACGGCCUUAGGAAGUUUUUCUGCUUAAAACGCCUAAGUCAGCCUAACUUGAACCAAAAAGGAUUCAACAGAAUUCCCUUAAGAUUUUUACGAAGAACAACAGAAGAACGAAGUAAGAACGAGCCUUGAAAGAUGAACAAAAGCAAGAACACUUGAGAGAAAAGUUUGAGUGAAUACUUGUCAAAAUUCUUAUUAACAACUCAAUGAAUUACAAUGAGUAAAGAGGUCUCUAUUUAUAGUUGAGCCUCAAAGUGCAUCAAAGGCUACAAUUAAAAGCUGUAUACAAUUAGAACUCUAAGACAUAAUUAGAAGCUAUAUACAAUUAGAACUCUAAGAUUAAAUAAUCAUAUCUUCUUGGGUCCCUUCCCUUAUUUAUCAGGCUCUUGGGAUGGGCUUUUAAUCUCUUCAGGCAACGGGCCAGUUUGGUUGGGCCAAAUGACCUCCUUCAAAUACGAUGGAUCGCACAAGUUCGUCAUGGUUGCGUGUUCCCAUGCGCAACCCAUGACACUAGGUACUACUAGGUUUACUUAUUCAUUAUCUCUCUUGCUUUGAUUUUCCUGAAUUUCUUGAGAAAAUUCUGUUUCAUAUAAUUUUGCUUCAAUGAUUUGCUUCUUCUUAAUUUAUAUCUGAAUAUUCGAUUGUAUUGUUUUUUUUAUUCAACGAUUUCUUCUGAUCCAAGUUAAAAUUUUCACAGAUCUGUGCAAGAUGAGCAACGGUGACAGUCAUUGGAACGACGAAGAUUGGAGUCUAAUUUUGCCUUUUCUUGUGACCAGAUUCGUUGUCGCGGUCAUAGUCAUGCUCAAAUUUGAUGGGUAGUAGUGCUGAAAAAAAAAGAAGUAAAAAUGGAAGGUUUAAAUUGAUUAAGAUAAUAAAAUAAGGAAAUAUGAAGUGUAAUAAAAUAAAAUAAAACAAAUGCAAAAAAAAUUUAAGAAAAUAAAAUAAAUUGGUAAAUAAAAUAUUUUUAAGCUUAGCCUUAGCCUCGGUGUACUCCAAUAUUGAAUCGAUCAUUGAAACAAAAUUUCACUUCCAAGCGAUAAGCUGGUUAUAGCAAUCGAGGAUCCUUCAAACCACCAACUCUUCCUUUCAUAGUCGAUCCUAGUAUCACUUGCAAAUCGACCCUUGUCAAAUUUCCAACCACAUGACACAUACCUAUAAUAUAUAUGGUAUGCAUAUUUCUUAUCAUUCAUAUUAACCAAUAUAACAAAGUCUAUCAUUUAAUCAUUUAACUUUAAAAUGUUAUAAAAUGAUCAUUGUACUAUUUGAAAGUUUUCAUUUAAGUCAUUAGAUUGUUAAAAUCGUCACUAUAUCGCUUUCUCUAUUUACACCGCCAACACCAAUCAAAAAUUUUCCUUCCCAUUUUCUUCUAAAAAUUUUAACCGUUAACCGAACCGAUUUUUUUUUUAAAAAAUUUAACCGAACCGAAAUUUUUUCGGUUAAUAAGGUCGGUUAACCGAAUUAACCGAAAAUUAUGUAUUUUUUAUUUUUGGUUAAAAAUUACCCGAAUUACCCGAAUUACCCGAAUUACCCGAAUUACCCGAAUUAACCGAAUUACCCGAAUUAAUCGAAUUACCGAAAAAUACCCGAAUUACCCGAAUUUUUUUAUUUUUUAUUUUUAAAAUUUAAAAAAUUUAUAAAUUAUUAAAGUAAAUUGGGUUUUAGACUUUAGUAAAUUGGGUUGUCUUUUAGUUUUAGUUUUAUUGGAUUGGGUAAUUGGGUAAACUUUAGUUUUAGUUUUAUUGGGUUGGGUAAUUGAGUUUGGGUUGGGUUGGAUAAUUUUAUUUAUUAAUUUUUUCGGUUAACAGAAAAUUUUCGGUUAACCGACCGGUUUCGAACCGAAUUAACCGUUAACCGAAAAAUCAUAAAAAAAUUAACCGACCUCCGACCGAAAAAAUUCGGUUAACCGACCGAUUAACCGAAUUCGGUCGGUUAACCGAAUUCGGUCGGUUAACCGAAUUUUUUCGGUUUUACCCGAAUUAUGCACACCCCUACAUGAGUGGCCCAUACAGUACAGUCUGUUGCCAAAGACAUUAUAAAAAAGUACCGAGAAAACAAGAGUGAGUACGAGGAUGACAAAUUAAAAGAAGAUAAGGCGAAGCCGAGAUUACUCGAAUUAAUAGAGAAGCUUACGAAACUAGAACAACAACGAUCAAAAGAGGUACAUCAAUGUUUGAAACUCAAAGAAAAUGCUAAGUUUGAUUUCAAGAUCUUAAAUUUUUGGUUUUUUCAGGGCUUGGAUAAAGUAAGGGAACUUGAUCCAACCCUUGUUAAAAAUAUAGUACAUGCACACUUUUUAUUGAUAUUAACCAAUAUAGUCCCCUUGGCUAGAUGGGAAAACUUUCUUGUAGGCCCUCUCAUAAAUUAAAACAUUAAAUUUAAGUCUUUUUAGCCUUUUAAUUAAAUGGAAUAGUUGUCUUUUUGGCCCUAUGAAAAGUUAAUAAUUUAAUCUAAGCUUUUUUAACACAAUUUUUUUAGCAUUGGUCCUUCUAAAAUUUUAUAAUUUUAUCUCACUCUCCUCCCCCUUAACAAAAUUUCUAGCUUCGUCCCUACUUGUUUACAUCUUGAUCACAUACAUACAUACAUACAUACAUACAUACAUACAUACAUACAUACAUACAUACAUACAUACAUACAUACAUACAUACAUACAUUUAUUCUUACCCAAGAUUGGCCCGAGCUGAAAUAUGAACUUAAAUUUUUGUCCAAGUCUACCAAUAUUUUAAACAAACUUAAUUUUUAUUACCCAAACCCUCCUGAAUUCUGAGUAGUUAACCCGACCCAUGAAGUUAAUGACCAGUAACAAUUUCUCCAAAUAGCAAUUGACAACUUGAAUUCCGAAAAUAGUAUAACUUCUAAAUGUAAUUAUUUUCCAAAUCUAAGAAUUUAUUGAAUGGUUGUUUAGUAAUGGAUUUGAGAUUUCAUGUUUUUUUUUUAAAGGAUGAAGAAUUAGUAUUACAACUAAACUUAUUGAUUUGAAGAAUCAAGUUUAUGACAAAAACAACAACAACAAAGUGGAGUUCAAAGAUUUCCAAGGCUUAGAACAAGCAUUAAACAACACUGCUCGGGGGGAAAUUCCGGACUACCUCGAACCUAUUGCAAUAUGUAUCGAAAAUGUUAGAAGAAAAAAAAAACUACUAAGAUAUUCGAAAUCGAAACUCAAAUUCUGGUUGCAAAAUUAAAUUACCGAAACGUAAAUUUACUAAUAGACAUAAAAGAUAAGCAUAGAUAACAGCUGUUUGAUAUUGAGUUUGCUGAGAUGGAGAGUGUCUAGGCAGGUGCAGAGCCAGCACCAACCCCCUAAAAUGGAAAUUUUAACUUUUAGCCCCUUUAUAAUUUAUAAGAAUUUAUAAUAAUAUAUGAUAAAAUUAUAUUUUGGUCUAAUUAAAGUUUGAUUUAAUCAUUUAAAAAUUAUAAAUAUAUAAACUAUUAAUAUAGUAAUAUUAUAUUUUUGUUAUCGUAAAAAUAUACAAUUUAAUUAUACUUCCUCUCAAAAAAAAAUUAACGUGUCUAAGAGUGAUGUAUUCGAAAAUGGCAUGAAGUUAGUAACAGUAACUAGGGUUCAAGUAAUCAGAUGGGAAGCAAAAGGUGAGAAAAAAACUAAAAAUGAUUGUUUGGAGUCCUUCACCUUUGGGUUAUGUCAAUAUCUAACACAUUGGUUCGGUCUAUAUAGCAGUUGCUUCAUCGAGACUGAGAGAUACGCAUUAUGCACACUUACAAAGAGGGAAAUCGCAUUGCGGAUGCAAUGGCGAUGUUGGCAAGAUACAAGAGCCUGGAAUCUCACCAUUUCAAUGUAUCCCAGAUGAGAUUUUACAAGUUUUGCAUUAUGAUGUUUCUGGUUCAGCAUAGAGGUGGUAAUCAAGGUAGUUUGAUUCGGGUUAUUUUGCGUUAAUUUUUUUAAUAAUAUUAACAGUUGAAUCUAAAUAUAUUUUAAAUAGAAUAUAUUUUUUUGAUGAUUUAAAAUUUAUAUUUAUCAAACAAUUUAAUAAUAUUUCAUAAUUAAUUUUAAGUAGAAUAUUAAACAUAUUUUAUAAUUUAUAUACAAUACUUAUUUUUUCAACACUUAUUUUGUCAAUUUAUCGAACAACACUUACCUUCCUAAAAAUAAAAAUAUAAUAUCUAAAUUUUAAAUUUACGAAAAAUACAAAUAUUUGUGAUCACAUUUAAGAAGAAAUCCAUUAACAAAAAGCAUAAAAACAGCCGUUAGCGGGGAAGUUGGAAACCACUAUGGCGAGGAAAGUUCAUCAAUUGUACUUUAGUCAGCAUGAUUCCGGAUUUCACGUGUCGGGAUGCGAACGUGCAGCCAUAAGAUUCCAUUUUGAAGGGAGGAUACCGGAAAGAGAAUAAUACGAUCAAUUGGAUUCCGAAUAGAAACGGGUCUAGAAACAAAAAAAAAAAAAAGUAAGGGUAAAUUACAUUAAUGUCACUCAACUAUUAGUAAAUUUAAUUUUGGUCACAUAACUAUGAAAAAUUAUAAAAUAAUUACCCAACUAUUUAAUUUUUUUUGGUCAUUGGUUAGCUAACGUGAAAAUAAAAAUACCAAAAAAUCCAAGAUAGUUGGGUGACUAAAAAUAGACAAAUUAGUCAUUGUACGCUAGAUUAAAAAGAAAAUUGAUUCUUUCAUUAAAAAUUUCAUUUAUUUCUACUGCUAAAAAUUAGUUCAUGUAUGUCAACAUGAGGUACACAUGGUAUGUCAUGAGUCAUUGUUUGGUUAUUUUGUCAACCAUGCCAAUUUUUAACAGUAGAAAUGGAUAAAAUUUCUAACAAAAAUGAUCAGUUUAAAAAUUCAGGUUUAGUUGUGACCGUCGUUGAAAUUAUUCUAUUAAAUUCUUUGAUAUGAAAUUUUAAAAUUUAAAAAAAUCACUUAAUAAUGUCAUGUAACAAUAAAAAUAACUUUAAAAAUACUUACUAGGAUUUUUUUAAAAACACCCAUUCAAGUUGUCAUGAUCAAAUAUUCUUUUCUGUCGUAAUAUUAUUUUUAGGAAAAAUUGAUGACAACAUUUUAACUGAAAUAAUUAACAGUAAGGUAAAAGUAUCACAGAGGCCUUUGUAAUAGGAAUCAGAUUGCAUUUUGCUCCAUCUACUAAAAAAUGGCAAAUUAGUCCACAUAAGUUAAAUUAAAGAGUAAAUUGGUCUUUCUAUUAAAAAUGCCAUUUAUUUCUACUAUUAAAAACUAGUCUUUGCAUGUCAGCAAGAGGUUCAUGUGGCAUGCCACAAGUUACUAUUUGAUUAUUCUGUCAGUUAUGUCAAUUUUUAACAGUAAUAAUGAAUAAAUUUUUUAAUAGAAAUGAACAGUUUACUAAUGGCGAACCUUGGGACUAAGUUUCAAGGUGGCAAAGUAAAACUUUAAAAAAAUAGUUGUUAGCCAAGAUUUCGAAAACCACAGUGCCAAAGAAAGUUUAUUAGCUUUUUCAUGCAUGAAUUUUUCCUCGAUUUAAUUAUUGAUAAUUUUUUUGUUACUCAACUAUGAAAAAUUAUAAAAUGAUCACUUAGUUAUUUGAUGUUGUUGCUUUUUUUGUCACUAGUCCUUAAAUAGUUAACAGAAGAUUGAUGUGGCAACUUUUAAAAUUAACAUAAUAGUAACUUUAAUCUUAAAUAUUUAUACAUUAUUUCAAUUUAGUCUUAAUUCUAGAAAAUCUAACCCUCAACAUUUACACAUUAUAUAAUUUGGUGUUUUUUUAUAGUUUUUCUUUUCUUUGCGACCUCUUUCACCUAAAAAGUUUAAAAAAAAAUUAUCAACUAAAUUUGAUUGAAAAUAUACAAAAAAAACACUAAAAAAUCCAAUAUAAUAAAUUUCAUAUUUUCUCAUUGUUUUAAAUUUAACCCUCAAUGUCACAAAGAAAAGUAAAAUUGCAAAAAAUACCAAAUUAAACAAUAUAUAAAUGUUUAAGGUUAAUUUUUUUUAGAAUAAAGACACAAUGUAUAAAUGUUGAGAGUUAAAGUUUCUAUUAUACCAAUUUUAGUAGCUGCCAAGUUAACUUUCCGUUAGUAAAUUAACGGCCGGUGAUCAAAAAAGAAAAAAUCAAAUAGUUAAAUGAUCAUUUUGUAUCUUUUACAUAAUUAGAUGACUAAAAAUAACUUAUCAAGAGUUGAGUGACUCCUAAUGAAAUUUACCCUUUAAUAACGAUACCGGACCUAAUAAUACAAUAAAAAUGAUUCCCCAGAGGGGGGAUCAAACAGAGUGGGGGCCGUUUUCCUUCCCUGUUUCCAGCUUUUUUUGUCACUUUAUUUGAAGAAAAAACAAAAGCAGACAUAGUAUCCAAUGACCCACUUGGCCUUCUUAUAUAAUUCGUCCCCCACCAAUGAGUAAUCUUCGGCAAGCAGGCGACACACACUCUCUUCUUCUCUAACAGUAAGUACUACUAAGUUUACGUGUUCAUUAUCAUCUCUUGCUUUGAUUUUCUUGGAUUUCUUGAGAAGAUUUUGUUUCAUAUAAUUUUGCUUCAAUGAUUUGCUGCUUCUUAAUUUAUAUCUGAAUUUUCGAUUUUUUUUUAUUCAACGAUUUCUUCUGAUCCAAGUUAAAAAUUUUCCCAGAUCUGUGCAAGGAUGAGCAACGAUUACAGCUUUUUGAAUGACGAAGUUUGGAGUCUCCUCAAUAAUCUCGAUGAUUCGAUAUCCGAGGUCGCGAACGGACCACCAUUGUUGUUAGAAGAGUUCAACCUGUCGAUGUCGAGUGGAAGCAAAAAAAGAAACCGUGAUUUAGAUCCCGGUAACUCACAAGAAGCUAAUGGAAAAGUCAGGAAGAAACAACGCCGGUGUCCGGGAACCUUUUAUGCCGGUGAAUCGUCAACUUCCCGGCAACAAGAAUGUUUGAAAGGGAAAACCGUGGCGGGAAUGGCGAAGGUUUACAAGGAUCGAAUUAGCAGCCGGAUAAAGAACGUAAGUCUGUUAAAUAAAUUCACAUUAUUAUUAUUAUGGGAAAAUUCCACAAAAGGUCACUAAACUAUUAGUUAAUAUAUCUUUUGGUCACUUAACUCCAAAAACUUACAAAAUGGUCAAUGAACUAUUUGAAAGUUAUCAUUUAAGUCAUUGGAGUGUUAAAAUCAACACUUGUACCAACCAGAAUCUCUCAUUUCCUUUCUCUUUUACAGUUUAGUUUUUUUUAUGAAAUGACUUUGAAAAUUACAAAUCUGUUAACCAAAAUCUAAAUAGUUUUCUUUUUCUUCUCUAUUUUUCUACUCGUUUAUGAGUACUGAUUUGUCAUACUAGUCGUCAAAUCGUCGCUUAGAACUCGCUAGCUGACCUUUAAAAAAAACUUAACAUCCUAAUAACUUAAAUACAACUUUUGAAUAGUUUAGUAAGUUUACCCUAUUCUUAUUCACUUUAUAUAUAUUACGGGUAAAUUAGAAAAAAAAACUGUUUUUGAAAGUUAAUUAGGGAUUUAAGCAGUUUUUAUUUUCUAGGGAAAUAAACUAAAUUUGGAGAAAAACGUGUUUAAAUUUGGAGAGAAACAACAACGUGUUUAAAAAGGCCUGUUUUUUUAAACAACUUAACACAUUAGUUUUUUUUUUUUUUUUGGUUAGAUAGAUAGAUUUUAGUAUUUUGCCUUUGAAUUUCGGGUUGGAUUCUUUUUUACUCACAUCUUUAUUUUUUAUUUAAUGUUGUUUUAAUUUUUUUUUAAAAAUUUUAAUUAAUAAUUAAUUUUUUUAAAAUAAUAAAUUUGGGAAAAACAGCCUAAAUCCCUAAUUGACUUUUAAAAAGGGCCUUUCCUUUUUUCUAAUUUAACCUAUAUAAAGCAUCUAAUAAGGUAUUUUUUUUCCUAGGAGAAAAGGUGAGGAUGAUCUUCAUCUCGGAAGAGAAUAAUACUUUAUAAUAGAUGCAGUUUGAAAACCUUUGCAUCAACAAUACGUAUGAAUUGUCUCUUACCACUUGCUUUCUGUAUAUUUGGUAAAAUGAAGGACAAGAUAGCAGACAUGGAAGUUAUUAUAAGGAUAGUUUGUAACAUGGCGGCCAUUAAUGCGUCUCAUCUCUUAGCACGAGUUUUCGGCUCCCUCGAGCAAAUCAAAACGCAAUGGCCAAUUCGACCUGACCUCCAACACAUAAAGCAAAACAUUCAAGAAAUCGAGAGCAACUACAAGGACGACAGUUUAACCGAGGAGGCAAAACGAAGAUUAGCUGAAGUAGGAGAUGAGUUGGAGAGAUUAGAUCAAGAACGACUAAAGGUACGCUAAUUUUUACGAAUUUUUUAUUACUUAGUUUCUAUAAUAUUCCAAGUCUCCAAUAUAACUUUGUAGUUUGAUUUUCAGGAUUCAACAAAAGCAGGGAACCUUGAUGCAGUCUUUAUGGUAUGUAUAUUCAACAAAAGUUAUGUAUGUUACUCAAAUUUAAGUGUGAGUGUCAAAUAUAACUUCAUAUUCCACUCAUUUUGGAUGAUCAAAUUUAGUACUUUUAUCUAAAUAUAUAAAUCAAUAAUAUCUUUCCUCAUUACUAGACUUCUUUUCAGACCUAACAAAAAGUCAUUUUCAACUAUUUUACUUUAUUUCAGAUGUAUUGGAUGUGGGUUUGUAUCUAAUAAGGGUAUGUUUUUUUUCUUGUUGAAUCUUUCUAAGUAAUAUCUAUGUAUUUGAAACUAUAAACAUGAAAAAAAAUAAUGCAUAUCUUAAUUCAUCAAGUUAUUUGUUUUGAUUAUUUAUUUUCAUUUCUCUUAAAUUUCAGGAUUUUAGCAUGCGGACUCUACAAAAAGAGGUACAAUAUACAUACAUACAUAUGUGCAUGCAUAGAUUACAUAUGAUUCAUGUUUUAAAUAUAAUGAAUAUUAUAUAACAGAAUACAUAAAAAUGUAAAAUUAAAAUUCAUGUUGUUGUAUAUUUUUCAAAUACAUAUCACAUCAUUCUUAUAAAUUAUAACCUGUUUUUUUUUUUUUUAAAUUGUUCUAGCUUUCUUCAGCAUGUCUGUGGCUGAUGUCGAAGAAACUACAGCAACUAAUCAUCUUAUUAGUGUUGAUGAAGAUCAAGAUCAGCAUCAUGGAAGUUCGCUAACUCCUCAAGUGUUAUACUCUAAUUUUAGCUAUCUGAAAAACCAACCUUAUGACAAAAGGCAACUGUUAUGCCACCUUCAUAUCACCUACGACCGCGGCUCGCCACACCAUUGAGCACACUUUCAUCAUGAGCUGCCUCCACUAAAAGUGGUUGAGAUUCUUCAACUGUGCAAGUCACCUACAUUGUCAUGUCAUCAAUCUACAAGAUUACAUCACCGUCGCUAUAAAGAGAUAGGAUGUGACCCUACCGCCAACAAGAUACUUACACGUAACAUCACCUAUGUCUCAUAUAUAAACUUUCUCACCUACAAGGAGGGAUGAUCCUCACUCCCUCUCUCUCUUCUCUCUCUUAUUAUCCUUCAUCACAUUAUCACAACAGCUCUUCGCCUUUCAAGGGUGAAGCACCAGUCACCUCUGUCAACUCUUGCCGUUGUUGAUUCCUGAUAUCAACAACAAAUUGUAUAAUUCAAGUUUUCCUGCUUCUCUAAUCCUGCAUAGACUUUUGCAUUUAAAACAGUAAGUAUUGUUGAAUCUUCUUAAGCAAUAAGAUAUAUAUAUAUAUAUGUGUGUGUGUUUAGCUACAAUGCAUAUCUUACUUGACUAAGUUGUGGAGAGUCUAAGAAAGGAGGUAUGAUAUGCAUAUACAUAAAUACAUUUAUAUUUAUACAUUAUUGCAUUGCACAUUAGCUAGCUAUUUAACAUUUGAGAAUUUGGACUUCAAAAUAUGAUUUGGGUAUUAAAAAUAGUGCAUAUGUUAUGUGAUAGAAUACAUACAAAUGUAACAUUUAUGAUUUUUUUGUACUCAUGAAUUUAUUAAAUGCAUGGUAGUAAUGAAUUUGAAAUUCAUAUGUAAUCUUAUUAAAUAUCAACUAAUUUAUAUAAAAUCAUACCCACAUCAUUCUCAUAAAUAUGACUUGUUUUCUUUCUUCUUCUUUUUUUGUCUUGUUGCAGCUUUCUUCAACAUGGCCAUGGCUUAUUAGUGCUGCUCAAGUUCAAGAUCAUGGCAUGGUUCUGGAUGUUAUUUCUGCCCUUUGUUUUACUAGCUAGAGACAAGUUUCUUUGUCCAACUCGAUUAUAUUAUGAGCAUCCAAACUUUAUAUGCUAUUCAAUGAUCAAGUAUACAAUAAUGUAUUCUCAUAUUGAAGUAAACAACUUGUAUUGUUCUCAAGGGCAAAAAUUAGAAAACAAAUUUAGGGGAUGGAAUUAAAUUAUAAUUUUUACAAUAGUAAAAUUGUAAUUUUAUUAUUUUAAUAGUUUAUAUAUUUAUAAUUUUUAAAAGAUUAAAUCAAAUCUUUAUAUUUUGAGGGAAACCAAAAUAUAAUUUUACCUUUACUAAUUUUAAAUUUUAGAGGAUGCUAGCCUCUGUCAGCCUUAAUUGUUCUUAACAAAAUUUCCACCCUUACAUGACUUAAAAGGCAGAUUAAAUCCCACUAAAUUUUUAGAAAAAUGUUUGUUUUCAUACGUUGCAAGAACCUAAGGUACAAUAAUAUUAAUGUACUGAUCAUGAAAUAUAAUGUGGUGAUUGUUCAUCUAUUCUUUCAGCUAUGUUAUCAGAGGUUUAAUCUCCGCUCAUGUGAAUGGAAUAUAUUUUAUGUCUAGCUGUUUACCUCUCCAAAAAAAUACUCCGAACGAGUGAAUUAGUUACUACUACUUAUAAUAGAUAUCUUGGUUUUGAACAAAAAAUAAUAACAAUGGACCUGAGACGGUUAGGUCAGUUCAAGUGUAGCUAUUCGCUUUUAUUCAUAUUGUAUCGAAGAAAACUCUAUUUUAAGAAACGUGUNNNNNNNNNNNNNNNNNNNNNNNNNNNNNNNNNNNNNNNNNNNNNNNNNNNNNNNNNNNNNNNNNNNNNNNNNNNNNNNNNNNNNNNNNNNNNNNNNNNNNNNNNNNNNNNNNNNNNNNNNNNNNNNNNNNNNNNNNNNNNNNNNNNNNNNNNNNNNNNNNNNNNNNNNNNNNNNNNNNNNNNNNNNNNNNNNNNNNNNNNNNNNNNNNNNNNNNNNNNNNNNNNNNNNNNNNNNNNNNNNNNNNNNNNNNNNNNNNNNNNNNNNNNNNNNNNNNNNNNNNNNNNNNNNNNNNNNNNNNNNNNNNNNNNNNNNNNNNNNNNNNNNNNNNNNNNNNNNNNNNNNNNNNNNNNNNNNNNNNNNNNNNNNNNNNNNNNNNNNNNNNNNNNNNNNNNNNNNNNNNNNNNNNNNNNNNNNNNNNNNNNNNNNNNNNNNNNNNNNNNNNNNNNNNNNNNNNNNNNNNNNNNNNNNNNNNNNNNNNNNNNNNNNNNNNNNNNNNNNNNNNNNNNNNNNNNNNNNNNNNNNNNNNNNNNNNNNNNNNNNNNNNNNNNNNNNNNNNNNNNNNNNNNNNNNNNNNNNNNNNNNNNNNNNNNNNNNNNNNNNNNNNNNNNNNNNNNNNNNNNNNNNNNNNNNNNNNNNNNNNNNNNNNNNNNNNNNNNNNNNNNNNNNNNNNNNNNNNNNNNNNNNNNNNNNNNNNNNNNNNNNNNNNNNNNNNNNNNNNNNNNNNNNNNNNNNNNNNNNNNNNNNNNNNNNNNNNNNNNNNNNNNNNNNNNNNNNNNNNNNNNNNNNNNNNNNNNNNNNNNNNNNNNNNNNNNNNNNNNNNNNNNNNNNNNNNNNNNNNNNNNNNNNNNNNNNNNNNNNNNNNNNNNNNNNNNNNNNNNNNNNNNNNNNNNNNNNNNNNNNNNNNNNNNNNNNNNNNNNNNNNNNNNNNNNNNNNNNNNNNNNNNNNNNNNNNNNNNNNNNNNNNNNNNNNNNNNNNNNNNNNNNNNNNNNNAGUAAGGAAACCAAAUCCUCUAUAUCUUGAUUCAACAGUAAUAAGCUUUUGACAUUCUGGAAAAAGCUAAAGGAACAAAUAUAGAAAACAAAAAAUUGUGAGAAUGACGUCCGUUGACCCGUUUGUGUCCCCCCGGAUCUGCAUGUUUUUGUUGGAAGGCGUAAUAUGCAUUUUGGUCCUCCAUUGUCUGUCAGACGUGUGAUUUGGUCCUUAAUUCAGUUUUAAUUAAUAUAAUUUGAUUCUGAUUUAAUUUUAAUUUAGUCUAUUUCACUUUUCUGAUAUUUUGUGUGUGUGUACAUUUGUUGAAAAGAGGAAAGCCUCUAAUUUUGUUCUCAACUGUCUCAACCAAAUCAAAUCGCAUGAAAUGACUCGUGCGAUCUAAUGCUCGAGACAUUAUGAAAAAGUACCAAGAAAUCAAGAGUGAAUACGAGGACGACAAAUUAACAGAAGAUGAGGUGAAGUGGAGAUUACUAGAAUUAACAGAGAAGCUUAAGAAACUAGAACAACAAUGAUCAAAAGAGGUGCAUCAAUGUUUGAAACUCAAAGAAAAUGCUAAGUUUGAUUUCAAGAUCUUAAACUUGUGGUUUUUUGAGGACUUGGAUAAAGUAAGGGAUUGUCUAAGCUAUGGUAUAUGCGCAUGCACACUUCUUAUUGAUAUUAACCUAUAUAGCCCCUUUGGCUAGAUGGGAAAAUUUUCUUUUAGGCCCUCAUAAAUUAAAACAUUAAAUCCAAGUCUUUUUACCCUUUUAAUUAAAUGGAAUAAUUGCCUUUUUGGCCCUAUGAAAAGUUAAUAAUUUAAUCUAAGCUUAUUUUGGAUUUGGUUUUUUUUAAUAGUGUUAACAGGUAAAUCUAAAUUUUCAAUGAUUUGAUUUUUUUUACACUUGUUUGAUAAUCCAAAAUAAAAACAAUCUAAUAGAAUCUUUUAUACAAAAAACAAAAAAGUGUGAAAAAUUAUAAAUAAGUAAGAGCUAUUUAUCACUUAAUAGAGAAUAUUUCCAAUUAAUUCAAUUUUAUUUUAUUUAUUAUAAUAUUAUAUUAUGCUAUAAAACUUUAGGUUUAAAAUUUGACUUUUAUUUAGAAUAAGGUGAAAUAUUUAAAAAUUGAGGAUAAAAUUUAGAACAUAACUUUUUAUAAUUUAAUAUUUAUAUUUAUCAAACAGAUUUUACAACUUAAACUUUCAAUACCUAUUUUUUCAACACUUAUUUUUUUAAUAUUUAAUUUUUAAAUUUAUCGAAUAAUACCUAAAUUCCUAAAAUUAGAAGUAGAAUGACUAGAUUUUAAGUUUACAAAAAAUACAUCUACUUAUGAAAAUACUCAAAAAUCUAAGAUAGUUGGGUAACUAAAAAAAUAGACAAAUUAAUCAUUUUAUGUUAAACCAAAGAAUAAAUUAGUUCUUCUGUUAAGAGUUCCAUUCAUUUCUACUCUUAAAAUUUAAUUCAUGUACAUCAAUAUGAAGUACACAUGACAUAUCACGUGUCACUAUUUGAUUAUUCUAUCAGCCAUGUCAACUUUUAACAAUAGAAAUGGAUGAAAUUUUUAACAGAAAUGAUCAAUUUACUCAUUAAUCUAAUGCACAGAGACUAAUUUACCUAUUUUUUAGUAGAGUAGGAAAAAUACAGUCUAACACUUAAUAUGAGGACCUCCAUAGUAAUUUUACCAAUAAAGACAUUUGUCCUUGUGCACUAGCAAAAAGACAAUUUCUACUAUUUUAUUAGAUUACUUGAGCAGGGGUAUGUUCAACUACUUUUCAAAUUUUCUCUUAUGUUCUGAGGAAGCUGGUCAUAUCAUAAAUGUAUAUCUAAAUAUGUGUCGGCACAUGUGUCCAAAACUUCCUAAAUCAGGUUAGGUUGAUUAUAAAGUAAAAAAUUUGAAGGUUAAAAUAAGUUUUAAGUAGUUACACAUUUUGCAUAUUUAGAAUUUAGUCUUCUUAAUUUUACUUUCAAAAGUAAAGUUCUCUACUUUUCGAGUUUAAAAUUUUAAUUAUUGUAAUCGUUGAAAUUAUAAAUUUCUACGACAAAUAUAACAGUAAAUUAAAAUAUAGAGCAGUAGGGUCAAAUCCACAGAGACCUAAUUUUGCCUUUUCUUGUGACCAGAUUCGCAGUCGCGGUCAUAGUCAUGCCCAAAUUUGAUGGGUAGUAGUGCUGAAAAAAAAAGAAAUAAAAAUGGGAGGUUUAAAUUGAUUAAGAUAAUAAAAUAAGGAAAUAUGAAAUGUAAUAAAAUAAAACAAAAACAAUUUUAAAAAUGCAAAAAUAAAUUUAAGAAAAUAAAAUAAAUUGGUAAAUGAAAUAUUUUUAAGCUUAGCCUUAGCCACGCCAAUUUGUUCGAUGGAUUUUGAAUACAACAACGCCGACUCAACUUUCCAACUGUACGCCAAACAAUUUCAACCCAACCCAUGCUUUUUGAGUUUAAAUUGAAUCAGCUUUGAGGGACGAAUUUGUACUAUCCCAUAUACCGGAGAGAUAGCGAAUAUCAAAUUGAAAGAUUCUUUUAGUAGGCUCGUAUCUCAUGAUUGUUUUGUUAGAGCAAUUUUAGGGCUAAAGCCAAAAAGGGUUUAGCUAAUAAUGGAAAGAAUCAUGCUUGAAAAUAAAUGGUUUAAAUGGAAUUCUGGAAAGUAUAAAGGCAAAAAAAAACUGCAAAAUUGAAUGGCAAAGAGGCAGGAGAUGAAAAAAAUAGAGAAUUUAUUAAAUGCUAAAGGCAAAAUGUAUUCGAUUGGUUGUAACUACUAGGUAUUUAUAUACAUUUUUAGUGCUAAAAUUUAGCACGAUUUUUUCUAAAUAUUAUCACUAAAUAUUAUCACUAAAUAAUUCGAAAUUUAAAAAUCGAAUUUAAACUAGUUACAGAGUUGUAACAAUAUAAAAAAUCCUUCAAUCUUUAUCCAGCCACUUUUAAAAAAAAAUCUUCAACCCUUCAAUAUUUAUUCAAUCAUCUUUGAAUCUUCAAUCUUUCAAUCAAGCCCUCCUCUUUGCUUUUUGUUCCAAUUUAGCCCUUUUUUUGUAAGAGUUUGAAUUCAGCACACUAACUUCAUUCCUGAUAAGAAAAAUCCAAAUUUAAUAGCAUUUUAUUUGAUAAUUAGCCAAAAAUAAAUAUAUUAAAAAUAUGAAUUUAUCUUCCUAUCAAUUUUUUUUAUCAAGCAUUAAAUAAUUAAUGGAAAAUUAAUGUAAUAACUUUUAAAAUUAACAUAAUAGUAACUUUAACCUUUUAAUAUUUUUAUAUUAUAUCAAUUUAGUCUUGAUUCUAAAAAAUCUAAUUCUCAAUAUUCAUACAUCGUGUAUUUGAUCUUUUUUACAUAUUUGUUUUUCGUUGUGACCCUUUCACCUAAAAAGUUUUAAAAAAAAAAAUUCAUCAACUAAAUUUGAUUGAAAAUAUAUUAAAAAUGAAAACACCCAAAAAUUAAAUAUAAUAAUUUCCGUAUUUUCUCAUUGUAUUAAAUUUAACCCUCCAUGUCACAAAAAAAAUGCAAAAGAAAAACUAAAUUACAUAAUGUAUAAAUAUUGAGAGUUAAAAUUUCUAUUAUACCGAUUUUAGAAGCUGUCAAGUUAACCUCCCGUUAGUAAUUUAAAGACCAGUAACUAAACAAGAAAUAAUUGAAUAAUUAAAUAAUUAUUUUGUAUCUUUCCAUAAUUAGGUGAUUAAGAAAAACUUAUCAAUAAUUAAGUGACCUUUGAUAACGAUACCUUACCUAAAAAUACAAUGAAAGUGACUAUACACGGAGGGGAGGACUACCGACAUAAAAAAUAAUGCAUUGUAUCGAGAGCUGUUUCCAGCUUUUUUGGGUCACUCCAUUAGAAGAAAAAGCAACAGCCAUAGUAUCCAAUGACCCACUUGCAUUCUUCUAUAAUUAGACCCCCUCCAAUGAAUACUCUUCAGCAAGCAGGCGACCUUUUCACGGUAGGUACUACUAGGUUUACUUAUUCAUUAUCUCUCUUGCUUUGAUUUUCCUGAAUUUCUUGAGAAUAUUCUGUUUCAUAUAAUUUUGCUUCAAUGAUUUGCUUCUUCUUAAUUUAUAUCUGAAUGUUCGAUUGUAUUGUUUUUUUAUUCAACGAUUUCUUCUGAUCCAAGUUAAAAUUUUCACAUUUCUGUGCAAGAUGAGCAACGGUGACAGUCAUUGGAAUGAUGAAGAUUGGAAUCUAAUUUUGCCUUUUUUUCUUGUGACCAGAUUCAUUGUCGCGGUCAUAGUCAUGCUCAAAUUUGAUGGGUAAUAGUGCUGAAAAAAAAAAGAAAUGAAAAUGGAAGGCUUAAAUUGAUUAAGAUAAUAAAAUAAGGAAAUAAGUGUAAUAAAAUAAAACAAAAAUAAAUGCAAAAAUAAAUUUAAGAAAAUAAAAUAAAUUGGUAAAUAAAAUAUUUUUAAGCUUAGCCUUAGCCUCGGUGUACUCCAAUAUUGAAUCUAUCUUUAAGACAAAAUUUCACUUCCAAGCGAUAAGCUGGUUAUAGCAAUCGAGGAUCCUUCAAACCACCAACUCUUCCUUUCAUAGUCGAUCCCAAUAUCACCUGCAAAUUGACCCUUGUCAAAUUUCCAACUACAUGACACGUAACCUAUAAUAUAUAUGGUAUGCAUAUUUCUUAUCAUUCAUAUUAACCAACAUAACAAAGUCUAUCUUUUAAUCAUUUAACUUUAAAAUGUUAUAAAAUGAUCAUUGUACUAUUUGAAAAUUUUCAUUUAAGUCACUAGAUUGUUAAAAUGGUCACUAUAUCGCUUUCUCUGUUUACACCGCCGACACCAAUCAAAAGUUUAAUCUCCUUCCCAUUUUCUUCUAAAAUGUAUACUUAUUAAUAGUUCAAUGACCGUAGGUGUAUUUUAUCAUAAAUCAAAUUAUAAUUAUUUCAUCUUUCCGCAUGCAAUUUGCUUAGUUUUUUUCUUACACCUAGUAAUCAUUUUCAGCUAUAUUAUUUGAAUUUGAGUUUGAACAUCAGAUACACAUUCAUGCUCGAUACACUCUGACACAUUGAAUGAUCAUAUCCAAUUCUUUUAUUUGAAUAUGUGUUGAUAUAUUAUUCAUUUAUAAAUCACUUUAUAAUUACAAUUUCUUUUCUCAAUCACAAUACUUGACCUAGCAAAAAGUCAUUCACAAUUAUGUUAUAUGAUUUUAGAUCUAAGCAUCGGAUACGAAUUCGUAGCACAGGCAUGGUUCUGGAUGUUAUUUCUGGCCUUCGUUUUACUACAGACAAGUUUCUUUACUCGAUUAUAUUAUGAGCAUCCAAACUUUAUAUGGUAUUCAAUGAUCAAGUAUACAAUAGUGUCUUCUCAUAUUGAAGUAAACAACUUGUAUUGUUCUCAAGGGUAAAAUUAGAAAAACAAAUUUAGGGGACAAAUUAUAGUUUUACUAUCGUAAAAAUAUACAAUUUAAUUAUGAUUCCUCUCAAAAAAAAAUUUGAACGUGUCUAAGAGUGAUGUAUUCGAAAAUGGCAUGAAGUUAGUAACAGUAACCAGGGCUCCGCUAAUUAGAUGGGAAGCAAAAGGUGAGAAAAAACUAGAAAUGAUUGUUUGGAGUCCUUCACCUUUGGGCUAUGUCAAGAUCUAUCCCAACCCAAAGCGCUUUUUGAGUUUAAAUUGAAUCAACUUUGAGAGACGAAUUUGUACUAUCCCAUAUACCGGAGAGAUAGCGAAUAUCGAAUUGAAAGAUUCUUUUAGUAGGCUCGUAUCUCAUGAUUGUUUUGUUAGAGCAAUUUUAGGGCUAAAGCUAAAAAGGGUUUAGCUAAUAAUGGAAAGAAUCUUGCUUGAAAAUAAAUGGUUUAAAUGGAAUUUUGGAAAGUAUAAAGGCAAAAAGAAACUGCAAAAUUGAAUGGCAAAGAGGCAGGAGAGGAAAAAAAUAGAGAAUUUAUUAAAUGCUAAAGGCAAAGUGUAUUCGACUGGUUGUAACUACUAGGUAUUUAUAUACAUUUUUAGUGCUAAAAUUUAGCAAGAUUUUUUCUAAAUAUUAUCACUAAAUAAUUCGAAAUUUAAAAAUCGAAUUUAAACUAGUUACAGAGUUGUAACAAUAUAAAAAAUCCUUCAAUCUUUAUCCAGCCACUUUUAAAAAAAAAUCUUCAACCCUUCAAUAUUUAUUCAAUCAUCUUUGAAUCUUCAAUCUUUCAAUCAAGCCCUCCUCUUUGCUUUUUGUUCCAAUUUAGCCCCCUUUUUUUUGUAAGAGUUUGAAUUCAGCACACUAACUUCAUUCCUGAUAAGAAAAAUCCAAAUUUAAUAGCAUUUUAUUUGAUAAUUAUCCAAAAAUAAAUAUAUUAAAAAUACGAAAUUAUCUUGCUAUCAAUUUUUUUUAUCAAGCAUUAAAUAAUUAAUGGAAAAUUAAUGUAAUAACUUUUAAAAUUAACAUAAUAGUAACUUUAACCUUUUAAUAUUUUUAUAUUAUAUCAAUUUAGUCUUGAUUUACAUAUUCAUACAUCGUGUAAUUUGAUCUUUUUUACAUAUUUGUUUUUCGUUGUGACCCUUUCGCCUAAAAAGUUUUUAAAAAAAUAAAUUCAUCAACUAAAUUUGAUUGAAAAUAUAUUAAAAAUCAAAUAUAAUAAUUUCCAUAUUUUCUCAUUGUAUUAAAUUUAACCCUCCAUGUCACAAAAAAAAUGCAAAAGAAAAACUAAAUUACAUAAUGUAUAAAUAUUGAGAGUUAAAGUUUCUAUUAUACCGAUUUUAGAAGCUGUCAAGUUAACCUCCCGUUAGUAAUUUAAAGACCGGUAAUUAAACAAGAAAUAAUUGAAUAGUUAAAUAAUUAUUUUGUAUCUUUUCAUAAUUAGGUAACUAAAAAAAACUUAUCAAUAAUUAAGUGAAUAGUAGUGAAAUUGUAAUAAUACAAUGAAAGUGAUUACACACAGAGGGGAGGACUACCGACAUAAAAAUAAUGCAUUGUAUCAAGGAGACCUGUUUCCAGCUUUUUUGGGUCACUCCAUUAGAAGAAAAAGCAGCAGCCAUAGUAUCCAAUGACCCACUUGCAUUCUUCUAUAAUUAGACCCCCUCCACUUUGUAAUCUUCAGCAAGCAGCCGACACUUUCUCUCUUCUUCUCUAACAGUAAGUACUACUACUAAGUUUACGUGUUCAUUAUCAUCUCUUGCUUUGAUUUUCUUGGAUUUCUUGAGAAGAUUUUGUUUCAUAUAAUUUUACUUCAAUGAUUUGCUUCUUCUUAAUUUAUAUCUGAAUUUUCGAUUUUAUUGUUUUUUUAUUCAACGAUUUCUUCUGAUCCAAGUUAAAAUUUUCCCAGAUCUGUGCAAGGAUGAGCGACGAUUACAGUUUUUUGAAUGACGAAGAUUUGAGUAUCUUCAAAAAUGUCUAUGAUCCGAUAUCCGAGGUCGCGAAAGUACGACCAUUGUUGUCAGAAGAGAUCAACCCGUCGAUGUCGAGUGGAAGCAAAAAAAGAAACCGGGAUUUAGAUCCCGGUAACUCACAAGAAGCUAAUGGAAAAGUCGGGAAGAAACAACGCCGGUGUCCGCGAACCUUUUAUGCCGGUGAAUCAUCAACUUCCCGGCUACAAGAAUGUUUGAAAGGGAAAACCGUGGCGGGAAUGGCGAAGGUUUACAAGGAUCGAAUUAGCAGGCGUAUAAAGAACGUAAGUUUCUUAAAUAAAUUCACGUUAUUAUUAUGGGCAAAUUCAGCAAAAGGUCACUAAACUAUUAGUAAAUAAAUUUUUUGGUCACUUAACUCCAAAAGGUUACAAAAUAGUCAAUGAACUAUUUAAAAGUUAUCAUUUAAGUCAUUGGAAUGUUAAAAUCAACAAUUGUACCAACCAGAAUCUCUCAUUUCCUUUAUCUUUUACAAUUUAGUUUGUUUUUCUCAAAUGACUUUGAAAAUUACAAAUCUGUAAACAAAAAUUCAAAUAGUUUUCUUCUUUGUUUUUCUACUCGCUUAUGAGUACUGAUUUGUUAUCCCAAUCGUCAAAUCGUCGCUUGGAGCUCGCUAGCUGACCUUAAAAAAAAAAACUUAAAAUCCUAGUAACUUAAAUACAACUUUUGAAUAGUUUAGUGACUUAAAUAAAAACAUUCAAAUGAUUUAGUGACUAUUUUGUAAUUAUUAGUAAGUUUACCCUAUUGUUAUUCACUUUAUAUAUAUUACGGGUAAAUUAGAAAAAAAAACUGUUUUUGAAAGUUAAUUAGGGAUUUAAGCAGUUUUUAUUUUCUAGGGAAAUAAACUAAAUUUGGAGAAAAACGUGUUUAAAUUUGGAGAGAAACAACAUGUUUAAAAAGGCUUUUUAAUGUGUUUUUUUUUUUAACAACUUAUAACACAUUAGAUUUUUUUUUUUGGGGGUUAGAUAGAUAGAUUUUAGUAUUUUGUGUUUGAGUCUCCGGUUUGAUUCUUUUUUACACACAUCUUUAUUUUUCAUUUAAUGUUGUUUUAAUUUUUUUAAAAUUUUAAUUAAUAAUUAAUUUUUUUAAAAUAAUAAAUUUGGGAAAAAUAGCCUAAAUCCCUAAUUAACUUUUAAAAAGGGCCCUUCCUUUUUUCUAAUUUAACCUAUAUAAAACAUCUAAUAAGGUUUUUUUUUUUUCCUAGGAGAAAAGGUGAGGAUGAUCUUCACCUCGGAAGAGAAUAAUACUUUAUAAUAGAUGCAUUUUGAAAAUCUUUGUAUCAACAAUACGUAUGCAUUGUUUCGUAUCUCUUGCUUUCUGUAUAUUUGGUAAAAUGAAGGACAAGGAAGCAGACAAGGACGUUAUUAUAAGGAUAGUUCGUAACAUGAUGGCCAUUAAUGCCUCUCAUCUCUUACCACGAGUUUUCGGCUCCCUCGAGCAAAUCACAACGCAAUGGCCAAUUCGACCUGACCUCCAACGUAUGAAGCAAAAGAUUCAAGAAAUCGAGAAGGACGACAGUUCAACAGACGAGGCAAAACGAAGAAUAUUCGUUGAAGUAGAAUAUGAGUUGGAGAGAAUAGAUCAAGAACGGCUAAAGGUACGCUAAAUUUUACGAAUUUUUGAUUACUUAGUUCCUAUAUUCCAAGUCUCCAAUAUAACUUUGUAGUUUGAUUUUCAGGAUUCAACAAAAGCAGGGAACCUUGAUGCAGUCUUCACGGUAUGUAUAUUCAACAAAAGCUAUCUUCAGCUAUGUUAUUCGAAUUUAAGUGGGAUGAUCAAUUUUAGUACUUUUAUCUAAAUAUAUAAAUCAAUAAUAUCUUUCCUCAUUACUAGACUUCUUUUCAGACCUAACAAAAAGUCAUUUUCAACUAUUUUACUUUAUUUCAGAUGUGUUGGAUGUGGGUUUGUAUCUAAUAUGAGUAUGUUUUUUUCUUGUUGAAUCUUUCUAUGUAAUAUAUAUGUAUUUGAAACUAUAAACAUGAAAAAGAAUAAUGCAUAUCUUAUUUCAUCAAGUUAUUUGUUUCGAUUAUUUAUUUUCAUUUCUCUUAAAUUUCAGGAUUUUAACAUGGGGACUCUACAAAAAGAGGUACGAUAUACAUGCAUAUAUACAUAUGUGCAUGCAUAGAUUGCAUAUGAUUCAUGUUUUAAAUAUAAUGCAUAUUAUAUGAUAGAAUACAUAAAAAUGUAAAAUUAAAAUUCAUGUUGUUUUAUAUUUUUCAAAUACAUAUCACAUCAUUCUUAUAAAUUAUAACCUGUUUUUUUUUUUUUUUUAAAUUGUUCUAGCUUUCUUCAGCAUGUCUGUGGCUGAUGUCGAAGAAACUACAGCAACUAAUCAUCUUAUUAGUGUUGAUGAAGAUCAAGAUCAGCAUCAUGGAAGUUUGCUAACUCCUCAAGUGUUAUACUCUAAUUUUAGCUAUCUGAAAAACCAACCUUAUGACAAAAGGCAACUGUUAUGCCACCUUCAUAUCACCUACGACCGCGGCUCGCCACACCAUUGAGCACAAUUUCAUCAUGAGCUGCCUCCACUAAAAGUGGUUGAGAUUCUUCAACUGUGCAAGUCACCUACAUUGUCAUUUCAUCAAUCUACAAGAUUACAUCAGCGUCGCUACAAAGAAAUAGGAUGUGACCCUACCGCCAACAAGAUACUUACACGUAACAUCACCUAUGUCUCAUAUAUAAACUUUCUCACCUAGAAGGAGGGAUGAUCCUCACUCCCUCUCUCUCUUCUCUCUCUUAUUAUCCUUCAUCACAUUAUCACAACAGCUCUUCGCCUUUCAAGGGUGAAGCACCAGUCACCUCUGUCAACUCUUCCCCUUGUUGAUUCCUGAUAUCAACAACAAAUUGUAUAAUUCAAGUUUUCCUGCUUCUCUAAUCCUGCAUAGACUUUUGCAUUUAAAACAGUAAGUAUUGUUGAAUCUUCUUAAGCACUAAGAUAUAUAUAUAUGUGUGUUUAGCUACAAUGCAUAUCUUACUUGACUAAGUUGUGGAGAGUCUAAGAAAGGAGAUAUGAUAUGCAUAUACAUAAAUACAUUUAUAUUUAUACAUUAUUGCAUUGCACAUUAGCUAGCUAUUUAACAUUUGAGAAUUUGGACUUCAAAAUAUGAUUUGGGUAUUAAAAAUAGAACAUGUUAUGUGAUAGAAUACAUACAAAUGUACCAUUUAUGAUUUUUUUAUACCCAUGAAUUUAUUAAAUGCAUGGUAGUAAUGAAUUUGAAAUUCACUUUUUAUGUAAUCUUAUUAAAUAUCAACUAAUUUAUAUAUAAUCAUACCCACAUCAUUCUCAUAAAUAUGACUGGUUUUCUUUCUUCUUCUUCUUUUUUGUCUUGUUGCAGCUUUCUUCAACAUGGCCAUGGCUUAUUAGUGCUGCUCAAGAUCAAGAUCAUGGAAGUUUAUUUACUCGUGAGGAGUUGCAGUACUCUACUUUUAGUGAAUUAGAAAACCAACUUUGUGACAAGGACAACAAGAAAGUGGCUGUUACCGACUUCCAUGGCUUAGAACAAGCAUUGAACAACAUUGGCUGGUAUAAAACACCGGACUACCUCAAACCGAUUGUGACCCGAAUCGAAAAUGUUCGUGGAAAAGCUACCGAUUUUUGCCAUUACAGUAUUCAAGUUCUGGUUUGUGCCGCAAUCAAAGAGAUGGAAGAGGUAUCAAUUAAGGAAUUAAACUGGGACACAUUGAAAAAAUGGGCCGCGACACUCAACCAGGCUAAGGAACUUGGUUUUGAAGCGGGAUUUGCUUACAAUCUGUUGCAGAAGAAUCUGUGUUCCUACUUUUGUCACUCGAGUAAUUUUGGACGAAACUGAAAAAGAAAAAAAAGGGUUUUGGGAAUCAAAGGUGGCUGCUGAGCUCUCAUGUUUUGCAGUUGCAGUUGCAGCAAAAUCUUUGGUAAGUCACCAUUAGAAUUGAGCUUUCUUGCAUUUAAGCGUUUUAUCUUUACUUUUCUCUUAGACUAUAUGGUUUUUUGGUAUGAAAUCGUGUGUUUGUAUUGUGUUUUGCAUCGUGUUAUAAUUGCAUUUAGAAUUUUUGAUAAGAUGAGGAUCUUUAGAAAAAUGAAGAUUCCAGUAAUGGUUCACGACUUAAGAAAAAUAACACUCCAUCAGUAUAUCAUAAGUUAAUUCAAGUUGAUAAUUAUUAGAAUUAUAUAAAUUCUAAGACAUUGAUAUAUAUAUAUAUAUAUAUAUUGCUAUUUCAUGAUCUAAAUCUUCAAUUUAACUUUUAAGCUUGGUUUUUCAGGACUACAACAAAGCAAGGAACUUUGAAGCAAUCUUCACUGCUAAUAAUAUAUAUGGUAUGCAUAUUUCUUAUCAUUCAUAUUAACCAACAUAACAAAGUCUAUCUUUUAAUCAUUUAACUUUAAAAUGUUACUAUUUGAAAGUUUUCAUUUAAAUCACUAAAUUAUUAAAAUCGUCACUAUAUCGCUUUCUCUGUUUACACUGCUGACACCAAUCAAAAAUUUUUCUUCCCAUUUUCUUCUAAAACGUAUACUUAUUAAUAGUUCAAUGACCGUAAGUGUAUUUUAUCAUAAAUCAAAUUAUAAUUAUUUCAUCUUUCCCCAUGCAAUUGGCUUAGUUUUUUUAUUUACCUAGUAAUCAUUUUCAAUUAUAUUAUUUGAAUUUGAACAUUAGAUACACAUUCAUGCUCAAUACAGUCUGAAUGAUCAUAUCCAAUACUUUCAUUUGAAUAUGUGUUGAUAUAUUAUUCAUUUAUAAAUCACUUUAUAAUUACAAUUUCUUUCCUCAAUCACAAUACUUCACCUAGCAAAAAGUCAUUCACAAUUUAUAUAAUUUUAGAUCUAAGCAUCGGAUACGAAUCCAUAGCACAGGCAUGGUUCUAGAUGUUAUUUCUGCCCUUUGUUUUACUAGCUAGAGACAAGUUUCUUUGUCCAACUCGAUUAUAUUAUGAGCAUCCAAACUUUAUAUGCUAUUCAAUGAUCAAGUAUACAAUAAUGUAUUCUCAUAUUGAAGUAAACAACUUGUAUUGUUCUCAAGGGCAAAAAUUAGAAAACAAAUUUAGGGGACGGAAUUAAAUUAUAAUUUUUACAAUAGUAAAAUUGUAAUUUUAUUAUUUUAAUAGUUUAUAUAUUUAUAAUUUUUAAAAGAUUAAAUCAAAUCUUUAUAUUUUGAGGGAAACCAAAAUAUAAUUUUACCUUUACUAAUUUUAAAUUUUAGAGGAUGCUAGCCUCUGUCAGCCUUAAUUGUUCUUAACAAAAUUUCCACCCUUACAUGACUUAAAAGGCAGAUUAAAUCCCACUAAAUUUUUAGAAAAAUGUUUGUUUUCAUACGUUGCAAGAACCUAAGGUACAAUAAUAUUAAUGAACUGAUCAUGAAAUAUAAUGUGGUGAUUGUUCAUCUAUUAUUUCAGCUAUGUUAUCAGAGGUUCAAUCUCCGCUCAUGUGAAUGGAAUAUAUUUUAUGUCUAGCUGUUUACCUCUCCAAAAAAAUACUCCGAACGAGUGAAUUAGUUACUACUACUUAUAAUAGAUAUCUUGGUUUUGAACAAAAAAUAAUAACAAUGGACCUGAGACGGUUAGGUCAGUUCAAGUGUAGCUAUUCGCUUUUAUUCAUAUUGUAUCGAAGAAAACUCUAUUUUAAGAAACGUGUAUAUAUCUUAUACUAUAUUUAAGUUUUUAAUUGAGAUGAUGCCAUUGAUCAAUUAGGCAUCAAUUUAAUUGGGAAAUACAAAAAUCUAUAUAAAUCAAUGUAAAUCCAUUCAUGGUAGGACUUCAAUAUAGGCUACCAUGAUCUUCGAAAUAUUAAUUUUACCAUUUCAAUUAAAAAUUUAUUUUUUUUAUAUUUUUUAUAAAUAUGCAUUUACAUAAUAUUUUUUCUAGAUAUUAUAAGCAUGUCAGAAUUUGAUGUGCAUACACACAUGUAUGUUUGUAAUAUGUAUUAAACAUAAACUACUUUCCUUUAGGAUCAAUAAAUUAGAAUAUUUUUUAGUUUAAAAGAAUUUUUGGAAGUAAUUUUUAAAAGUUUAACUUUUUUUUUUACAUAUAUUUUAGAUUGUUUUAAAAAAUAAUUUUUUAAAAAGUAUAAAUUUUUAGAAUUUUUAUAAAUAUUUUGAAUUUUAAAAAUUAUUUUCAAUUUUUGAAAAUUAUUUUGAAAUUUGAAUUUUUAUUAAAGAAGAGACCAAUUUGCUCAUUUUUGAAAUUGACAGGGACCAAAAGAGUAUUUACACUAAUCUGUUAUUCGAAUUAUUCAAGUUGUAAAAUUCAACUCGACUCGAACUCGAAAUUUAAAAUUUCUUAUUCGAGUUAGACUCGAACAAUUUGAAUAACUCGAUUCAAUUAACUUGAAAUUCGAAUUUUUUUUAAUUUUUUCGAAUCGUAUCGAAGUUUGCUCACCCACCGCUAGACAAGGACCAUUUUGGAAAUAAAAACCAGAUUUUGAGGCUCAGACAAACAAAUUUUCAAAAUAGACAAAUGAAGAUUAACAGAUGUCCGUUCCUUCAAACUAGCAGAUUUAUUAAAAUAAAUUGAAUAUGAAUUAGUAAGUUCCUUCACUAUUUCUGGCACGGAUGACUUGAUGAACUCUUCUUCAUUUUUUGUUAAUGAUUCUCGUCGGACAACAGCAAAAUUAUAAAGAAGGAUAUGAUAGCGAAUUGGUAGAUUUAGGACUUACAGGUUUAAUGUAUCUAUAUCGGUGAAGAGAAGACAGAGAAAAGGCCGCCGCCGCCGCCGCCGAAGAGUUAAGCAGGAAAAACAAAGGAAUUCGUUGGUUAGAGAAAGCUUGGAAGUUGGGUCUAAACUUUGGGCUCAUUUUAGGCUAUUGUUUUCGGCGGAACCGGAUUUGAACUUAAUAAACAGAUAUAAACUUUUGGUUGGGCCCAAUUUAAAUUUAGCUCGGUUCAUCAUUACUUAUAAUUUUUAAUAAAUUAAUAAUAUUUUUAGGGCUAAUUAAAUAAAUUGAAUAUGGAAGUUUAAAUUUAUCUCCAAACUUCAAAUAUUUUAAUUCACUCUUUAAAAAUAUAUUUUUUUAAUUUUCUUUUCAAUUUUUACAUAUAUUUUCAAAUUUGAGUUUUUUUUUUAAAUUUAUAUAAAUUUCGAAAUUAUUAUUAUUUUGUUAAUUUAUAUAUUUGAAUUUUUAUAGAAAUUUAAAGUUUUCAAAUUUUCACGUAAUAUUGAUUAUGUGUCACAAUAUGGUGUUGUCACGUCAUUGAAAAUGAAUGCAGCUACAAACAAGCACUAAAAUACUGUAAAAACGUAAUCUCCUCAAAAUCAAAAUUCCACAGUCUUCAUCGCAGCUCUUCCAACACCUCGGUUUCUCGACGCUAGCUUUCCUCAUCGGUUUCUCGAAAUUCUAACUCAACUCCUUCGAGUCCUUAAUAUAGGCGCUUAUAACAGAUCUGUCAUCUUGUUCUAUUUGCAGUUUCCUGAUAAUCGAUCGGGUAUCCCCUUCAACUAUCAUUUUCCGAAAACCCAGAUCGAUUCCCAUUUAUACUGUCUGGAGAUAGGCCAAUGCUUCAGUAGCAAAAGAAGAAAGAAUGUAGCUAUUCAGAAUGAUUCUUGAGCCCAUCACCUGCCUACCAAGCUCGAACAUGAUUGUUUUGUGUGAUUUUUGAAGGCUGCAUCAAAGUUUAUUUUGAUAAACGCUGGAUCUUGUGGGCGCCAUCUUUCCAUCAUAAUCUCUUAGCAGGUAAAUUUCUCUCUAUAUCAUCAAUUUCCUUGAGGUAUUCUCUUAUGAAAACAACUGAUUCAUGUGAAGAUUUUUUAAUCCCUUCAUGCACCUCUUUAUUCAUUGUUGUCCAAAUGACCCAAGGAGCACAGAACACUGUUCUACAUUUGCGUGUUGAAAUGGUAGACACAAUAUCCAUUAACCAGUCUCUAAAUCCCACUCUGUGAUACAUCCUUAUUCCAUGUUAUUUCUAACUGUUGUCAUAUUUCUUUUACAAUGAUACAAUCUCGGAAAACAUGCUCUAUCGCUUCAGUUCCCUCUGAGCAUCGAGGACAGAUUGCUGAACUUCGAAGCCUUCUGUAAUGGAGAUUCCAAUACGUUGGAAUGUAGUUAUUAAACAGCCUCCAUAUUGUAAUCUUAACUUUUGAUGGCAAAUUUGUCUGCCGCAGCUUCUUGUAGAAAAUGGUGUGACCAUUAUUGUAGUGUCUAGGCUCAGAUGUAUCCUCUCCCUGUAAUAAUCUUUUAUAACCACUCCUAACGGUGUACUCACCAGUUGCAUCACCCCGCCAGACCAACGUAUGUUUGUGUUAAUUUAGUAUUGAGUUAAUUUGUGACAUAAAUUCAAUCAAUGAGAUUAUUAAUAUAAUAAAAAUAUGGGUCAAAACUUUUGUGUCAUAAUAUCAAAAUAUACAAAAAUAAAACAUUAGUUAAUGGUAUAAGUUCAAACCUUCUCAUUUAUAAUUUAUUUUAUUGAUUUUAUUUAAAAUGUAAAAAAUAAAAUUACCAUUAAAAUACAUAAAGGUAAUUUAGUAAUUUUUCUAACCGAGUCGGUGUUCAAGGAUUAGAAGUAAAAAGAAACUAUCAUUGUUAAAAUGUAAAAACUAUUUAAUUUUUUUCAAAUUUAUUAAAAUAUAAAUAAUAUUUUAAAGUAUUUUAAAGUCGUAAAUAUUGUGAAUAUCAUUAAAAUCAUUAAAUAAUUAUUAAAAAAUGAUUUAAAUUUUGCAAAAAUUAUAAGAAAUUUGAAAAUUAUAAUAAUUUUAUCAUUUUUAUUAAAAAUAAAAAUUAAAAAAUUCUAAAAUAGCAAGAAAUUAUCAUGCCAGGAAGAAAUCAAAUUCGAGCCUACUAAUACUUUUACAUUAAUUUUGAUAUUGAAAACUCAAAUUUGAGCUUAGAACUUAUAAUCAAACAUAGAUUAAAUUAAUUUCUUACGAAAUCGACGAAUUUAAUCUUAUACAGUAUUUAAUUUUAAUUAAUAUAUCAAAUAAAAUUUAAAACUUAAAUUCAAACUCUUAAUUUUUUUUAAUACUUAAUUUCUCAGUUUAACAAAGCAUUAAUCUCAAAUAAGAUAAACUUCACACAUACAGAAAAGUAAAUGUAGAUAUCAUUAAAGCCAAUAUUUUUAUAGACUGCAGCAAGCCAGCAACAGCAACAGCAACACAACCAUUUGCUCUUGGGAAGCUAUAUUUUUACGGUCGAUUUGGGCAGACAUUGAAUAGCAAAAUAGGCAAGAAAAUUCUUCUUCAACAGAUUAUCAGCAAAUCCCACUUGAAAACCAUAUUUCUUAGCGUAAUUAAGUGUCGCGCUCCACUUUUUCAAGGUACCCAAAUCCAAAUCCCCAACCGAGAAAUCUUUCAUCUCUUUGAUCGCAGCGCAGACCAGAAUUUGAAUGGCGACAUGAAAAACAUCAGUAGUCUUUCCACGAUCUUUUUCGACUUGGAUUGCAAUAGAUUCGAGGUAGUCUGGAAUUUUCCCCCAACUCGUUUUCUUUAAUUCCUGUGCCAAGCCUGGGAAAUCUUUGCAUUCCACUUUGUCGUUGCCUUUGUCAUAAAGUUGGUUCUCCAAAUCACGGAAUUCAGAUUGUACUCCUUCACGUGUUGGAUCAUUGGCUGCAGUAACUUUUACCUUGCAUGGAGGUGGGAAAAAAAUCUAGAACAAACAAACAUGAAAAACAAGUAAUAAAUUCAGAGCAAUGAAAUAAAUUCUGUGCUUAACUCUGGAAAAAUGGAUUUUGAAUACCGUGUGAAUUGUGAGAAUGUUGUGUAAAUGAGAUAUUGUUGCUCACUCGAAUUUAACUUGAAAAGAAUUCGAAUUCGAUUUAAUAGUUGUUGAGCUGAGUUUAAAUUACAUUAUUUCCCUUAAUAUGUUAUUAAUUUUAAACUUAAUUAUUGAGCCAAUUUCGAACUCGAGUAGCUCAAUUAUAUCUCGAGUCAAGUAUCAAGUUCCGAAUUUUAAAUCGAGCUCAGCUCGGCUCUAUUACACUCUAUACAUGACUACAUAAAACUCAAUUGAGAUUUGGUGUGGUUAUGUAUUUGAAAGACAUAAAAGAAACAUGAGAAGGAGAAGUUAGGAUUAGUUUAAUAUUAUUUUUGAGAAGUGCUUUCAAAAAGUGCUAUGAAAAAGUGAUUUUUGACAAGUACUUUUAAAAAGUUUAGUUUAAGAUUUAAGUGUUUAGUAUUAAUGUCAAAAAGUACUUUUAAUAACUAAAAAAAAUUGCUUUUACUUUUGGGUUGAACAGCACUUCUGACUCCAAAAGUUGUUUAGCAUUACUUCUGGCUUCAAAAGUAUUUUUAACCCCAAAAACACUUUUGAGAAAUAAUGCUAUAGAAAGCCUUAUUAGUGAGGAUAUUACCUUUGGAUAACUAAGUUGCCAUGCUUUUUCUUUGAAGUCCUGAAAAUUUAAGUUAAAAAAAUUAAAUUAAAGAUUUAGAUCAUGACAUUAAACCUGCUUUUUCAUACAAGUCCUGAAAAAUCAAAUUAAAAAAAAUUAAAUUAGAGAUUUAGAUCAUGAAAUUGAACUUAGUAAAUAAAUUCCUAAUAAUUUAGGUACCUCUGAUAGUUGUGGAUCAAAUUUAAAAAAAAUUAAAUUAGAGAUUUAGAUCAUGAAUUAAACUUAGUAAAUAAAUUCUAAUGAUUUACGUACCUCUGAUCGUUGUCGAUCAAGUCGCCGCUCCGCCUUAGCUUCUGCUAAUACAGCAUCGUUGCAGUUGAGGUCAGUUUCUUGGGUCACAUGGAUAAUCACUAGGGGAUCAGAUUGUAUUGGCCAUUGCAUUUUCAUUUGGUUGCGAUGGCAGAGAACUUGUUGAGAAGCUUUCGUUUUCCAGACGUUAGUGGCUUUCAGCCCGCUCAGCAGCAUCUCCACCAUGCGUUGCCACUUGCAUCUCCAAUUUGUUAUCUUGCCAUUCUUUUCACACAAAACAGGUAUUAAGAGACAAUCUACAGCAUUGUCAAUGCAAGGAUUUUUGGACCAACUGUUAAAAGAUAUUACCAUUUCCAAGGAUUUUUGGACUAGACACUAGACAGGGACCAUUUUGGGAAAAAAAAUCUAGAUUUUGAGGCUCAGUUUAUGAAAUGAGCUCAACACAAACAAAUGAAUAUUAAUCAUUUACAGCCCUACUUGCAGAUUUAUAAAAAUAAAUUGAAUAUGAAUUAGUAGUUUGAUUAAGAGACUUACGUUAUUUAUCCCUCUUUCUGUUGGAUCAUCGUAAAUUUUCGCUCUUUUUUGUCUCCAGUACCGGAUAUCCCUCGGUUUCCUUAUUCCUUUUCUUUCUUGUCUCAAUAAGUCAUCGGAAACAAAGUUCAGAUUUCUUUUCUUGCUUCCAUUCGACAUAGACUGAUGCUCGAGUUCUGCCACGCCAUAACCCAUCUUCUUGUUCGGAUCUGAGAAAUUUAACUCAGAUUUCCCAAUUAGAACAACAGAAAAAUUAUAAAGGAGGACACGAUAGCGAAUUAGUAGAAUUAGGAGUACUUACAGGUUUCAAGUAUCGAUAUCGGUGAAGAGAAGACAGAGAAAAGAACACCGCCGCCGAAGAGUUAAGCAUAAGAAACAAAGGAAUUCGUUGGUUAGAGAAAGCUUAUCUUUAUUUCGAGAUUUUGAAUAGAAUUUAAUGAUCUUAAUUUGACAACCGAUUUUGAGAUUGAAAGUAAACUGAUUUGAGACGUACCUUUUCCAUCGUCUUCGGCCUACUCCGACAAACUUCUCGAAUAACUGUUGUAAAUGAAUCAACGGGCAUGUUUUCUAAUUUUUUUUUCACUUUAAGCGGUCGUUGGAAAGAAUAGUCGGUCACGGAUUGCUCUUCAUAUUCCAGUUCUUCCAACAAAAUUACGAUAGUUUUGACCGCAGAUCGGUCUCCGGCGCCAGGAAGCAUAGCGUUCAUUGCAGACGAUGUGUUUCUGUGGUGGUCGAGGCAAUCUUCAAUCUUCAACAACAGUUCAAUUUAAUCUCUGUCCAUGUUGGAUUUGGUCGUGUCUUCCGCCAUUGAUGGUUCAAACUGAAAUCAAGGCAAAAAUUGCUUGAUUAUUGCAAGAGGAAGAAAGUGAAAUAGUGAAUCGAAAGAGAUGAAACUUCAGGGUUGUAGAUACCACAAUACAAUAUAAUAAAAAUAACGUCGGUAGAUGAGAAACGGUCCCACCAUGGACUUUUAUAUUUUCACGCGCGCGCAUAUCACAAUGGCUUCUCGCGAUGGGCGCGAGCAUAUUCAACUUCAACAUAACAUUCUCGCGAUGGGCGAGAGCAUAUUCAACUUUAACAAUAUUAAUUGUUUUUAUCCAUUACUGUCUAAAUGAACUAAAAUAGUCGUUCUAAGAAAAUUUAAAUGACUUUACAAAAAGAAAAAAAUUUAAAAAAUAAAGUGGUAAAAAAAACUUCUUCUUUUCUAAUUCAAACCACCAAAUACCGACCAUUUUAAAAAUACAGUCAAACCUUAUUACCUAACCACACUGCGCUCGCGUGUUCGUUGAAGCAUAUGGCUCCAUAUUUGCCCCUGCUAAUUUUCCAGUAAUCUUCUUGCGACAAUUUUAAUAGAGGAAGUUCAAAUCUCGAGCUUUUCGUGAUGGAAAUUAGCCUUAUUUUUAAUCCCAUCUCAUUGAAAACUUUCUUAGUUUCUUCGGUUGACGCUCUCACACCCGACCUGCUCUCUCUUCCCUUCACUGGUAGAAGUACUUAUUGUUGAAUUUACUUAUUCAAUAUCAUGUCUUGCUUUCAUUUUGCAUCAUUUCUUUACUUUGAGUUAAUAUCAUUCCAUACGGUUUUGUUUUGCUGAUUUGUAAGAAGAUUUUGAUGCCUUUCACCUGCAAAUCGUUUGUGUUAUUUCUUUUUUUUUUUUUUUUUGGUUUCAAUGAUUUGAUCUAAUCUAAAUUUCUUAGAUCCGUGCCAAGAUGAGCUUCGUUAAGUCGCCAUCCUCCGAUGUUCCACAUCUCGUUGACAACUUCCUGAAUGAUAAUAUGCCACCAGAAAUCAAUAGCCUCCUUGAAGGGGAAAAGACCCCAAGUGAGAACUACUUGACGCCGAGUGCAAGAAACUCUGAUCCUAAUAUGGUAUGCGUAAUUUUUUUUAUUUAAUUUAAUGAUGAUGUAUUUAUUAUUUAUUGACAGUGCAUGAAAUUUAUAUAUCAGACGGUACAUAAAAAAAUUAUUACUUGUAAUAAUUAUCUUUUAUUUUCUGAUGCGCUAGAUUUAUUUUUAGACAUUUAACUAUUUUACUUGAAUAUCAAAUAUAAAAAUUUAUGCCUAACAUAUACAUGUUCAAUUUUUCUGAAUUUUUUAAUGCAUUUAGAAGAAUUUGGAAGGCCAUAUUUGAUAUUGCUACAUUAUUUUUAAGUCACAUUAUAAUCAUAAUUUCUUUUUCACUAUAGUUGUGUUUUUAGACUUAGCAAUAUGGAUUCAUGUAUCUUUUAAGUUUUCCUUUCUUUUUCUUAAACUUAAUGACUCAUGUCAUUCUUGAACUUAAUAUCAUAUCUUGCCUAAUACAUUGCAUUACAUGCUCUCUCUUUUCUUCACUGCAAUGGAAGAAUGUACAGUUGACUUUACUAAUUUAAUAUCAUAUCUUGCUUUAAUUUUACGUAAUUUCUUUACUUGAGCCGAUAUGGUUUUGUUUUGCUUAUUUCCCGUUGAACUGCAAACUGUUUGUAUUUUUUUUGUGAUCUAAUCUAAAUUUCACAGAUCCAUGCCUCGAUGAUGAACACUGCUAAUAUGCUAUUGACACAACAUGGAGUGACACCAGCAACGAAUUCGAUGAAUUUUCAAGAGGGAGGGUUCUCAGUUGGAGACCCUGAGUCUCGUAUGAUGGUAUGCAUACUUUUUUGUUUAAUUUAAUGAUAUGUGUCAUGUGAUUAUUUACCGAUAAUGCAUGAAAUUUAUAUAUCGAUGAUACGUAAAAGAAUAUUACUUAUAAUAAUUCUCUUUUCUGAUGCACUAGAUUUUUCUCGUUUUGCUGAUUGGAAAGAAGAUUUUGAUGCAGUUGUGUUUUUCUGUUCUUUUCAUUUCAAUUAUUUGAUUUGAUCUAAAUUUCACAUAUUCGUGCCAAGAAGAGCAUCGUUAACAGGUCAGUCCUUAAAGAUUUCAAUGAAGAGAUUGGAGACUUGAGACAACAUGGUGGAUUCACCUAUAGUGGAGACACGAACUUUCAAGAGGUAGAAGUUAAAUUUUUACAAAUUUAAUUACUCAAUUUAAAUCUCCAAUCUAACUUUAACUUUUUAAUUUGGAUUUUCAGACCUUAACAAGAGCUGGGAACCAUGAUACUUUGGUAUGCAUUAUUUUUUGUUUAAUUUAAUGAUGAUGUGUCAUAUUAUUAUUUACUGAUGCUUUAUGGUAAUCAGAUAUAUAAAUAACACUCUCAUAAUUUAUGGUUUUUCUUCAGCAUAUCCGGGCCUUAAUAUUGUUGAUCAAAAUCUUGAAUUUACUAAUUCAAUAUUAUAUCUUGCUUAAUACAUUGCAUUACAUGCUCUCUCUUUUCUUCAUUGCAAUGGAAGAAUGUACAGUUGACUUUACUAAUUCAAUAUCAUAUCUUGCUUUGAUUUUGCAUAAUUUCUUUACUUGAGCCGAUAUGGUUUUGUUUUGCUGAUUUCCCGUUCAUCUGCAAACCGUUUGUGUUUUUUUUGUGAUCUAAUCUAAAUUUCACAGACCCAUGCCUUGAUGAUGAACGCUUCUAACAUGCUAACACCACAUGGAGUGACACCAGCAACCUAUUCGAUGAAUUUUCCAGAGGGAGGGUUCUCAGUUGGAAACCUUAAGCCUCGUAUGAUGGUAUGCAUACUUUUUUGUUUAAUUUAAUGAUUUGUGUCAUGUUAUUAUUUACUGAUAAUGCAUAAAAUUUAUAUAUCGAUGAUACAUAAAAGAAUAUUACUUAUAAUAAUUCUCUUUUCUGAUGCACUAGAAUUUUUUUGUUUUGCUGAUUGGAAAGAAGAUUUUGAUGCAGUUGUGUUUUUCUGUUCUUUUCGUCUCAUGUCAUUCUUGAACUUGCUCUUCGUGCAUCUUUCCGGUUAAAUUUUUUCGUCCUGCUGUUUACUGCUAUUACACUGUUGUUUUGUUCUGCAAAAUUUUUGUCCUUCAAUCUAAAAAACAUUGUUGAAGAAUUGCCAAAUCAAUUGAAUUGUCCACCUUGUUCCGAACAUAUACUUUUCUUGUAUGUCUUCAAACUCACAAGCCAAAUUUGCAAGAACAAUUUCUCACGAAAUGACUCAUGAUUUCACUAUGUUGAGUCUUGAACCAUAGUUUUGAUAUUAGUUGCAGGGAUUAAUGGUUGAAACGUUAUCAACACAAACUAAAAAGAAAAAAAUUAGAUAUACUCAUUACUGACAUUAUAUAACAUUGUUUGACCUCACUAGCUUACAUUGCACGGAUAAAACUACAAACCAUCCUCCCAAAAGAUCCCAUAAGAAUGUCAUUUUCCUUCGGCUACUUAAUUUCAUAAGCUAAACCCUGUAGUCUAUUUAUAAGACUAUUACUUGUCCACCAAGAAACAUUUUUCAUUAAGAUUUUUACUUAUUAAUAAUACCUAUUUCAUUAACGAACAUAAUCAUCUUGCAAUAUCCAUCAUCUAUGAUUAUUUAUUAAACCCAUGAAUUUGUUGAGUACGUGUUAGUAAUCACAUCACAUUAAAUCUCAACUAAUACAUAUGUUAAGUUUCUUUGCUAAUUUUCCAUGAAUCUUCUUGUUUCAAAUUUACAGAGAGGUAGUUAAAAUCUAAAGCUUUCCGUGAUGGUAGUUGGCCUUAUUUUAAAUUCCAUCUCAAUUCCUUCGUUUCUUCAGUUUUACUCUUCGACACCUGACCCUUCUCUCUCUUUUCUUCACUGCAGUAGAAGUACGUAUGGUUGAAUUUACUGAUUCAGUAUCAUAUCUUGUUUUGAUUUUGCAUAAUUUAUUUACUUUGAAUCAAUAUCCUUCCAUAUGGUUCUGUUUUGCUGAUUUGAAUGAUGAUUUUGAUGCCGCUAACCCGCAAAUCAUUUAUGUUUUUCUGUUCUUUUCGUUUCAAUGAUUUGCUUUAAUCUAAAUUUCUCAGAUUCGUGCCAAUAUGAGCAUCGCUAGCACUUCAUCCCAUGAAGCUAUCUCUGAAGGACAAGUGAACUACUCGAAUCAAGAGAGCGAAGGGUUGNNNNNNNNNNNNNNNNNNNNNNNNNNNNNNNNNNNNNNNNNNNNNNNNNNNNNNNNNNNNNNNNNNNNNNNNNNNNNNNNNNNNNNNNNNNNNNNNNNNNAGAUGAAUGACUCGAAGAGGAGUAUAGGCAUUAAAAGAAGCUUGGAUGCUAGAGAAAAGGGCACAGAGGAACAAUGCAACUUCCAUCAAUCACUAGAACCGAAAAAUAAAAAAUUAACCCUCGAACAGCUUGGAGAGAAAGAUGAGAAGCAAAUAAACAAGAUAAUGACAGAUCGGCUUAACAGGCAGCUAGAGCAGGUAAAUUCUCCUCAUUGAAUUUAAUAAUUAUUUUUAUAUAUUGAAGGCAAAAAUGCCACUAGCAACUACUAGCACGGAUUGGACUCUGCAUUACAAGUUAUGCUUCUUUUAAGCUAGUUUAUUAUUGAAAAGUAUUGUGAUAAAAUGUUUUACAAAAGUGUUUAUCAUUUUUGUUAAAAAUUGUUUUUAGAAAUAUAAAACAUCUAUUUUAAAGGUGAUUUUGUAAAAUAUAAGAUUCAACGAGGAGAUAAAAAAAUAGUUUCAUUUAAAAGAACUUUUUCAAAAAUCAAAAGCUAAAAAUCAUGGUUGGGGUUGAGAAGUAAUAGAUGAUUCAAAAAAAUCAUUGUAUCUACAAUGUAACUAUGCUUGUUUCUUUUAACACCUAUUUUGUUUGUAUAUUUUGGGAAAGGAAGGACAAAAAGUCAGAUAUGGAAUUAGUGCACACCAAGCAAUGGCCAGCGCGACCGGAUGUGGAUGAAAUUAGGCAAUACUGGAAAGAAAUAGUAAAACAAUGUGGUUCCAGAAGAGGAUAAGGAAAGAUCGCUAGAAGUAGCAUCCAAGUUUGAUAUAUUACAACAACAACGUAAAAAGGUAUGUCAAAUUUUUACAAAUUUUAAUUACUCAAUCUAAGUCUCCACUCUUAACUUUUUAAUUUGAUUUUUCAGGACUCUGGGAACCCUUCCACUAAUAUGGUAUGUAUAUAUUUUUAUUUAAUUUAAUAUUGACGGUGUCAUGUUAUUAUUUAUUGUUGCUGCAUGAAAUUUAUGUAUUAAAGGGAGAAAUUAUUUUAUGAAUCCUUCUCAUCACAUCAUCUAUGAUCCUUUUUCUAAUUAUUUAAUGACAUUUCAGCAAUUUUUUCCAUAUCAUUAACACAUAUCAAAUAUAAAAAAAAAAAAUUGAAGCACUUGGAAGAAUUUGGAUGGCCAUAUUUGCUACCUCUAUGUAUUGCUACAUUAUUUAUAAGUCACAUUAUAAUCAUAAUUUCUUUUUCACUAUAGUUGUAUUUUUAGACUUAGAAAUAAUACAUUGGACAUGGAUUCAUGUAUUUUUAUCUUUUAUAAGUUUUCUUUUCUUUUUCUUUAUCUUGAUGUCUCAUGUCAUUUUUGAACAUGCUCUUACAUCUUUUUAAUUAAAUUUCAGGAUCACAUCGUGAAUAAUUUAAGUUUAUAUUUCACGGUUCAAUUCAUUGAGGCAGUAAAGGAAAAGGUAUGAUAUGUACUUUAGCUGACCCAAGUAGUAUUUGAGAACAACCGACCAAAAAAAUUUGGGAACAUUGUUUAGGUUUCAGAAAUUUUUAUUCUAGUUUUAAGGCUAUUACUUGAUCAUCAAGAAACCUUGUUCAUUAAUUUUUUUACUUAUUAAUAAUACUUAUUUCAUUAAUCAACAUAAUCAUCUUGCAAUAUCCAUCAUCUAUGAUUAUUUAUUAGAUCCAUGAAUUUGUUGAAUAUGUGUUGGUAAUGAAUUUGUCUUUUUAAGUACACCACAUUAAAUCUCAGCAAAUACAUAUGUAUAAUCAUAUACAUACCAUUCUCAUAAUUUAUGGUUUUCUAUGUUUAUUAUUUCAGCUUUCUCCAGAUCUUGGUAAUGGUCGUUCUGUAGGGUUCCCACCUCUAUCCUCUGCUUUUAAUGAUUUGAAAAACCAAGUUUAUGUCCAAGGCAACAAGCAAGUGGAGCCAGAAGAUUUCCAAGGUUUACCAGAAGAGUUGAAGAAACUUCGUUGGGGGGAAAUUCCAAGCUACCUUCAACCUAUUGCGAGCCGAAUCGUAAAGGAUUUUGCAAAAGUUGAGUUUAGCCAUACUACGGCUCUAGUUUUGUUUUGUGCUACAAUAAAAGAGAUGGAAGAUUUUUCAGCUGAGAAAUUGGACUUGAAUACGUUAAAGAAGUGGGGGGCAACACUUAAAAAGGCCGAGGAAGUUGGUUUUAAGGUGGAAUUUGCUGAUGAUUUGUUAAGGAAGAAUUUGCUUGCCUUCUUUGCAAACACACAUAUUCUUGGAGGAGGCUAAAAAAAGGAGGUUGGAGAAAUCAAAAAUGGCUCAACUCUCAUUGUUGAGAAUCAAAGGGUGUUUUGCAUUUGCAGCAAAAUACACGGAACUUAUUUGAUUUGAUGCACUUUGGAUUUCAAUAUUUACUUUUCUCUAUUUAAACUAUUUGGUUUUGGGUUAAAAAAAGAACUAUAUGGAUAUUUGGGUGUUUUGCAAUCAUUUAUAUUAUAUGAUUUUUGAGACAUUGAUAUAUUUCAUCACCAUGUGCUAUAUAUAUAUAUAUGAAAUUGUGUUAGUUAUUUUACCUUGUUUAUUAAGUGUCAGAUUUGAGUGUGAGUAUUGAAAAUAAUUAUGUAUCCAAUAUGGUAAACUUAGUUUUUUUUUAAAUUUUUCCAUAUAUUUAAAAGAUCCUUAAAUGUUAUACCCCUUAUCUAUGUGACAGACACGAGUACUUCAUUUAUUACUUAUUUUUCUUAGUUAUUUUUUUAAUACUAAUUUUCCAAUUUAUUAAAUAUAGUUAAUAGUCUUAUCAGUUUAGAUGAGUUUAGAUAAAUUAAGGCAACCUAUGCAGAGAUUGAAUUUAAACGCAGAUGUAGAGGUAAGAAUUAAAAAAUCACUAUUAAAAGCAUUAAGUUAAAAAUUAUAUGAAAUACCUGUUUUAAAUUAUUUCAUAUUUAUGAAGCUAUUAAAAGUAAGGGCAAAUUUUAUUAAUAGUCACACAAUUAUUAGUAAAUUUAAUUUUGGUUGUUCAAUUAUGAAAAGUUAUAAAAUGGUCUUUCAAUUAUUAGUAAAUUUAUUUUUUUGGUCACUUAUCUAUGAAAAGUUAUAAAAUAUCACUCAACUAGUCAAUUUCUUCUUUUUUGGUGACUGUUGGCUAAUGCAAAAAUGAAAAUACCCAAAAAUCCAAUAUAGUUUUUUCUUUUUUUGGCAAAAAAAAUCCAAAAUAGUUGGGUGACUAAAAAAUGGUCAAAAUAGUAAUUAUACAUUAGAUGAAAGAAUAAAUUGGUUCUUCUAUUAAAAGUUUCAUUCAUUUCUAUUGUUAAAAAUUAGUUCACAUACGUCAACAUGAGGUACACAUGAAAUGUCACGUGUCAUUAUUUGGUUGUUUUGUUAGUCAUAUCAUCUUUUAACAAUAGAAAUGAGUGAAUUUUUUAAUAGAAAAAAAUUUAUUUUAUGGACUAAUUUACCUAUUUUUUAAGUAGGGGCAAAAUGUAAUCUAACAAAUUUUGAUAUAGGCUAUCAAUCCACACACGAGCAGGAAUAGGAAACUUUUGGUAUACCAUUAGCCAAUGAUUUCCACUAGAAAUAUUGGUACCACAUAAGAUAUUUUGGUAUAGUGUUACAAAUUUUGGANNNNNNNNNNNNNNNNNNNNNNNNNNNNNNNNNNNNNNNNNNNNNNNNNNNNNNNNNNNNNNNNNNNNNNNNNNNNNNNNNNNNNNNNNNNNNNNNNNNNNNNNUAUAUCUUGAUUCAACAGUAAUAAGCUUUUGACAUUCUGGAAAAAGCUAAAGGAACAAAUAUAGAAAACAAAAAAUUGUGAGAAUGACGUCCGUUGACCCGUUUGUGUCCCCCCGGAUCUGCAUGUUUUUGUUGGAAGGCGUAAUAUGCAUUUUGGUCCUCCAUUGUCUGUCAGACGUGUGAUUUGGUCCUUAAUUCAGUUUUAAUUAAUAUAAUUUGAUUCUGAUUUAAUUUUAAUUUAGUCUAUUUCACUUUUCUGAUAUUUUGUGUGUGUGUACAUUUGUUGAAAAGAGGAAAGCCUCUAAUUUUGUUCUCAACUGUCUCAACCAAAUCAAAUCGCAUGAAAUGACUCGUGCGAUCUAAUGCUCGAGACAUUAUGAAAAAGUACCAAGAAAUCAAGAGUGAAUACGAGGACGACAAAUUAACAGAAGAUGAGGUGAAGUGGAGAUUACUAGAAUUAACAGAGAAGCUUAAGAAACUAGAACAACAAUGAUCAAAAGAGGUGCAUCAAUGUUUGAAACUCAAAGAAAAUGCUAAGUUUGAUUUCAAGAUCUUAAACUUGUGGUUUUUUGAGGACUUGGAUAAAGUAAGGGAUUGUCUAAGCUAUGGUAUAUGCGCAUGCACACUUCUUAUUGAUAUUAACCUAUAUAGCCCCUUUGGCUAGAUGGGAAAAUUUUCUUUUAGGCCCUCAUAAAUUAAAACAUUAAAUCCAAGUCUUUUUACCCUUUUAAUUAAAUGGAAUAAUUGCCUUUUUGGCCCUAUGAAAGUAAUAAUUUAAUCUAGCUUAUUUGAUUUGGUUUUUUUUAAUAGUGUACAGUAAUCUAAAUUUCAAUGAUUGNNNNNNNNNNNNNNNNNNNNNNNNNNNNNNNNNNNNNNNNNNNNNNNNNNNNNNNNNNNNNNNNNNNNNNNNNNNNNNNNNNNNNNNNNNNNNNNNNNNNNNNNNNNNNNNNNNNNNNNNNNNNNNNNNNNNNNNNNNNNNNNNNNNNNNNNNNNNNNNNNNNNNNNNNNNNNNNNNNNNNNNNNNNNNNNNNNNNNNNNNNNNNNNNNNNNNNNNNNNNNNNNNNNNNNNNNNNNNNNNNNNNNNNNNNNNNNNNNNNNNNNNNNNNNNNNNNNNNNNNNNNNNNNNNNNNNNNNNNNNNNNNNNNNNNNNNNNNNNNNNNNNNNNNNNNNNNNNNNNNNNNNNNNNNNNNNNNNNNNNNNNNNNNNNNNNNNNNNNNNNNNNNNNNNNNNNNNNNNNNNNNNNNNNNNNNNNNNNNNNNNNNNNNNNNNNNNNNNNNNNNNNNNNNNNNNNNNNNNNNNNNNNNNNNNNNNNNNNNNNNNNNNNNNNNNNNNNNNNNNNNNNNNNNNNNNNNNNNNNNNNNNNNNNNNNNNNNNNNNNNNNNNNNNNNNNNNNNNNNNNNNNNNNNNNNNNNNNNNNNNNNNNNNNNNNNNNNNNNNNNNNNNNNNNNNNNNNNNNNNNNNNNNNNNNNNNNNNNNNNNNNNNNNNNNNNNNNNNNNNNNNNNNNNNNNNNNNNNNNNNNNNNNNNNNNNNNNNNNNNNNNNNNNNNNNNNNNNNNNNNNNNNNNNNNNNNNNNNNNNNNNNNNNNNNNNNNNNNNNNNNNNNNNNNNNNNNNNNNNNNNNNNNNNNNNNNNNNNNNNNNNNNNNNNNNNNNNNNNNNNNNNNNNNNNNNNNNNNNNNNNNNNNNNNNNNNNNNNNNNNNNNNNNNNNNNNNNNNNNNNNNNNNNNNNNNNNNNNNNNNNNNNNNNNNNNNNNNNNNNNNNNNNNNNNNNNNNNNNNNNNNNNNNNNNNNNNNNNNNNNNNNNNNNNNNNNNNNNNNNNNNNNNNNNNNNNNNNNNNNNNNNNNNNNNNNNNNNNNNNNNNNNNNNNNNNNNNNNNNNNNNNNNNNNNNNNNNNNNNNNNNNNNNNNNNNNNNNNNNNNNNNNNNNNNNNNNNNNNNNNNNNNNNNNNNNNNNNNNNNNNNNNNNNNNNNNNNNNNNNNNNNNNNNNNNNNNNNNNNNNNNNNNNNNNNNNNNNNNNNNNNNNNNNNNNNNNNNNNNNNNNNNNNNNNNNNNNNNNNNNNNNNNNNNNNNNNNNNNNNNNNNNNNNNNNNNNNNNNNNNNNNNNNNNNNNNNNNNNNNNNNNNNNNNNNNNNNNNNNNNNNNNNNNNNNNNNNNNNNNNNNNNNNNNNNNNNNNNNNNNNNNNNNNNNNNNNNNNNNNNNNNNNNNNNNNNNNNNNNNNNNNNNNNNNNNNNNNNNNNNNNNNNNNNNNNNNNNNNNNNNNNNNNNNNNNNNNNNNNNNNNNNNNNNNNNNNNNNNNNNNNNNNNNNNNNNNNNNNNNNNNNNNNNNNNNNNNNNNNNNNNNNNNNNNNNNNNNNNNNNNNNNNNNNNNNNNNNNNNNNNNNNNNNNNNNNNNNNNNNNNNNNNNNNNNNNNNNNNNNNNNNNNNNNNNNNNNNNNNNNNNNNNNNNNNNNNNNNNNNNNNNNNNNNNNNNNNNNNNNNNNNNNNNNNNNNNNNNNNNNNNNNNNNNNNNNNNNNNNNNNNNNNNNNNNNNNNNNNNNNNNNNNNNNNNNNNNNNNNNNNNNNNNNNNNNNNNNNNNNNNNNNNNNNNNNNNNNNNNNNNNNNNNNNNNNNNNNNNNNNNNNNNNNNNNNNNNNNNNNNNNNNNNNNNNNNNNNNNNNNNNNNNNNNNNNNNNNNNNNNNNNNNNNNNNNNNNNNNNNNNNNNNNNNNNNNNNNNNNNNNNNNNNNNNNNNNNNNNNNNNNNNNNNNNNNNNNNNNNNNNNNNNNNNNNNNNNNNNNNNNNNNNNNNNNNNNNNNNNNNNNNNNNNNNNNNNNNNNNNNNNNNNNNNNNNNNNNNNNNNNNNNNNNNNNNNNNNNNNNNNNNNNNNNNNNNNNNNNNNNNNNNNNNNNNNNNNNNNNNNNNNNNNNNNNNNNNNNNNNNNNNNNNNNNNNNNNNNNNNNNNNNNNNNNNNNNNNNNNNNNNNNNNNNNNNNNNNNNNNNNNNNNNNNNNNNNNNNNNNNNNNNNNNNNNNNNNNNNNNNNNNNNNNNNNNNNNNNNNNNNNNNNNNNNNNNNNNNNNNNNNNNNNNNNNNNNNNNNNNNNNNNNNNNNNNNNNNNNNNNNNNNNNNNNNNNNNNNNNNNNNNNNNNNNNNNNNNNNNNNNNNNNNNNNNNNNNNNNNNNNNNNNNNNNNNNNNNNNNNNNNNNNNNNNNNNNNNNNNNNNNNNNNNNNNNNNNNNNNNNNNNNNNNNNNNNNNNNNNNNNNNNNNNNNNNNNNNNNNNNNNNNNNNNNNNNNNNNNNNNNNNNNNNNNNNNNNNNNNNNNNNNNNNNNNNNNNNNNNNNNNNNNNNNNNNNNNNNNNNNNNNNNNNNNNNNNNNNNNNNNNNNNNNNNNNNNNNNNNNNNNNNNNNNNNNNNNNNNNNNNNNNNNNNNNNNNNNNNNNNNNNNNNNNNNNNNNNNNNNNNNNNNNNNNNNNNNNNNNNNNNNNNNNNNNNNNNNNNNNNNNNNNNNNNNNNNNNNNNNNNNNNNNNNNNNNNNNNNNNNNNNNNNNNNNNNNNNNNNNNNNNNNNNNNNNNNNNNNNNNNNNNNNNNNNNNNNNNNNNNNNNNNNNNNNNNNNNNNNNNNNNNNNNNNNNNNNNNNNNNNNNNNNNNNNNNNNNNNNNNNNNNNNNNNNNNNNNNNNNNNNNNNNNNNNNNNNNNNNNNNNNNNNNNNNNNNNNNNNNNNNNNNNNNNNNNNNNNNNNNNNNNNNNNNNNNNNNNNNNNNNNNNNNNNNNNNNNNNNNNNNNNNNNNNNNNNNNNNNNNNNNNNNNNNNNNNNNNNNNNNNNNNNNNNNNNNNNNNNNNNNNNNNNNNNNNNNNNNNNNNNNNNNNNNNNNNNNNNNNNNNNNNNNNNNNNNNNNNNNNNNNNNNNNNNNNNNNNNNNNNNNNNNNNNNNNNNNNNNNNNNNNNNNNNNNNNNNNNNNNNNNNNNNNNNNNNNNNNNNNNNNNNNNNNNNNNNNNNNNNNNNNNNNNNNNNNNNNNNNNNNNNNNNNNNNNNNNNNNNNNNNNNNNNNNGAAGGACAAGGAAGCAGACAGGACGUUAUUAUAAGGAUAGUUCGUAACAUGAUGGCCAUUAAUGCCUCUCAUCUCUUACCACGAGUUUUCGGCUCCCUCGAGCAAAUCACAACGCAAUGGCCAAUUCGACCUGACCUCCAACGUAUGAAGCAAAAGAUUCAAGAAAUCGAGAAGGACGACAGUUCAACAGACGAGGCAAAACGAAGAAUAUUCGUUGAAGUAGAAUAUGAGUUGGAGAGAAUAGAUCAAGAACGGCUAAAGGUACGCUAAAUUUUACGAAUUUUUGAUUACUUAGUUCCUAUAUUCCAAGUCUCCAAUAUAACUUUGUAGUUUGAUUUUCAGGAUUCAACAAAAGCAGGGAACCUUGAUGCAGUCUUCACGGUAUGUAUAUUCAACAAAAGCAGGGAACCUUGAUGCAGUCUUCACGGUAUGUAUAUUCGAAUUUAAGUGGGAUGAUCAAAUUUAGUACUUUUAUCUAAAUAUAUAAAUCAAUAAUGUCUUUCCUCAUUACUAGACUUCUUUUCAGACCUAACAAAAAGUCAUUUUCAACUAUUUUACUUUAUUUCAGAUUUAUUGGAUGUGGGUUUGUAUCUAAUAUGAGUAUGUUUUUUUGUUGUUGAAUCUAAGUAAUAUAUAUGUAUUUGAAACUAUAAACAUGAAAAAGAAUAAUGCAUAUCUUAAUUCAUCAAGCUAUUUGUUUCCAUUAUUUAUUUUCAUUUCUCUUAAAUUUCAGGAUUUUAGCAUGGGGACUCUACAAAAAGAGGUACCAUAUACAUGCAUAUAUACAUAUGUGCAUGCAUAGAUUGCAUAUGAUUCAUGUUUUCAAUAUAAUGCAUAUUAUAUGAUAGAAUACAUAAAAAUGUAAAAUUAAAAUUCAUGUUGUUUUAUAUUUUUCAAAUACAUAUCACAUCAUUCUUAUAAAUUAUAACCUGUUUUUUUUUUUUAAAUUGUUCUAGCUAGCUUUCUUCAGCAUGUCUGUGGCUGAUGUCGACGAAACUACAGCAACUAAUCAUCUUAUUAUUGUUGAUGAAGAUCAAGAUCAGCAUCAUGGAAGUUUGCUAACUCCUCAAGUGUUACACUCUAAUUUUAGCGAUCUGAAAAACCAACCUUACGACAAAACGCAACAGUUAUGCCACCUUCAUAUCACCUACGACCGCGGCUCGCCACACCAUUGAGCACACUUUCAUCAUGAGCUGCCUCCACUAAAAGUGCUUGAGAUUCUUCAACUGUGCAAGUCACCUACAUUGUCAUGCCAUCAAUCUACAAGAUUACAUCAGCGUCGCUACAAAGAGAUAGGAUGUGACCCUACCGCCAGCAAGAUACUUACACGUAACAUCACUUAUGUCUCAUAUAUAAACUUUCUCACCUUGAAGGAGGGAUGAUCCUCACUCCCUCACUCUCUUCUCUCUCUUAUUAUCCUUCAUCACAUUAUCACAACAGCUCUUCGCCUUUCAAGGGUGAAGCACUAGUCACCUCUGUCAACUCUUCCCCUUGUUGAUUCCUGAUAUCAACAACAAAUUGUAUAAUUCAAGUUUUCCUGCGUCUCUAAUCCUGCAUAGACUCUUGCAUUUAAAACAGUAAGUAUUGUUGAAUCUUCUUAAGCACUAAGAUAUAUAUAUGUGUGUGUGUGUGUGUUUAGCUACAAUGCAUAUCUUACUUGACUAAGUUGUGGAGAGUCGAAGAAAGGAGGUAUGAUAUGCAUAUACAUAAAUACAUUUAUAUUUAUAAAUUAUUGCAUUGCACAUUAGCUAGCUAUUUAACAUUUGAGAAUUUGGACUUCAAAAUAUGAUUUGGGUAUUAAAAAUAGUGCAUGUUAUGUGAUAGAAUACAUACAAAUGUAACAUUUAUGAUUUUUUUAUACCCAUGAAUUUAUUAAAUGCAUGGUAGUAAUGAAUUUGAAAUUCACUUUUUAUGUAAUCUUAUUAAAUAUCAACUAAUUUAUAUAUAAUCAUACCCACAUCAUUCUCAUAAAUAUUGACUUGUUUUCUUUCUUCUUCUUCUUUUUUUUGUCUUGCUGCAGCUUUCUUCAACAUGGCCAUGGCUUAUUAGUGCUGUUCAAGAUCAAGAUCAUGGAAGUUUAUUUACUUGUGAGGAGUUGCAGUACUCUACUUUUAGUGAAUUAGAAAACCAACUCUGUGACAAGGACAACAACGAAAUGGAUGUUACAGACUUCCAUGGCUUAGAACAAGCAUUGAACAACAUUGGCUGGGAUAAAACACCAGACUACCUCAAACCUAUUGCGACCCGAAUCGAAAAUGUUCGUGGAAAAGCUACCGAUUUUUGCUAUAACGUUAUUCAAGUUCAGGUCUGUGCCGCAAUCAAAGAGAUGGAAGAGGUAUCAAUUAAGGAAUUAAACCGGGACACAUUGAAAAAAUGGGCAGCGACACUCAACCAGGCUAAGGGAUUUGGUUUUGAAGUGGGAUUUGCUAACAAUCUGUUGCAGAAGAAUCUGUGUUCCUACUUUUGUCACUCGAGGAAUUUUGGACGAAACUGAAAAAGAAAAACAGGGUUUUGGAAAUCAAAGGUGGCUGCUGAGCUCUCAUGUUUUGCAGUUGCAGUUGCCGCAAAAUCUUUGGUAAGUCACCAUUAGAGUUGAGCUUUCUUGCAUUUGAGCGUUUUAUGUUUACUUUUCUUUAAGACUAUGGUUUUUUGGUAUGAAAUCGUGUGUUUGUAUUGUAUUUUGCUUUCCAAAGGUGGCUGCUGAGCUCUCAUGUUUUGCAGUUGCAGUUGCCGCAAAAUCUUUUGUAAGUCACCAUUAGAGUUGAGCUUUCUUGCAUUUGAGCGUUUUAUGUUUCCUUUUCUCUAAGACAAUGGUUUUUUGGUAUGAAAUCGUGUGUUUGUAUUGUAUUUUGCAUUUUAUGUUUUGUGAUAGAUUGAUAUAUAUUUUUGAUAAGAAGAGGUUUUAAAAUUAACCUUAACAAAAAUAAACUAAGUCACGACUUAAAAGAUAAGCACUCGAUCAAUAGAUAAGAAAUUAAUUCAAGUUAAUAAUUAUUAGAAUUAUAUAAAUUCUAAAACAUUGAUAUAUAUAUAUAUAUAGAUAUAAGUUUGAUUUCAUGAUCUAAAUAUUCAAUUUAACUUUUAAGCUUGCUUUUCAGGACUUCAACAAAGCAAGGAACUUUGAACCAAUCUUCACUGCUAACAAUAUAUAUGGUAUGCAUAGUUCUUAUCAUUCAUAUUAACCAACAUAACAACAUUUUUUAUUAUUAAGUCUAUCUUUUAAUCAUUUAACUUUAAAAUGUUAUAAAAUGAUCAUUGAACUAUUUAAAAGUUUUCAUUUAAGUCACUAAAUUAUUAAAAUCGUCACUAUAUCACAUUCUCUGUUCACACCGCAAACACCAAUCAGAAGUUUUCCUUCUCAUUUUCUUCUAAAAUGUAUACUCUUAUUAAUAGUUCAAUGAUUGUAGGUGUAAUUUAUCCUAAAUCAAAUUAUAAUUAUUUCAUCUUUCCCCAUACAAUAGGCUUAGUUUUUUCUUUACCUAGUAAUCAUUUUCAACUAUAUUAUUUGAAUUUGAGUUUGAAUAUCAUAUACACAUUCAUGCUCGAUACACUCUGACACAUAUUGAAUGAUCAUAUUCGAUACUAUUAUUUGAAUAUGUGUUGACAUAUUAUUCAUUUAUAAAUCACUUUAUAAUUACAAUUUCUUUCCUCAAUCACAAUACUUGACCUAGCAAAAAGUCAUUCACAAUUAUGUUAUAUGAUUUUAGAUCUAAGCAUCAGAUAGGAAUCCGUAACACAGGCAUGGUUCUGGAUGUUAUUUCCGCCCUUUGUUUUAUUAGAGACAAGUUUCUUUGUCCAACUCGAUUAUAUUAUGAGCAUCAAAACUUUAUAUGCUAUUCAAUGAUCAGGUAUACAAUACUGUCUUCUCAUAUUGAAGUAAGCAACUUGUAUUCUUCUCAAGGGCGAAAUCAGAAAAAAAAAUUUAGAGAACGAAAUUAAAUUGUAAUUUUUAUGAUAACAAAAAUGUAAUUUUAUCAUUUUAAUAGUUUAUAUCUUUAUAAUUUUUAAAAGAUUAAAAUUUUUAUAUUUUUAAGGAAACCGAAAUAUAAUUUUACCUUUACUAAUUUUAAAUUUUAGAGGAUGCUAACCCCUGCCGACCUUAAUUGUUCUUAACAAAAUGUUCCACCCUUACAUGACUUAAAAAGGCAGAUUAAAUCCCACUAAAUUUUUAGAAAAAUGUUUGUUUUCAUAUGUUGCAAGAACCUAAGGUACAAUAAUAUCAAUGUACUGAUCAUGAAAUAUAAUGUGGUGAUUGUUCAUCUAUUCUUUUAGUUAUGUCAUCAGAGGUUCAAUUUCCGCUCAUGUGAAUGGAACAUAUUUCAUGUCUAGUUGUUUACCUCUUCAAAAAAUACUCGGAACGAGUGAAUUAGUUACUACUACCAAUAAUAAAUAUCUUGGAUUUGAACAAAAAAUAAUAACAAAGGACCUGAGACGGUUAGGUCAGUUCAACAAGUGCAGCUAUUCACUUUUCUUCAUAUUGUAUCGAAGAAAACCCUACUUUAAGAAACGUGUAUGUAUCUUAUACUAUAUUUAAGAUUUUAAUUGAGAUGGUGCCAUUAUUGAUCAAUUAGACAUCAAUUUAAUUGGGAAAUACAAAAAUCUAUAUAAAUCAAUGUAAAUCCAUUCAUGGUAGGACUUCAAUAUAGACUACCAUGAUCUUCAAAAUAUUAAUUUUACCAUUUCAAUUAAAAAAUUUAUUUUUUUAUUUUUUAUUAUAAAUAUGCAUUUAAAUAAUAUUUUUUCUAGAUAUUAUAAGCAUGUCAUAAUUUGAUGUGUAUACACACGUGUGUUUGUAAUAUGUAUUAAACAUAAACUACUUUCAUUUGGGAUCCAUAAAUUAGAAUAUUUUCUAGUUUAAAAGAAUUUUUUAAAGUAAUUUUCAUCUACAUUUUAUAAUUCAUUUUCGAAACUCGUGGCAAUAUUUCAAAUAAAAAUGAUGAUUUCAAGUGUUAGUAGUGAAAAUAAGAUGGACACUAUAAAAUAUUUACUUUUUAAUUUCAUUACAUUAUAAAUUCAAUCUUUGUUUUCAUUUGACAUGAGUCUCAGAUUCAAAAUUUGGACGACAUCUUACUAUUUUUGCCCCUUAUACAAAAUGUGUAUUUGUUGAUCGAAAAAAGUAACCAUUCCAAAUAAAAACUAAAAUAAAGUACUCAAUUCUCAUUUAAACUCAUCUAGUUUGAAUUUUAAUAGAUUUGAAAUUAAAUCUACUCAAAUUCGGAAAAAAAAAAUUCAAAUGGUACUAAUUACUUGAAAUCAUCCAACUUCGUAUAUCUAAAAAUCAAAAUGUUUUUUUUUUAUUCUUAAAAAGAUAAAAAUGAUCUGAACUCAUUAUGACUCUAAAAAAGCAUAGUUGUGAAAUUAUAUGGACGAAAUCAUUUUAACAAAUCCAAUAGAAACCUUAAAAUCGAUUGAGCUAAUCAGAUUCUAAAUAAUGGCAUAAUAUUAAAUUUAACAUUCUACGUUUAUAUUUUUUGUCAUUUUAAUCAUUAUUUUUUAAAGGUCGGUCUUCAACCUUUAAGAACAAUUAAAUUUUUUUAACAAAAAUACUAAGACGUUAAUUUUUUAAUAGUGUUAGCAUGACAACCCACGUGGCAGUCCACGUAUGAUUCAUGCUAACAUGGUACUGUUUGUUUUAUAUGUCAUCUCUACAAAUGAUUUAAAAUUUAUAAAAUUAAAAAAUUUCUAAAAUUUUAAAAUAUAUAUUGAAAAAUCAUAAAAAUUCAAAAAAAAAAGCGAAGUACAUGUGGAUUGCCAUGCAAACUUCCAUGUUAAAAAAUUUAUCGUUUUAAUUCGUAUUUUGUUUAAAAAAUAACAAUUUAACUUGUUUUAAAAUGUUGAUAAUCAAAUUCGACUGUAUUUUAAAGGAUAUGGCCAAAUUUAGCUUAAAAAUAGAAUGAGGUGUAAAUUGACAAAAAUAUAAAUAUUGGGGACUAAAUUUAACAUUACGCCGCAAAUAACAAAAUAACUACCUGGUAGAAACCUAAAACCUUGGUAUUCCGCCGUCUUCCUUCGCUAUUUGUUCUCUGUUUGCAAAAACCCUAAUCUUGGACCCAAUAACACAAUAUGCAUAUACAUAAAUAUAUUUAUAUUUAUACAUUUCUCUAUGGCUAUACGAAGAUGAAAAUCUCACGAAGACAUAGGUACAAAUGUAUCCUGAAAGCGAUCCACUAUCCUAUACGGAGGUGAAAACCUCACAAAAGAAUAGUUUCUCACUCCCACUUAAAAGGGUAAAAUUGACCGAUUAUGCGAUGCAAUAUGCAAAGAUAUACCAAGAGACUUGAAUCAAAAAGCAAACAUGAACAAAAUGAUGAAGACGGUAACAAAAAUGUAUGAAAUGCAGUGAAAAGAUCGUAGAUUUAAACCAAGUUUUCAAUUUUCGACAAAAAGACAAAAAAAAUCAACUCGUGGCUUGACUCUCUUUUUUAAGUCCCCAAUGGAGUCGCCAAGCUAUCGAAACCUUUUUUUUUUUUAAAAGGGUCGACCUUUAUUUUGAAAUUAAAAUGGAGUCGCCACCAAUCCUUUUUAUUUAGGUGUGAUCGGAUCACCUCAUAAUUUAGUCAUUUUAAGAAAAGUUUAAAUUUACUAAAACAAUAAAUUUUUUUGGUCUACAAAAUCCAAAAAACGGGUUCGGGAGUCGGUUACGCAUGAAGAAAGAUUAGCACCCUCGAUACGCCCAAAAUUGGUACCUAGUUGAUUACUUAAUGUCUUAAUGUCGAAAGUUGAAAUUUUGAAAAGAAGUUAAAAUACAAUCCCUCUUUUAUUAAUGUUAAUUUAAAAAAAAAACGCUUGAAUUAAAUUGAAACGAGCAUCAAAGGCCCUCUCGUCCUACGAUAACAAAAUACCACAUCCCGUAAGUUAGGAUGCAACAUUUGAACCCUCGAGAAUAAGCUUGCCUUUAAUUUUUAUUGAAAUUUCACGUAUUUUAAGAAUUAAAAGAAUAUUUGGCUAUUUAGGUUUAACGAGAAAAUCGAAACCCCGUAAGUUAAUAUGCGAUUUCUCGAUUCUCCAAAAUGCGAAAUAUUAUCGAUUUUAAAAUACUUCCCUUUUUAUGAAUUUGGGUGAAAGUUGAUGAAAUAUCCAAAAAUAAUAUACGUGUAGGUUAUUCGACUAUAUUUUAAAAGAAAUCGUUUAAAACUCUAAAAGGAUCAUGCGUGGCUAAUAAUGAUAGUGUAACAUACAUUUGAAGUAACAAUGACAUAACGUGCAUAAUAAAAUAUAACAUACAUAGCAUUAAUAUUAAUAAAUCAUAAAGUCAAUACGCAUAAACGAUAAUACUCAUAAUAAUGCAAAUGAAAAUAUAAUAACAAUAAUAAUAACAAUGACAAUAAUAAUAAAUCUAAAUUUUGAAAGUACAUAAAAAGUAGUAAAUGAAUAAAUCAAAAGAAAUAAAAUGACAAUGACAAGGGCAAAAUAAAAUAAACAAGUUAAUUUAAAAAGAAUUAGUAAAUGAAUAAAUAAGAGCUAAUACACAUUUGGUUUAAAAAGAAAUCAAUUAAAUAAAUAAAUAAACUAUUAAACAGAAUAUUAAAUAAACUUUUUUUUAAAUAAAUAAAUAAAGUAAAUAAAAAAGUCCAAAUUUAAAAGAAUAAGGACUUGAUUGCCGUUAAAAUGAAAUUUAGGGUCCAAAUUUAAAUAAAAAAAUGCAAGGAUAUAAAAAGGGGAUUAAAUUGGAACCUAAAUAAAAUUUCAGGGAAAGCGUUCAAAAUAACAAAAAUAGAAUAAGGGACUAAUUCGAAAUUCACUGAAAAUACCAGGGAGCAAAAGAGAAAAUGUCCCAGGUCCCUUGUGCUCAGCGCUUUAUCCAAGGGGUCAAAAUGACGCACAAAUAAAAUUAUGGGGCAAAUUUAAAAAAACAAAAUGGAACCAAAAUAAUAAAACGGAAAAGGUGGAAGGAAUUCCAUGGACAUUUACCCACUUUCGAAAACACGCGGAUCUCCCCCAGGCGGGUCGGGUCGCGAGUUGCCCAAAAACGACGCCGUUUGGCUCCUGAGGGGGGCCAAAUGAAACUACGUCGUUUCAUACUAUUAUAAAACCCCUAAGUUAAAAAAAAAAUCUGACAAGGAACUCAUAGCCUCUCUCCCUCUCCUCUUCUCCGGCCAAUAGGGCCACCGGCGUAGCUCCACCGUUGGCGGUGGUCUGGACCACGCCAAAUCGUUUUUUUUAACAUUUUUUUAUCCGAAGGUGAAGCCUUCCUAAGACAAAAGAGAAGGAGCCUUGACCCCUGUUAGUUCGAUUUCAACGCCGGAGAAGGGGCUGCCGACGACGAAACCGCAAGGUGGUUCAGGUGAGCCUUUUCCUUUUUAUUUUCGUAUAUAAAAAAAAUAAAGAAAUAGAAACUUAAGAAUAAAAUAAAAUAGGAAUAUAAAAUGAAAAUCACCUUAAACUUAUAAACUUAAUCUAUUUUGUUUUUGUUUUUGUUUUUGUUUUUUUUUUUUUUUUGUAUUUGAAUUUGAAUUUGUUUCCGAAAAAAGUCAGAAAAACAUACAUUGAUAUUUCAUGGCUUUUAUAGCCGAUUUACAAAACAAGUAUUCGAGUUUGUUGCUAUUUGUUUCUUCUUUUAUAGCGGUUCCAAUAAGCCUUCUACGAGCUCUUGUACCUUUUUGCUGAAGAAAUUAGCGGUGUCUAACAAUUAGACAUGCGUCUGUUUUCAAGAGUCGUGAAGACUUUUGUUGAGAAUGGGAAUGUCUUGACAGAUUCCAUGGUUGAUUCGGUUCUUAAAUCUUUGACGAGUGUUGGUAGACUCAGGGAAUACAACAAGGUUCUAAAAGUAUCGCAGGAGAAUGGGUUUAUAACCAGCGGUAAUUUACAGUCGAAAAUUACUUUUAGACUUGCUAGUGCUGGUAAAAAAGAUGAAGCAUCUGAGUUUAUAGCAUCAAAUACUGAUUUAGAUCACAAAGCAUGGGCGUCUUUCAUCGAAGGAUGUUGUGCUGCCGGUGAUCUCGAAACAGCAUCAACUUAUUUCGAAAACAUGGUUGAAAAAAAUGGGGUUUCCCAUGCCAGCUAUGCUUUUAACUGGUUGGUAUAUUCGUAUUGCAGUAGGAAAAGAGCAAAGGAUGCUUGUGAGAAUCAGUUAAAGCCAUGGCAUGAUACUUACAAGGAAUUGAUAAGGAAGUUAUUAGCUCAAGAUGGAUUUAAAGAUGCAUUGAGUCUCUUCGAUUUGAUUAAAAACGAUGGUUUUCCCCCCUUUAUCGAUCCUUUUAUCGAGUAUGUUUCAAGGAUCCGGUAGUAGUGAUGAUGCUAUUACUUUUCUCAAGUCUAUGACUUCGCAAAGGUUUCCAUCUAUGUCGGUUUUCUUCGUGUUUUUGAAGCUUUUUUCAAAGCUUCAAGGCUUUGUUACUCGAAUUUAAGUGUGAAUGUCAAAUAUAAUUUCAUGUUCGACAGAUUUUGUUUGUAUAUUUUGGGAAAGGAAUGACAAAAAGUCAGAUAUGGAAUUAGUGCACGCCAAGCAAAGGGACAAAAAGUCAGAUAUGGAAUUAGUGCACACCAAGCAAUGGCCAGUGCGACAGAAGGUGGCAGAAAUUAGGCAAGACUGCAAAGAAAUAGCUAAAAAAUAUGGUUUAAAAACACCUGGGGCGAAGCAAAGAUUGCUCAAAGUAGGAAGCAAGUUGGAGAUAACACUGAAAGCACGUGAGGUAUGUUAAAUUUUUACAAAUUUAAUUAAUUACUCAAUCUUAAUCUCCACAACUUUUUAAUUUGGUUUUUCAGGACUCUAGGAACCCUUUCACUAAUAUGGUAUGUAUAUAAUUUUAUUUAAUUUAAUAUUGUCAAUUUCAUGUUUUUAUUUAUUGAUGCUUCAUGAAAUUUAUGUAUUAAAGGGAGAAAUUAUUGUAUGGAUCCUUCUCAUCACAUCAUCUAUGAUCUUUUUUUUUAAUUAUUUAACGACAUUUCAGUAAUUUUUUCUAUGUCAUUAACACAUAUCAAAUAUAAAAAUGAUCUGAACUCAUUAUGACUAAAAAAAAGUAUAGUUGUGAAAUUAUAUGGAUGAAAUCAUUUUAACACAUCCAAUAGAAACCUUAAAAUCGAUUGAGCUAAUCAGAUUCUAAAUAAUGGCAUAAUAUUAAAUUUAACAUUCUACAUUUAUAUUUUUUGUCAAUUUAAUCAUUAAUUUUUAAAGGUCGGUCGUCAACCUUUAAGAAAAAUUAAAUAUUUUUUAACAAAAAUGCUAACUAAGACGUUAAUUUUUUAGUAGUGUUAGCAUGACAACCCACGUGGCAGUCCACGUAUGAUUCAAUGCUAACAUGGUACUGUUUGUUUUAUAUGUCAUCUCAACAAAUGAUUUAAAAUUUAUAAAAUUAAAAAAUUUUUAAAAUAUAUAUUGAAAAGUCAUAAAAAUUCAAAAAAAAACAGCAAAGUACAUGUGGGUUUCCAUUUAUCGUUUUAAUUCGUAUUUUGUUUAAAAAAUAACAAUUUAACUUGUUUUGAAAGGUUGAUAAUCAAAUUGGACUGUAUUUUAAAGGCUAUGGCCAAAUUUAGCUUAAAAAUAGAAUGAGGUGUAAAUUGAUAAAAAAUAUAAAUAUUGGGACUAAAUUUAACAUUACGCCAUAAAUAAAUAAAAAUAACUACCCGGUAGGAACCUAAAACCCUGGUAUUCCGCCGUCUUCCUUCGCUAUUUGUUCUCUGUUUGCAAAAACCCUAAUCUUGGACCCAAUAACACAAACAGAAAGAAUCCCAAAUCAGAAAAUGGUGAUGAAGGUGAGACAUCCAUGGAGAUUUCUUCUUUUCCGAAAUUACCCUCGUCGAUCUCCACUCCGUAUUUCCGCCAUAUCUCAGGUACUCAUUCCCUCACCUCCUAUUGUUCACUCCGUCAACAACAUUGCUUUUUUAAAUUUUUAGAGAGGUAGUUAAAAUCUAAAGCUUUCCGUGAUGGAAGUUGGCCUUAUUUAAAUUCCAUCUCAAUUCCUUCGUUUCUUCAGUUUUACUCUUCGACACCUGAGCCUUCUCUCUUUUUUCUUCACUGCAUUAGAAGUACGUAUGGUUGAAUUUACUGAUUCAGUAUCAUAUCGUGUUUUGAUUCUGCAUCAUUUCUUUACUUUGAGUUAAUAUCAUUCCAUAUGGUUUUGUUUUGCUGAUUUGUAAGAAGAUUUUGAUGCCUUUCACCUGCAAAUCGUUUGCGUUUUUCUGUUUUUUUGGUUUCAAUGAUUUGAUCUAAUCCAAAAUUUCUUAGAUCCGUGCCAAGAUGAGCUUCGUUAACUCGUUAACUCGCCAUCCUCCGAUGUUUUACAUGACAUUGACAACCUCCUGAAUGAUAGUAUGCCACCAGCAAUCAAUCGCAUCUAUCAAGAGUAAGAGAUCCCAAGUGAGAACUAAUUUUUUUAUUUAAUUUAAUGAUGAUGUAUUUAUAAUUUACUGAUAGUACAUUAAAAUUAUAUAUGGACAGUACAUAAAAAAAAUUAUUACUUGUAAUAAUUCUCUUUUCUUUUCUGAUGCAGUAGAUUUAUUUUUAGAGGUUUAACUAUUUUACUUGAAUAUCAAAUAUAAAAAAUUAUGCCUAACAUAUACAUGUUCAAUUUUUCUGAAUUUUUUAAUGCAUUUAGAAGAAUUUGGAAGGCCAUAUUUGAUAUUGCUACAUUAUUUUUAAGUCACAUUAUAAUCAUAAUUUCUUUUUCACUAUAGUUGUGUUUUUAGACUUAGCAAUAUGGGUUCAUGUAUCUUUAAAGUUUUCUUUUCUUUUUCUUAAACUUAAUGUCUCAUGUCAUUCUUGAACUUAAUAUCAUAUCUUGCUUAAUACAUUGCAUUAUAUGCUCUCUCUUUUCUUCACUGCAAUGGAAGAAUGUACAGUUGAAUUUACUAAUUCAAUACCAUAUCUUGCUUUGAUUUUGCAUAAUUUCUUUACUUGAGCUGAUAUGGUUUUGUUUUGCUGAUUUCCCGUUGAUCUCCAACUUGCUUGCUACUUCGAGCAAUCUUUGCUUCGGCCCAGGUGUUUUUAAACCAUAUUUUUUUAGCUAUUUCUUUGCAGUCUUGCCUAAUUUCUUCCACAUCCUGUCGCGCUGGCCAUUGCUUGGCAUGCACUAAUUCCAUAUCUGAUUUUGCAUAAUGUCUCAUGUCAUUCUUAAACUUAAUAUCAUAUCUUGCUUAAUAUAUUGCAAUACAUGCUCUCUUUUCUUCACUGCAAUGGAAGAAUGUACAGUUGACUUCACCAAUUCAAUAUCAUAUCUUGCUUUGAUUUUGCAUAAUUUCUUUACUUGAGCCGAUAUGGUUUUGUUUUGUUGAUUUCCCGUUAAUCUGCAAACUGUUUGUAUUUUUUUGUGAUCUAAUCUAAAUUUCACAGACCCAUGCCUCGAUGAUGAACACUGCUAACAUUCUAUUGACACAACAUGGAGUGACACCAACAACCAAUUCGAUGAAUUUUCAAGAUGGAGGGUUCUCAAUUGGAAACCUUGAAUUAUUCGAUGAUGAACAUUGCAUUACAGUAAAUUCAAGGUUUCCAACUGAGAACCUUCCCUCUUGAAAAUUCAUCGAAUUGGUUGCUGGUGUCACUCCAUAUUGUAUGGAGUUAUAACACAUUUAAAAUCUUAAAUAUAUAUUGCUCAUUAUUAAGUUUGAUUUCAUGAUCUAAAUCUUCAAUUUAACUUUUAAGCUUGGCUUUUCAGGACUUCAACAAAGCAAGGAGCUUUGAAGCAAUCUUCACUGCUAAUAAUAUAUAUGGUAUGCAUAUUUCUUAUCAUUCGUAUUAACCAACGUAACAACAUUUUUUAUUAUUAAGUCUGUCUUUUAAUUAUUUAACUUUAAAAUGUUAUAAAAUGAUCAUUGAACUAUUUGAAAGUUUUCAUUUAAGUCACUAGAUUAUUAAAAUCGUCACUAUAUCGCUUUCUCUUUACACCGCCGACACCAAUCAAAAGCUUUCCUUCCUAUUUUCUUCUAAAAUGUAUACUUAUUAAUAGUUCAAUGAUCGUAGGUGUAAUUUAUCCUAAAUCAAAUUAUAAUUAUUUCAUUUUUCCCCAUACAAUAGGCUUAGUUUUUUCUUUACCUAGUAAUCAUUUUCAACUAUAUUAUUUGAAUUUGAGUUUGAAUAUCAUAUACACAUUCAUGCUCGAUACACUCUGACACAUAUUGAAUGAUCAUAUCUGAUACUUUUAUUUGAAUAUGUGUUGAUAUAUUAUUCAUUUAUAAAUCACUUUAUAAUUACAAUUUCUUUCCUCAAUCACAAUACUUGACCUAGCAAAAAGUCAUUUACAUUUAUGUUAUAUGAUUUUAGAUCUAAGUAUCGGAUACGAAUCCGGAACACAAGCAUGGUUCUGAAUGUUAUUUCUGCCAUUUGUUUUACUAGAGACAAGUUUUUUUGUCCAACUUGAUUAUAUUAUGAGCAUCAAAACUUUAUAUGCUAUUCAAUGAUCAGGUAUACAAUAAUGUCUUCUCAUAUUGAAGUAAACAACUUGUAUUGUUCUCAAGGGCGAAAUCAGUAAAAAAAAUUCGAUGAUUAUUUAUUAGAUCCAUUAAUUUGUCGAAGACGUGUUGGUAAUGAAUUUGUCUUUUUAAGUACAUCACAUUAAAUCUCAACAAAUACAUAUGUAUAAUCAUAUACAUACCAUUCUCAUAAUUUAUGAUUUUCUAUGUUUAUUGUUUCAGUUUUCUCCAGAUCUUGGUAAUGGUCGUUCUGCAAGGUCCCCACCUCUAUCUCUGCUUUUAAUGAUUUGAAAAACCAAAUUUAUGUACAAGGCAACAAGCAAGUGGAGCCAGAAGAUUUCUAAGGUUUACCAGAAGAGUUGAAGAAACUUUGUUGGGGGGAAAUUCCAAGCUACUUUCAACCUAUUGCGAGCUGAAUCGUAAAAGAUUUUGCAAAAGUUGGGUUUCGCCAUAGUCUGGCUCUAGUUCUGUUUUGUGCUGCAGUAAAAGAGAUGGAAGAUUUUCUUCCUUAACAAAUCAUCCGCAAAUCCCACCUGAAAACCAACUUCCUUGGCCUUUUUAAGUGUUGCCCCCCACUUCUUCAACGUAUCCAAGUCUAAUUUCUUAGCUGGAAAAUCUUCCAUCUCUUUUACGAUUUGGACUUGGAUACGUUGAAGAAGUGGGGAGCAACACUUAAAAAGGCCAAGGAAGUUGGUUUUAAGGUGGGAUUUGCGGAUGAUUUGUUAAGGAAGAAAAUCUUCCAUCUCUUUUACUGCAGCAACUAUAUGAUUUUAUAUUUACUUUUCUCUUAGACUAUAUGGUUUUUUGGUAUGAAAUCGUGAGUUCGUAUUGUGUUUUGCAUCGUGUUAUAAUUGCAUUUAGAAUAUUUCAUAUUUUUAUAAUUUUAUUUAAGUCACUAAAUUGUUAAAAUCGUCACUAUAUCGCUUUUUCUGUUUACACCGUCGACACCAAUUAAAAGUUUUCUUUCUCAUUUUUUUCUAAAACGUAUACUUAUUAAUAGUUCAAUGACCGUAGGUGUAUUUUAUCAUAAAUCAAAUUAUAAUUAUUUUCUUUCCCCAUGCAAUUGGCUUAGUUUUGUCUUUACUGAGUAAUCAUUAUCAACUAUAUUAUUUGAAUUUGAGUUUGAACAUCAUAUACACAUUCAUGCUCGAUGUCAGAGAUGUGUUGAUAUAUUAUUCAUUUAUAAAUCACUUUAUAAUUACAUUUUCUUUCCUCAAUCACAAUACUUGACCUAGCAAAAAGUCAUUCACAAUUAUGUUAUAUGAUUUUAUAUCUAAGCAUCGGAUACGAAUCCGUAGCAUAGGCAUGGUUCUGGAUGUUAUUUCUGCCCUUUGUUUUACUAGAGACAAGUUUCUUUGUCCAACUCGAUUAUAUUAUGAGCAUCCAAACUUUAUAUCCUAUUCAAUGAUCAAGUAUACAAUAAUGUCUUCUCAUAUUGAAGUAAACAACUUGUAUUGUUCUCGAGGGCAAAAUUAGAAAACAAAUUUAGGGGACGAAAUUAAAUUAUAAUUUUUACGAUAGCAAAAAUGUAAUUUUAUUAUUUUAAUAGUUUAUAUAUUUAUAAUUUUUAAAAGAUUAAAUCAAAUCUUUAUAUUUUUAGGAAAACCAAAAUAUAAUUUUACAUUUACUAAUUUUAAAUUUUAGAGUAUCUAGCCCCUGUCAGCCUUAAUUGUUCUUAACAAAAUGUUCCGCCCUUACAUGACUUAAAAGGCAGAUUAAAUCCCACUAAAUUUUUAGAAAAAUGUUUGUUUUCAUAUGUUGCAAGAACCUAAGGUACAAUAAUAUUAAUGUACUGAUCAUGAAAUAUAAUGUGGUGAUUGUUCAUCUAUUCUUUUAGCUAUGUUAUCAGAGGUUCACUCUGAACGAGUGAAUUAGCUACUACUACCUAUAAUAGAUAUCUUGGUUUUGAACAGAAAAUAAUAACAAUGGACCUGAGACGGUUAGGUCAGUUCAAGUGCAGCUAUUCGCUUUUAUUCAUAUUGUAUCGAAGAAAACUGUACUGUAAGAAACUUGUAUAUAUCUUAUACUAUAUUUAAGUUUUUAAUUGAGAUGAUGCCAUUGAUCAAUUAGCCAUCAAUUUAAUUGGGAAAUGCAAAAAUCUAUAUAAAUCAAUGUAAAUCCAUUCAUGGUAGGACUUCAAUAUAGGGUACCAUGAUCUUCGAAAUAUUAAUUUUACCAUUUCAAUUAAAAAUUUAUUUAUUUUUAUAUAUUUUUUAUAAAUAUGCAUUCACAUAAUAUUUUAAAUAAAAAUGAUGAUUUCAAGUUUAGUAGUGAAAAAUAAGGCGAACACUAUAAAAUAUUUACUUUUUAGUUGCUUACAUUAUAAAUUCAAUCUUUGUUUUCAUUUGACAUGAGUCUCAAAUUCCAUUUUUAGACGACACCUUACUAUUUUUGCCCCUUAUAUAAAAGGUUUAUUUGUUAAUCGAAAAAAGUAACCAUUCCAAAAAAACGAAAAUAAAGUACUCAAUUCUCAUUAAACUCGUCUAGUUUGAAUUUUAGUAGAAAUGAAAUCGAAUUUACUCAAAUUCGAUAAAAGAAAAAAAAUCAAACGGUAACUUGAAAUCAUCCAACUUCAUAUAUCUAAAAAUUAAAAUGUUUUUUUGAUUCUUAAAAAGAUAAAAAUGAUCUAAAGUCAUCGUGACUCUAAACAAGCAUAGUUGUGAAAUUAUAUGGACGAAAUCAUUUUAACAAAUCCAAUAGAAACCUUUACAUUUUUUUAUCAAUUUAAUCAUUAUUUUUUUAAGUUAAAUUCGGUCUUCAACAUUUAAGAAAAAUUAUAUCAUUUUUUUAACAAAAAUGCUAACUAAGUCCACGUACUGAUUGUUUUAUAUGUCAUCUCAAUAAAUGAUUUAAAAAUUAUAAAAUUAAAAUUUUUCCAAAAUUUUAAAAUAUAUAUUGAAAAAAUCAUAAAAAUUCAAAAAAAAAUGUACAUGUGGAUAGCCAUGCAAGCUGUAAUAUUUAAAAAAUUAUCGUUUUAAUCUGAAUUAUUUUAAAAAAAUAACAAUUUAAUUCUUUCUAAAAUGUUGAUAAUCAAAUUCGAUUAUAUUUUAUAGGCUGUGGCCAAAUUUAGCUUAAAAGUAGAAUGAGGUUCAAAUUGAUAAAAAAUAUAAAUAUUGGGGCUAAAUUUAAAGUUACGCCAUAAAUUAAAAAAUAACCACCCGGUAGAAAGUAGAAACCUAAAACCCUGGUAUUCCGCCGUCUUCCUUCGCUAUUUGUUCUCAGUUUGCAAAAACCCUAAUCUUGGACACAAUAACACCAACAGAAAGAAUCCCAAGUCAGAAAAUGGUGAUGAAGGUGAGACAUCCAUGGAGAUUUCUUCUUUUCCGAAAUUACCCUCGUCGAUCUCCACUCCGUAUUUCCGCCAUAUCUCAGGUACUCAUUCCCUCACCUCCUAUUGUUCACUCCUUCAACAACAUUGCUUCUCGUUCCCAUUUCACAAGCCCCUUCAAUCUUAUGAAAGGAUUAUCCAUUUUAAAUUACAACAAUCAAUCUAAUAGUUUCUCAUCCGAGGCACAAAAAGACCCAGAUCAUGUUUUGGUAAGUAGUGUCACUGAUAUUUUUACUAAGUUCAGUGGUAAGGAUGAUAUAAAGAGAGAAUUGGAGUUGAAUAGUGUUGUUUUUAGCCAUGAAAUGGUUUUGAAAGUGUUGAAGAAUGUUGAGUCUAGCCCUGAUGUAGCAAUUAGGUUUUUUGAUUGGGUUUUGGAGACAAAUGGGGAAAAGCUUAGUUCCAAAUCGUAUAACCGGAUGUUAGGUAUUUUGGGUGUGAAUGGGUUGAUUGAGGAAUUUUGGGGUUUGGUUGAUGUUAUGAAGAAGAAAGGUUAUGGUAUCUCUGGUGCCGUUCGUGAUAGAGUUGCUUUGAAGUUUGAGAAAGAGGGACUGGAGAGUGAUUUGGAGAGAUUAAAAGGGGUUUUUGCUUCGGGAUCUGUCGAUAAUUCGAUCGAGAAGGUUUGUUCCAGGGUGUGUAAGAUUAUUAAGAGCGAGUUAUGGGGUGAUGAUGUUGAAAACCGGUUACUCAAUCUGAAUGUUACGUUUUCAAAUGAUUUGGUGAAAAUGGUAUUGGAAUAUCUUGCUUCUGAGCCAGCAAAAUCAUUGAUAUUUUUCCGAUGGAUCGAGGAACGUGGUUUGGUGAAGCACGACGGACAGAGUUAUAAUGCUAUGGCUAGAACUUUAGGGAGGGAAGAUUGCAUUGAUCGAUUUUGGAAAGUUGUUGAUGAAAUGAGAAGCCUUGGGUAUGAAAUGGAAAUGGAGACUUAUACAAAGGUUUUCGAGCACUUUUGUAAGAAGAAAAUGAUUAAAGAAGCUGUAGACUUGUACGAGUUCGCAAUGGCCGGUUCCAAUAAGCCUUCUAUGAGCUCUUGUACCUUUUUGCUGAAGAAAUUAGCGGUGUCUAAACAAUUAGACAUGCGUCUAUUUUCAAGAGUCGUGAAGACUUUUGUUGAGAAUGGGAAUGUCUUGACAGAUUCCAUGGUUGAUUCGGUUCUUAAAUCUUUGACGAGUGUUGGUAGACUCAGGGAAUACAACAAGGUUCUAAAAGUAAUGCAGGAGAAUGGGUUUAUAACCAGUGGUGAUUUACAGUCGAAAAUUACUUUUAGACUUGCUAGUGCUGGUAAAAAAGACGAAGCUUCUGAGUUUAUAGCAUCAAAUACUGAUUUAGAUCACAAAGCAUGGGCGUCUUUAAUCGAAGGAUGUUGUGCUGCCGGUGAUCUUGAAACAGCAUCAACUUAUUUCGAAAACGUGGUUGAAAAAAAUGGGGUUUCCCAUGCCAGCUAUGCUUUUAACUGGUUGGUAUAUUCGUAUUGCAGUAGGAAAAGAGCAAAGGAUGCUUGUAAGCUUUUACACAAGUAUGUUAGUGAGAAUCAGUUAAAACCAUGGCAUGAUACUUACAAGGAAUUGAUAAGGAAGUUAUUAGCUCAAGAUGGAUUUAAAGAUGCAUUGAGUCUCUUCGAUUUGAUGAAAAACGACGGUUUUCCCCCCUUUAUCGAUCCUUUUAUCGAGUAUGUUUCAAGGAGGUCCGGUAGUAGUGAUGAUGCUAUUGCUUUUCUCAAGUCUAUGACUUCACAAAGGUUUCCAUCUAUGUCGGUUGUUCUUCGUGUUUUUGAAGCUUUUUUCAAAGCUUCGAGGCAAAAUGAAGCACAGGAUUUAUUAUCGAAGUGCCCAAGUUUCGUUCGCAACAAUCCCGAUGUUUUGAAUCUCUUUUGCUCGAUGAAAUCAGGUAAAGUUGUUGCUGCACCUUCCAUGGUUGCUUAGACUUCAUUAGCUAUAAUUUAUUGCAUUUGUUACAAAAUUUUCGGCACGAAAUCAUUAAAGCUCUGCUGUCAUAAUAAAAAAGAAGAUAUUUGAGGAUUUUGAUGAUUCUUCCUGUUAGUGCUUUUGAAUUAUGAUGUGUAUUUAAGAAUUUUAGACUUAAUUGGUGUAUGUGGUGGAUACAUGGUGAAUUUUGCCUUUCCGACAACAUAUUUUGUACUUGUUAUAAGCUUAUUAUGUCCGGGUCAAGCUCGGAUUGAUUAUAACAUGCUUGCUACGAGGAACUGUAAGAUCAAUCCAGAUAUGUGCAGGUUAUGACCAUGAUAGAACUUGGGAAGAAUAUAUAGAAUCAUCAUUUUGGUGAAAUUUCCUUUUUAGUCCUCAUCGUUUCUUAUAUAUUUUUUAUGUUCCUAAAGAUGGUGUCUAAAUUGAUCAUAAGUGUUGUAAUGUGAAUGCUUCAAUGCUAUUUUGUUAGUCCAUGUGUCACAAUGUCUUAUUCGUGCUAAAUUAAUAUGAUCCAUGAUUCAUUCUCCUUGCAAAAAAAAAGUUUCAUCCAUUAUAAAAAUGGAAUGUCCUCAAAAUCGAGUGAAAUAAAAUUUAAAAUAUAAAGAUUUAUGUUUUUUUUAUUUAAAAAAUUGACUAAAAAUUAUUUUCCAUUCAUGUAAAUACAAUUGGGAUCAUAAUUAAAUACUAAAUUUUGAAUCUUAAAUUUUCGAGACUUUGGACAACACAGAUAAUAUGUACUAAUUUUGGACAUGGUGGAAGUGCUAUAAUCUUCUCUAUGCAUAAUUGAAUUUCGAACUUAAAUUUGUUUUUUUUUUACAAAUAUAAUUUAAAAUUAUCUUUUAAAAUGUGAUUUUUAAGUGAUUGAUCACACCUAGACCUGGCCAUGGGCCGGGCUGGGCCCACAAAAAAUUUCAGCCCAUUUACUAGGCCCGGGCCCGGCCCGGCCCGAAAUUUAGGCCUGAGAUUUUGCCCAGGCCCGGCCUGAAGAAAAAAUAUGGGACCCGAGCUUGGCUCGGCCCGGCCCGUUUUUAAUUAAAAUUAAAUUUAAAAUUAUUUUUUAAUAAAAUUAAAACUAAUUGUUAUUAAAAUUAAUUGUUAGUAAAAUUAUUAAAUUAUUAAUUGUUAAUUGUAUUAAUUAUUAAUUGUAUUAAUUGUUGUAAUAAAAUCUAACAUUUGAUUAGUAAAUUUAUCA